rnacentral:lncRNA from 1 species
CCUCAGGAGCUCUCCCCGGCACUGACCUCGGCACCCUCGCCGGGGUCGCUGGGAACCCUCUUACCUGGGAUCCGAGCGUCUUCGAGCGAGGGCACCGGUUCCUGGACGCCGUCCGGGACUAGCAGUUCGCCUUCGUCACCUCCUACAACGAGGUGAGGGAGCGCCACACCGCCACCAAGAAUUAGCUCGGCGAGGUGCGGGAGGCCGUGGAGAGAGAGCGGCGCGAACUCUCCCGGCUGCGCGAGGAGGCGCGUCUCGCCGAAGAGGAGGCGCGGCUGGCCCGGCAAGCCCUGGAGGCUGCACGGGAGCCGGUAGUCCUGGAGGCCGAGCUCCGUCGGCAACUGGAGGUCCAGCGCGGAGCUCCAGAGAAGGCUUGACACGAUGGCGGCAACUCUCGAAGCGUCCCGGAAGGAGCAUGCCGAGGUGCUCGCGACAGCCCAGGCGCGGCUGGACGAGAAGAGCGAGCUGAUCGCCAACUACCGCGGCGAAAUCCAAGGCCUCCGCGUCCUGCUGGAGGUGCAGGUCAAGGCUGCCGAGGAUGCGGUGAGAGCGGCGGCUCAGCACGAGGCCGAGCUCACCUCCGCCAAAGGCAGAGCGGCCGGACUUGAGGACGAGUUGGCCGCCGUCCGGGAAGAGCUCGCCAAGGCCGGCGAGGCCAACGCGACCCAGGCCUUAGAGCUUGCGAAGCUGGAGGGCCGCGUCAGCAAGGCCAAGAAGGCCGUGCAAGAUGCCCGACUCCACCACGGCACGCUGAUCGGGAAGCGGCAGCUCAAGACGGAGAAGCUGGCGAAGAGCGCCCAGUCGCUGCGCGACCUGCUGCCCAAGUUCGAGCUGCAGGCGGCGGAGGUGGACGGCACGGACGUCACGAUGCUGAUCCCCUUCUUCUCCGACUUGGUGGGGAAGUUCGGGGCGCUCGAUGUCUGGAUCGCCAGGUAUGGCACCAACGAAGUCGCCAACUGCGCUCGGGAGGUUGCCGGAACAAUCCUCCCGCGGAUCCAUCUCCGGGACCCGGAGUUCCCCUUCGAGUCUCUGCUGGACGCUUGGUCCGACAGCGAGGACGAGCCCACGCACACCCAAGCAGUGCGCGAGUUCGUCGACGAGGUCGUCAAGCGAAUGCAGAUGAAGCCGGAGCCUGAUCCCCCCGCCGACCCCCCGGCCGAAGACGACGACAAUUAGUUGCCACAGCCCCCAGCCGUACUCGUUGCUUCCACUGUACCUUCUUCUGUUUGCUUCCCCUGCAAGUAUGGCGUUUUGUCCCUUGUUCCCAAGGCUGUCUUGCGGGGUGGUUCCCUUAGCCUUUGCGUGUUUGGCCUUGUGUUGCCGGGGACUCGCACGCCCCACCCUUGACCAGACUAGGGACCCGGGACGGACCCGUGGUGCCGACCUGGGGCCAAGCGGUAGGCGGCGAGCCACUCCACUUGCGAGGUAACUACUCCAAGCCAUGCCCUCCCGGGACAGACCCGGGAGCCACACGAGGAGCGCACUCCCCCCGCAAGCGUCCUCCUCACACCCCGGCCACGCGCAGGUUCCGGGACCACACUUGUCGAAGCAGCGUUAACUCUUAGUUGAGUAAACUUUUCGACAAGUUCGCUGUUCCUGAUGCUGUCUAGCAGGGUGGCCCCUUUUAGCCUUUGCGUAUUUUGCCUUGUGUUGUGGGGGACUCGCGCGCGCCUCACCCUUGACCAGACCAGGGACCCGGGACGGAUCCGUGGUGCCAACCUGGGGCCAAGCGGUAGCGGGGAGCCACUCCGCUUGCAGGGUAGCUACUCCAAGCCGUGCCCCUCCGGGACGGACCCGCGAAGCCACACGGGGAGCCCACUCCCCCCGCAAGCGUCCCUUUUCACACUCCGGCUACGCGCGGGACCCAGGGUCACACCCAGCGAGACAGUGCUCAGUUUCGUUCAGCUCUUAGCGAAUUAAGCGUUCAUGUUCAGAUACUUAGCUUUUCCGUUCGGUCCAAUGUCUCGUGAUGCUCGGCGGUAGAGUGCGGACGUGGCACUGCCUUGGCAGGAAACCACCUUGGCUACCUGUUCAAGGGAAACGAUCUCUGAGGGAUGCGGCAGGAGCACGAGGGCAGGAUCGCCGCCCGCGGCAACCGCCGCCGCCGAUGCUCCCACCACGCUCACGCGGCAACCCUCGCCUUCAGGGACGGACCCUGGCUUUCAGGGAGGAACCCUGGCUUAGGAGGACUCCACCCUGGGAGCAACCGCAAGACGGCUAUAACGUCCUCGCUGCCAGCUGCGCCCCACCCUGAACGGCGAGCACGGGUGGCGAGGAAGUUAUAGCCUCCCAGCGACAGCCCCCGCAACUGGGGGAACCUGGUUUCUUUCUGGGGAACUUGUCCCAACGGGUGCGACAACCCUUGUUGCCUGGGAGCAAAACUACUCGAGGGACGCGGUGAUGGGCCGGAACGGGUGACGAGCGCCGGCACCGGCGCCAUCACAGCGUCCUCGCAACGACCCGCGCCCGAAAAGGCUCUCUCAAAGGGAAUGCGGCCGGGCCUCUAUGAUAGUGCACCCGUCGGCACAAAGCACGGAUGGCAUGCACUACCAUAGAGUCUCCGCGGCAAUCCCUGCUCCUUGCGGAGGUGUCCUAUGGAGGGGGCGACAAGGGCACUAUGGCAAUGCACCCCCACAGCGCCGGACGCUAAUGGGAUGCACCCCCACAGUGCCUCUGCGGCGACCCUCGCCCAGGAGCCGCCCACUUGAGGAGGCGCAGUAGGGGCACAACGGCAGUGCAUCCGUCGGCGUAGGACGCCGAUGGCAUGCACUACCAUCGUGCCUCUGUGGCGUCCCUCAGGGCGGGCUCAAUGGGGUGAUGCAGCAGGGGCGCGAUGGGGCAAUGCCGCUGCUUGAUCCCUUGCAGAACGCGGCAACUCUGCGCGUCGUGGGUGGAGUUGUUGUGGAUGGGGCAGCGGGGCGCGUCGCCUUGCUUCCUGUCGGACUCUCCACCCGGCGAGGCCUUCUUCGCGGGCCUCGCGGCAGGAGCCCCCGAGUCCGCAGCGAGGACUUGCUUCCCGGUGCGCUCGCGGGAACCCUUCUUCUGGAACGCCCUCGGAACUUACGGGGCCACGCCACCCGCCGCAGCUCGCGUGUGAACGCGGUGCAUCCAUCCUCGGCCGAGCGCAGGCGCUCGGAACUUACGGCAGGGGUGAACCCCAAGGGGACCCGCUCAAAACUUACGUACCGAGCGCAGGCGCUCGGAACUUACGGGGCCACGCCACCCGCCGCAGCUCGCGUGUGAACGCGGUGCAGCCGUCCUCGGGGCCCAGGGGAGCGUCUUCCUGCUCCUGUGGGUGCUGGCGCUCCACCUCGCGCCUGUGCCGGCGCUCCAAGCGCCGGCGCAGAUCCUCCUGCUGGUGGGCAUUCAAGAUGCCACGCGCAUCGCCCCCCGGGACGGUGGGCGAUGAGUUCGAGGACCCCUCAGGGCCCCCGUCUACCUGGCCCCGCUGACGAAGGCGAGGGUUCUUCCCCUGUCGCGAGGCGGGUGGCGCGUCUCCGCGCUCCACGUUCUGCCCGUGGCCGGAGCCUACCGGGGCGCCCUCGCCUUGCGGCUGCUGGGCGGCCAGGGCGAGAAGUGCUUCCAACUCCUCGCCCCACGUCUCGUGCGCCAGCGUGCCCUGCUGCGGCUCGUACCGCACCAUGACGCGCGCGGCGACGAUGACUUCAGCCGGGGUUCGCAUGGGGGGCAACCGGUUUCCUGAACGGCUGCUUCCCGCCCUGGCCCCGGACGCCUCCGGGUGUGCAGGGUGCGAACCUCCAGGGGUCGCUCGGGACGCGGCGUGCUCCUGGUGUCGCUGCCACGGGGCGUCCUCGGGCCGCAACUCAACCCGUUGGCUGGCCCGGGCGACGCCAUGCUUGCUCGCCCGACUGCCCUCGGCACUGGGGGCAGCCGGUCCUUUCGGCCGAUUGUCGGUUGACGGUCGAGGAGGCGGCGGAGGAAGCUGCGUUUGCUGCACCCUCGAGAGCUCGGGGUUCUCUUGAGCCCCCGGCUCGGGUCGCACGUUGUGCGACCACGUGGGAGCCGCUAGGGCCUCGUGCGGGUCUAUGCGGGAGUCACCAGCCCGCUUGGGGGGCAUGGUGACUAGGCUCGUCGACGAAGAAGGGUGAAGCCGAUGCCGAUGGAAUCUUCUGCUGCUGGCGAUCUCCGACGUUGUCCACUUCCGCUCCCCCUACCUGGCGCGCCAGAUGUCGUCGCUCGGUGCUCCGACAUCGGGGGCGUGCGGGCACGUCCCCCUUUUAGGUUCGGUAGGGGCGUCUGGGGCGGAGACCCGGCGAUCGCCGGCACGGCCGAUGAGGUCCCACGAGGCCGGUGAGACAAAGUGCUAAGGGUACGCGCUGGCCCUAGAACAAGUGCACGCACGUUUUUUACCCAGGUUCGGGCCACCCGGAGGUGUAAAACCCUACGUCCUGCCUGUCUGAGCUGAUAUUGAUUACAGAUCAAGUGUAUACAAGUUGCCGGGCAAGCUCCCGGGCUUCCUCUCAGUGCUAAGUAUUCCUUAAUGCUCUAUGCUGGCUGUCUACUGGAGCCAGCUGACCAACUUACUAACCUACCAACUAUCUAACUUCAUAACCACCUAACCCCUUUGACCGUUGGCAUGGGUCCUCCUUUUAUACACAAGGGGAUGCCACAUGUGCCACGGUGCAUGAGCUACAAGUGUCCAACGGGGAGGCACGCAACUCUCCCCGGUGAGCUGGUGGCAUGCAUGGGUGCCACCUCCGCUGCUAGGGGCCUAAGACCCUAGGGUAGGAUUAGACAACCACUGUUCCUUGGAUCGGACGGGUAGCUACCCGUCGGUCGGCUCGUUUACUGAGCCGCGCGCCUUACUCCUUGCCUUGGUGGGACCGAGCGUCCUGCGCUCGCCACGCACCCGCACGGCGUUGUCCACCAGGCCCCACGCGCAAGGCAGGGGCACGCGCCCGGGAACCUCCAGUCCCCACAAGUCAACACUGGGAAGCACCCGGGCCCACCGCACCCGGGAACCUCCUCCCGGGAAGCAGCUUCCCGGGAGGUGCCCAAGCGGGAAUAUUCCCCGAAGCCCCGCUAGCCCCUUUCGGGCCGGUAGCUUGCCGGGGAGCUCACAGACGCUCCCCGGGAUGAGACCUUCCCGGGAACCCGGGAGAAGGGCCCACGCGUCGCGUAGCCGUGGUACCCCGGGUGCCACUGGUGCGACAGCGGGUGUCGGGAGGCAAGCCGCGGAGGUCGAAGAAGGUCACCCGCCCGGAGAGAGGACCUCGGCCUGAGCCGUUUCCGGCUGCGCCAGGACAGGUUCCCGACAUUCUUCCGGCGUCGGUGACGACCAAGAAGGACAUGUCGAACCUCGUGGAGGCGGGCUACUUCCGCAAGGGCCUUGCCUCGCUUCCUGAUGAGGGCGAGCUUCGACUGGAGCCGCAGAGGCGUCGAGGGCACAUCUUCGUGUUCACCAGCUGGUUCCACGCCGGACUAUGCUUGCCCGUGCACCCGUUCUUGCUGGAGUUCUUGGAUACCUAUGGUAUCGAGUUGGCGCAGCUGCUUCCUUCGGCGAUCCUACACCUGAAUGUGUUCAGGUGGCUUUGCGAGACCGCCUUGAGGGAGCCUCCGACCAUGAGGCUGUUCUUCUUGCUGUUCACCGUCCACGUGCAGGAGCGUCGCACCCCCAAACGACGAGAGCACUUGGAGUGCUUUUGGGUCGGUUGCCGUGAGGCUCCGUUCUGGCUUCUACAACGAGUUCCCCUUGAUGCCGGCGAAGAGCGCGCUGCGCCUGUUCGACAGGUGGGACUCGCAGUGGUUCUUCCUCGACGUUUCGGAGACGAGCUUGCGUCACUCCAGCAGGCUCCAUCGACACUCUGGGCUUGGGGGGCUUCGGGAUGUCGUCUGUCCCAUGGGCACGUGAUAGCCUCGAGGGUGUCCCGAUCUUUCGAUGAGAUACCUAAUUAUCGAUUUGGUAGGAGGUGAUGUUGACGAUCCGACUACAACCUAGGAGGCAGCGCCUUAGCGAUCGAUACACCAACUCCAGAAGGUUAUUGAUCCCGCGGGGGCACGAUCAACCUGACCACGAAGAUCUUUGUUCCUGCAAGCAAUCGAAGAACAAGAUGAAAAGCAAUCUGAAAUUGCGAAUAGGAGAUAUGAAGGUUCACGAAUCUGAAUAUUCAAUAUAGUUGGAGUCUUGAUGACGGUAAAACAGGUGGUCUAACCGACACACGCGAUUACACGAAAGUAGUAAAGGCUAAACUUUAUCUAAUCAAAACCCAAGGCUCCUUAGGGGGGCUCAUGGGGUAUAUAAAGGAGGAGGGAGAGAUAUUUUCGUCCACCUUGAGUAAGGAGGCCGAAAUCCAACUCUAUCUCUAACUUUCCUAACAAACUACAACUCUUUAGGAAACAGAAAAACAGAUCCGUCAGCUUGUUUUGUCCGCCACGGUCAGCACGAGUGGAAUCUCUUGAUGGGGCCAGAUCUGUUGGAAAGGUCUUGUAAUUACCUUUUCAACAAGUACUUGUUUGCUCGAUUUGGACUCCGUAUGCGGCCUGGGUGAUUAAAACAAAUUCGGGUCUCCUGACAGUUCGGACCCGAAUCGGAUUCAACUUUAAUUCGUGAUAUCUUUCUCUAGCAAGCUCCGAAUCAUGUGCCGUUUGAUUUGUUAGAAAGUAGACUUGAUAGGCUUCACUUUGAAUCUCCCUUUGCAGGCUAUCACACUUCAUCUUCACUUUGGACUUGUAAAGUUCAAUAAGAUGCCUACAUAAUAAGAUUACACAAGAUAGUAGCUCCGCCUCUUUGCAAGUAACAUAUUGAAAACAUUUUGUAAUUGAAUUCACCUGAUUAUAAUUUUUAUUAGAUACACCAAAAUUAGGGUUCUAAUGGUCGUAUCUAUGGUGAUCAUGUCCAUAUCAGCACGUCCUUGGUCGAGGAGUGGGAGCUUGCCGGGAUCAAGUCGGCUCAUUCGGAGCGUAGCUUCCGUGACCUUCUGGAGGAGAUGGUGAGGGCGCGACCACAGGUGGAGCCGGGGAUCCCCGUGGCCUUUCGUCACCCACGCCGCGCGGCUAAGCGUGAGUUUCGCGAUGCUUGAGUCGUCGCUCCAAGUAUUCUUGUUUGCUCGACACUAACCCUGGCUUGCGCUUGUUUUUUAGCGGCUUUUUCUCGAGAGAGGGCGGCUGAGUGGGCUUCCCAGAUGGUCGGGCCGUACAACUCGGUGGAGCAUCGGGCUUAUGUUGAUACCAUCAGCGAGGGAGGAUGCCACAAUGUUGUAGCAGUGUGCUUUGACGACUUGGUACCGAUGCGCCCGGAUCCCAAGUUCGGGAAGCUCAUCAAGGCCGGCGAGCGGUACCCUUGUCUUGCGACUCUGUUGAUGAUCCCCGUUGGUUCUCACCUCAGGGAUACUUGUGGAAGGUGAAGCCUCAGGUCGUGCUUGGGUUGGGUGUGCCGGUGGCCCCAAUGCCCAAGAUCCCUCGUCCUCCGAGUUUGCGCAAGAGGAAGGCUCCUUCUCCUGACCUAGCUGACGUGGCGGAGUCGAUGUCUCCCUUGAGAGAGUCCAUGAACAUGCACCUAGCCGGGAAGAUAGACAUUGAGAAGAUCCUGCCUCCGUCGCCUCACGAGCAUGUAGUUUUCACCCAGAGGACCGGGCUUCAGCUUGUGGUGGAUACCUCCUCGGAAGCCAGCGGCGCAGGUGUUCCGGUGUUCUCUUUGACUCGCGGGCCGGUGGAGGAGGAGCUUCCCGUCACCGGUGAAUGCACACUUGUUGAGCGUUUUAAUUCCCUUUCGGGAAUGUUCUCACGGGGUUUUCUUGUCUUGUUUCAGGUACGGAGCCUGCGGCGCCUGAUGCUUUCGGGGCCGAGCCCCCGAUUCUGGAGGAGGGAGAGGCGCUUCCAAGGACCGAGGGAGGGGCGAGAGAUCCGCUCGAGGCGUUGGAGCUUGUGAGUCUGCUCUCCUCGUCUCCCUUCUUGCCAGGUCCAUUUUGCUGACCCGCGCUCAUGAUUCUUCUUCUUUUGCCAGAUGAGAGGCUUGGUUGAGGCCGUGGGCACUCUUCCCGCCCUCAAGGCUCAGGUUGGGGCGCUUUCGGCGGCCUUGAAUGCCGAGACCUCGAAGGCUACCCUUGCCUUGAGUGAGCAGGCUUUGGAGAGGGUGCGGCAGAAGGCCGUUGAGGCUGAGCUUUCUCGGGUGUCGGCGGAGCUUGCGGCCAUGGAGGCGAGGGCUCGUCUUGCCGAGGAGGGCCAGGAGGAUGCGAUCGCGAAGACCCGUCGUGCCGAGGAGGACUUGGUGGUGGCCAGCCUCAACAUGGAGCACGCCCGAGCGGAGGUCGCUUCUCUCAAGGCGGAGUCGGAGGAUGCCGGGUUCGGACCAGUGUUCGCUCCUCGUGCACGCGCCCCUUCGGAUAGCCGCCCGGAGGUGGUCUCGCUCCUGCUUGCCCAGGCUUCGGAGAUUCGAGAGAUGGUACUCUGCUUGAAGGGCUCCCCUCAGCCGGAUCUUCCCCCGUGUCAUACGAUGGAUGAGGCGAGUAGGGUGCUCACUUCACAGGUGGAGCUUCUUGAGCCCGCCGUGAAGAGGUGCCUUCUGAGUACGGGUGCUCAACUUGUUUCGUCGGCAGUUGCUACUGUCCUGGACGGCAGUGCCGGGACGAGUGGUCUUGAGGGUGAGAUGACUCACGGGGCGAAGAAGUUUCUUGUGGACCAGGGAGCUCCUCUUCGCGCUCUGGCUCGACGCUUCGUGCGUUGCCUUGAGCCUGCUCUUCGGGAGAGCGAUGGUGGGGCUUGAGUCUUGUUGCCCUUCGAGGCGACGAGGUACCCCAGCUGCUUACUUAUGCGAUGUUGCAUAUCCACUUAUGACAUAGCCUCAUGACUUGCAUGUUCUAGGCUUAGACAUAGAGGUUGUAAGGCAGCUUUUUUGAUGUGCUUUAUGCUUUCCUAUGUAGUCAACAUUGUCGAGAAUGUCAACUUAGCUCGGCAUGUAUUUUCUUAUGUUUUUGCCAUGUGGUCAACAUUAUCGGAAAUGUUAACUUGGCUCAACAUGUGUUCUUUGGAGUACUCUAUUUCCUUCUUCGCGAACUACUUUAUUUCCUUAGUUUAUACAGCUCGCGAUCGUUCGCUAUGAUCACACUUUUGCGUGAUCAAUUGCUGUCGCCUUUGGGAUACGACUUGGCUUCGGCGCCUUAGGCCAUGGUUACGAGCCAUGAAUCCUAGUACCCUGGUGGGGGUCGCUAACGAUAUGCCGGUAGUGAUCCGGACACUUCGACCUGCUGUUCGGGGAAAUUCAUGCAGAAUUCCUCCUCUUCGGACUUCAGGAAGCUAUGCUUUCCCGUGAUUAUUAUGAAGCCUUAACUCGGUUACUAUCAUGUAGGCCCGUGUGCGACGUCUCGCACGGGGGUAGCACGGUUCUCCGAGGUAAGUAAGCUCAUGCAUAAUUCGCUUAUUUACGAUUCUCCUUAAAUGCGUUUUAAGGAGCUUCCGGCCCUCGCGGGACUUGGUUCUACUUGGCGGAUAGCUUCGAGGCACGCUAGGAUCCACCAAGGAAUGGGUCGCUGGUGGCGACUUAUGUCCGGAGACAUUUUUGGGUGAUGCUUGAGCCAACGUAGGCCCUUCGGCGUCCCUCGGCGAGCAGCACUGGGGCAGCAACUCGGUUUUGGGGAUCGUCCCUUCAUGACAUUACUGUUCGACGGGGUUCCCUUUACGACGGUGGGUCAUACGAGUGUCUCGUGUCACUCUUUAUGAAGGACCUGUUUUAUUGAUCCCCCGCUUGCUUGUUUUAAGGUAUGGCCCGAUGGGCACUUACAAGCGUUAAAUAGACGUGGCCUCAUUGGCGCUUAUGAUCCCUCGAAGUUUCGCAGGGAAGUGGCCGGUUGGGCGCUGAUAGUCUUCCUUUGGGAGUGGCGAGGGUCAUCCUUGAGAUUCCUCCUUAGGCGUAGAAACGCCGGAGUUUGUCGCCGUUCCAGGCAUGGUGAUACGGGUGCGGGUGGCCCGAUCUUUCGAUGAGAUUGAUAGCUCUCAAUUUGGGUAGGAGGUGACGUUGACGAUCCGACUACGGCCUAGCAGGCAGCGCCUUAGCAAUCGAUACACCAACUCCAGAGAGUUAUUGAUCACGCGGGGGCACGAUCAACCUGACCACGAAGGUCUUUGUUCCUGCAAGCAAUCGAAGAACAAGCAAGAACAAGAUAAAUAGCGGAUGCAAUCUAAAAUUGCGAAUAUACUAUAUCAAACCAAUGUCUCAACGAGACGAUAAGUUGGGGUUCCGAAAACGGUAAAACAGGUGGUCUAACCGACACACGCGAUUACACGAAGUAGUAGCAAUGGCUAACUUUUAACUAAACAAAACCCAAGGCGCCUUAGGGGGGCUCAUGGGGUAUAUAAAGGAGGAGGGAGAGAUAUUUUCGUCCACCUUGAAUAAGGAGUCCGAAAUCCAACUCUAUCUCUAACUUUCCUAACAAACUACAACUCUUUAGGAAACAGAAAAGCAGAUCCGUCAGCUUGUUUUGUCCGCCACGGUCAGCACGAGUCGAAUCUCUUGAUGGGGCCAGAUCCUUUGGAAAGGUCUUGUAAUUACCUUUCCAACAAGUACUUGUUUGCUUGAUUUGGACUCCGGAUGCGGCCUGGGUGAUUAAAACAAAUUCGGGUCUCCUGACAGCUCGGACCCGAAUCAGAUUCAACUUUAAUUCGUGAUAUCUUUCUCUAGCAAGCUCUGAAUCAUGUGCCGUUUGAUUUGUUGGAAAGUAGACUUGAUAGGCUUCACUUUGAAUCUCCCUUUGCAGGCUAUCACACUUCAUCUUCACUUUGGACUUGUAAAGUUCAAUAAGAUGCCUACAUAAUAAGAUUACACAAGAUAGUAGCUCCGCCUCUUUGCAAGUAACAUAUUGAAAACAUUUUGUAAUUGAAUUCACCUGAUUAUAAUUGUUAUUAGAUACACCAACAAUUAGGGUUCUAAUGGUUGUAUCCAUGGUUAGCAUGUCCAUAUCAUCCUCCCUUUCUUGAAAGGAAACCGUCCUCGGCGUCGUUUGUGCUGAAAAGAGACUGACAAAAUAGACAAAGUGUGUGCAUGGUAUAUGUAUAUGUCAUCAAUUUUAACUCCACUCCCAUGCUGCACAUUCGAUGUUUCACAUAAAUAAAACUCAUAAUAGUUCAAAAGAUUAAUAGUCAUAUUCCAACGGCAAGUAUCACAUUUUAAUUUGUAAUUCUCAUCAUUAAACCAUCCUAAUGGAGGUGAACAAUAAUUCAAAAUUACCAAAUGGCGAGUUACAAUAUGCGUCAAUGUGCAAUCAUGCCACAAGUUAUUUGUCAUACAACUAUCACCAAUAUUAGAGGUCAUAUCAAAAUGAUUGAGCAUAUGCCAAAUAUUGUUGUCUCUCAAAUCAAGAAAGUUAUCACAAGCAAUGCAAAUCUGAUGCACCAAAAAUUUAUUGUUGACAUCAUGUUCUCCAAUUAAUUGAAUAGCGUAUCCAUGGGCAUUAGCAAAAGAUUUUGAAAUUGUUAACUCAGAAACUUUAUCCAUUGCAUGUGACAAAUAUAUAGGUGCAUCAAGUUUAAUAAAACACAAAGAAUUAUUAGGUGGAUCGUUCUCAAUCACUCCAUGUGUAAUUAACUCGACACAACCUAAACCAAAUUUAUCUACAUCACAUGCUUCUCCCAAAACAUUAGCUAUUUCCUCACAAUAUUCAUUCUCAUCAAUAUCAAAAUUAAUAUGUGCACUCAAAUCAUUAGAAGAAUUAAUUUCAGCAGUAGGUGCACUCAAAUCAGCAUGUAAAUCAACAAUUUCACAUGGUGCAGAAAAUUCAACAUGUAUCUCAUUUAUUUCGUCACAUGUCAUAUUUAGUUCAGGAACACAAUCAUCUUUAUCUUUACCUUGUGGGCUCGACUCAUUUGUAGUAGACCCUCGCUGUAAUUUCCUCUCAACUUUACGAGCAAGAUUAAGCAAACACAAAAGAGAGUCGUAUUUUCCAUAUUCAAUCAUGUAAGAAAUAUCAAAGUUAAGCCCACAAUAAAACCUAUCCAUUUUUCUUUGUUCGGUUUCAUCUAAACCAGAUCGCAAGGUUAUAAUUUGGAACUCAUUGUAGUAAUCAUCAACAGUUUUAUCAUCUUGUGCCAAACGUCGUAAUUUUGAACGCAACUUAAAAGCAUAACUAAAAGGGACAUAUUUUUCUCUCAUGAUUUUCUUCAUAUCAACGCAAGUGUGGGGAAUUUUCUUUUCUCUAACUAUCUCAUUCCACCAAGAUAAAGCAGCAAAAGUAAAUUUACUACUAGCAAUUUGAACCUUGCGACUAUCAAGUACAUGGAAGCAUGUGAAUUGUGCAGUUAAAGCUAGCUCCCAAUCUAUAUACAUUUCAGCAUCAUUUUUCCCCUCAAAGAAAGGUACACACAAUUUAAUUGUAUUAGAAGGAUUGUUUUGUACCGUUGCCAUGGCAUUAUCAACAAGAGACGUGGAGGAUGGCCGUGGUGAAAAGCACUCAUCGCGGUCGCGGGAUAGCAUCGGUCUAGUUGCCAUGCUUCGUGUAAGUCCUGUCAUGGUUAGUAAAAAACAAGAAACAAAUCACAGUAAUAUGUUCCUAUCAACUACUAGGAUGUGGCUACAAGUCGCUCAACUCUCAAGCUAAAAAUCAAGUUCUUACAAGUUCUUACCAUGCAAAACAGGAAGGUGAUGGCCAGCGGUGUGACCAAGCCGUCCGAAUAUUAAAUGUAUCGAUGCCUCGGUAACAAACCAACCUAGGUGUAGAAUCUGUGGAGCUUGGAGGCUUUUGUGAGUAGCAAGGAAUAGCAAAUAAUCAAAUCAGCAAUGCAAAGUUGAAAAUAUGCUCAAUAAUGCUAGUCCUAGCUGCUGGAGUCGAUAAGAACGAAUUACAGAAAUAAUCUAAGCCUAGAUACUGAAGAAGGUAGGAUAGAAAGAUCAAAAGAUGGCACAACAAGUAAAUCCCUGGGAUUUUUUUUCUUUUUUUUUCUUUUUGUGGCCUUCUGUUUGGCUUCUUAUUCUUUUCUUCUUCUUCUUUUUUCUUUUUUUUUAACCCCAGAAACUCACGCAAAAGAAGGACCGGAAAACUGUACGUCGGUCUGUCGAAGAACAGCAAAGGCUGCAGUAAGAAAAAUUCAGAAAAAUAUGGAAAAAUAUGGGUUAGAAGCAUAUCGACACAAGCUUUGUAGCAAGGGCAAGAUCACUCAAAACGGAUGUCGGACAGUGGAGAAAACUAAGAAACACCGGGCUGCAGCGACGCCGCAAAACGGAUGCAGAAACUUGGAAGCUCCGAAAGUCCACCUUACAAACCAAAUUUGAGGGUCAAAGUGCAGGGAAAACCCUGGAUCAUUCCUGAUGCGCCUCGUCGUGAGCUUUCCAAAAAGUCCAAGAACGUCCAAAUCCGAGUUAGUACGCAAAAGAUACGCCCGUUUUACUGAACACGGGUCAAACCCACCCGAAACUAAAAUUCUACUCGGACUCGGGUCCGAAACUGACUCGAACUCUUUCUCUUUUUUUUUUCGUUUUCUUUUUCUUUCUUUCCUUUUUUUUUUCUUUCCUUUCUUUUUUUUUGACAACUUUCCGAACAACUUGAUCUCUAAACAAAAUUCGAUCUAUUAUGAAAACUUUCCAAAAGCACUCUUGAUUGGACUCGGACUCGAACUUGCGGCUGAAAACUAUAACUUGCCGACUCAAUGUAGAACUCGAUGUAGGACACGGUGUAGGACUCGACGAGGGACUCGGUGUAGGACUCGAUGAGGGACUCGGUGUAGGACUCAAAGAGGGACUCGGUGUAGGACUCGAAGAGAGACUCGGUGAAAGAUAUGGUGGCGGCGGGAGAUUAUGGCGGUGGUGUGGCAGGAACUUUGGCGGCGGAAGAUUGAUGAAGGAAACCUGCGUCACACGAAGAACAAGAAAACCAAAAGCAAGUUCGAUCUAGUAGAAAAAAUCUGAAAAACGAUCCAAUCUAAUCCAGCAACUCGACACGAUUAAUGCAGCAAAGAUUCAACAAUGCAAAUACUAAAGUGAAAAUUGCAAGGCUCAGAUUGGUUCUAGGACAAGAUAACUAAUUCUAAUUUUUGUUUGGCUUUUUCUGGACGAUAGGUAAAAACAGAUCUAAACUAGGGAUAAACUGGAAAAAUCUCACUGAGCAACCUUAAGCUCUGAUACCACGUGAUACGGGUGUGGGUGGCCCGAUCUUUCGAUGAGAUUGAUAGCUCUCGAUUUGGGUAGGAGGUGACGUUGACGAUCCGACUACGGCCUAGCAGGCAGCGCCUUAGCAAUCGAUACACCAACUCCAGAGGGUUAUUGAUCACGCGGGGGCACAAUCAACCUGACCACGAAGGUCUUUGUUCCUGCAAGCAAUCGAAGAACAAGCAAGAACAAGAUAAAUAGCGGAUGCAAUCUAAAAUUGCGAAUAUACUAUAUCAAACCAAUGUCUCAACGAGACGAUAAGUUGGGGUUCCGAAAGCGGUAAAACAGGUGGUCUAACCGACACACGCGAUUACAUGAAGUAGUAGCAAUGGCUAACUUUUAACUAAACAAAACCCAAGGUUCCUUAGGGGGGCUCAUGGGGUAUAUAAAGGAGGAGGGAGAGAUAUUUUCGUCCACCUUGAAUAAGGAGUCCGAAAUCCAACUCUAUCUCUAACUUUCCUAACAAACUACAACUCUUUAGGAAACAGAAAAACAGAUCUGUCAGCUUGUUUUGUCCGCCACGGUCAGCACGAGUCGAAUCUCUUGAUGGGGCCAGAUCCGUUGGAAAGGUCUUGUAAUUACCUUUCCAACAAGUACUUGUUUGCUUGAUUUGGACUCCGGAUGCGGCCUGGGUAUUAAAACAAAUUCGGGUCUCCUGACAGCUCGGACCCGAAUCGGAUUCAACUUUAAUUCGUGAUAUCUUUCUCUAGCAAGCUCCGAAUCAUGUGCCACUUGAUUUGUUGGAAAGUAGACUUGAUAGGCUUCACUUUGAAUCUCCCUUUGCAGGCUAUCACACUUCAUCUUCACUUUGGACUUGUAAAGUUCAAUAAGAUGCCUACAUAAUAAGAUUACACAAGAUAGUAGCUCCGCCUCUUUGCAAGUAACAUAUUGAAAACAUUUUGUAAUUGAAUUCACCUGAUUAUAAUUGUUAUUAGAUACACCAACAAUUAGGGUUCUAAUGGUUGUAUCCAUGGUUAGCAUGUCCAUAUCACAUGGACGAGGUUUUUCCCUUCCAUGUUCUCAAGGUGGUAUGCACCGUUGCCCAACACCGCGGCGAUGCGGUAUGGUCCUUCCCAUUUAGGGUCGAGUUUGCGCUGGAGUUUUGGGUCAACGUUCUUUUUCAGCACGAGGUCUCCUUGGGAGAAAGCUCGAUCCCGCACCCUCGUGUUGUAGAAGCGUGCGGCGCUCUGCUCGUAGACGGCGUGCCUCAUGAGGGCUUUGUCACGAGCUUCUUCCACAAGAUCGACGGCCGUCUUGUGAUGCUCUUCAUUUUCGAUGAAGGCGAGUGGAGUAGCUUCUGGGAUUCUUUCGCCCCAAGGUGAGCGGAACUCUACUUCAGCGGGAAGAACUGCUUCAGCGCCAUACACAAAAGAGAAUGGUGUUCGGCCCGUGGAACGGAUUACGGAGGUGCGUAGGCCCCAAACCACGCUGGCGAGUUCGUCCCCCCAUGCUCCUCUUGCCUUGCUGGCCGUGUGUUCUACCCUUCGGUGGAGUCCUUGGAGGAUUAGUCCAUUCGCUCUCUCGCAUGCGCCGUUGCUCUUGGGGUAGGCCAUGGAUGCGAAGUGCAGCUUGAUCUCGAGGCAUUCGCAGAAUUUAAUGAAUUCCGCGGAGUCAAACUGUUUGCCGUUGUCCACGCUUAGUUCUCGUGGGACGCCAUAUCGACAUAUGAUGUUUUCCCAGAAAAAAUUCUGGAUGGCCUGUGACGUGAUCUUGCCAAGUGGCGCAGCUUCUAUCCAUUUGGAGAAGUAAUCAAUCGUCACCACGAGGUACUUGCAGCCCCCGAUGCAUGCGGGGAAAGGCCCGAGAAGGUCCAUUCCCCAGCGUGCAAAUGGCCAAGUUAUUGGAAUAUUCUUCAGAGUCGUCACCGGCGCGUGGAUGGACUUAGCCAUUUUCUGGCAAGCUUCGCAUCUUCGCAAUAUCAUGAUUGCGUCUUGCACCAUGGUGGGCCAAUAAAAUCCCUGUCGUAAAGCCUUCACCGCGGUGGCUCUUGGCGCAAGAUGAUGGCCGCACACUCCGGAGUAGAUCUCCUGGAUGAGCUCAGCCCCCUUGUCGAGGGUUAUGCACUUGAGUAGUGCGGCUGCACCCUUCUUGUAAAGGAUGCCAUCGAGGAGGACGUACAUUUUUGCUUUUGCAAGCAAAGUUUUGGUGCUCGAGCCUUCUGCCUCCUCGUCCACCUCUCUUUUCAGGGUGCGGAUAAUUGGCGUCAUCCAAGAGGGUGGAUUGUUGAUGACCAUGCUAGCCUUCAAAGUUUCGUCAGGGUCAUCGGCUUCUUCUCCUAUGGAAGGGACGCGGAUCACCUCGAAGAAUGCGCCGGGUGGCAAAGGUUCCUUGGAACCGGCCAUUCGGGCCAAUCUGUCGGCGAGGUGGUUUUCUCCUCGUGGGAUGCGUCGCGCCUCCAUGCCUAGGAAGUACCGUUCCAUCUUGCGAACUUCUUCAAUGUACUUCUUCAUCCUUUCAUCAAGGCAUUGAUAUGACUUGUCCACUUGGUUUAUCACCAGUUGGGAGUCACCUUGGAUGAGGAGGCGUCGAACACCCAUGGCCUUAGCCAACCGGAGUCCGAGUAGGAGCGCUUCGUACUCCGCCAUGUUGUUGGUUGCAUUGAAGUCGAGGUGGGCGGCGUACUCCAGGAUCUUCCCUUCCGGGCUGAUGAGUACGACUCCAGCCUCGACACCGUUGAGGCGCUUGGAGCCGUCAAACCUCACUAUCCAGUGCGGUUCGGGGGGCUCGGCCUUGGGCGACGUUUCUUUGGGUGGGGCUUGCGGCGCAUGCCACUCGGCCACGAAGUCGGCGAGGACCUAGGAUUUUAUAGCCGUUCUCGCGGUAAGCUCCAGCGAGAAGGGAGCCAGUUCCAUUGCCCAUUUGGCGAUUCUCCCGGUGGCUUCCUUGUUGCCGAAGACUUCUUUGAGGGGGAAUGUCGUCGGCACCAUAAUGGUGUGGCCCAUGAAGUAAUGACGGAGCUUUCGAGAGGCCAUGAGGAGGGCAUACGCAAUCUUCUCGAUCUGCGUGUAUCGACUCUUUCCUCCUCCCAAAGCUUCGCUCACGUAAUACACCGGGCGCUGCGACCCAUCUUCUUCCUUCACGAGGGCAGCACUCACGGCGACUGGAGUCGCGGCGAGGUACAGGAGCAAAUGCUCUCCCUGCUUCGGGCUUGUGAGGAGUGGAGGAGUCGACAAAUAGGCGUUGAGUUCCUCAAACGCCCUUUGAGCUUCGUCGGUCCACUCAAAGUUGUUGAGGCCCUUUAGGACUUUGAAAAAGGGAAGACCCUUCUCGGCUGAUCGGGUGACGAAUCGUCCUAAUGCCGCCAUCCUCUCUGCUAGGCACUGUACAUCUUUGACGGAGCGAGGGGGCUCCAUCUCUAGGAUGGCCCGGAUUUUUUCCGGGUUGGCCUCGAUUCCUCGUUGGGAGACGAGGAAACCCAAGAGCUUUCCUCCUCGGACUCCGAAUGCGCAUUUCUCGGGAUUGAGCUUCACGCCGUAUUUGCGGAGGUUGUUGAAGGUUUCCUGCAGGUCUUCGGGAUGGGUACUCGCCGCUUGACUUUUGAUGACGGCGUCAUCAACAUAGAGUUCAGCGUUUCUCCCCAAUUGCUCUUUGAGGAUAAGGCUGACGAGGCGUUGGAAAGUCGCACCGGCGUUCCUCAACCCAAAAGGCAUUCUGCGAUACCAGAAGGUGCCAAUGGGAGUGAUGAAGCUGGUCUUCUCUUCGUCUUCCUUCGCCAUGUGGACUUGGUGAUACCCUGAAUAGGCGUCCAAGAAGCUUAACCUCUCGCAUCCCGCCGUGAAGUCGACUAGCUGGUCGAUUCGUGGGAGAGGGUAGUCGUCCUUGGGGCAUGCCUUGUUCAGGUCGGUGAAGUCGACACACAUUCGCCAUUUGCCGUUGGCUUUUUUCACCAAGACCGGAUUGGCCAACCACUCGGGGUGCCAAACUUCUCGGAUGAGUCCAGCCUUUGAGAGCUUUGCAAUUUCUUGCUUGAUGACCUCGCUUCGCUCCGCGGAGAGUUUCUGGAGUUUCUGCUUCACGGGCGCCUUGUCGGGCCUUACGGCGAGUCGAUGCUCCAUGACAUCACGCGAGACUCCUCCCAUGUCGGAGAGGGACCAAGCGAAAAGGUCGGAGUUUUCCCGGAGCAGGUCGAUGAGCUUCUUCUCAAGUUCGAUCGAGAGGUCGGCUCCGAUCUUCACGAUGCGCGUGGCGUCGUUGUCGGAGACGCGUAUCUCCUUAAGCUCUCCCUUAGGAAGAGGCUUAGGGAUGUAGCAUUCCGGGUGAUCGGACUUGGACUCCCCUGCUCCCGAGAGCAUGUGGACGCUUUUGGACGCUUCUCCCUUCUCGGCGCACUUAGUCUCGUGGCGAUAUAGUGUCUUCCUAUCGGAGGAUUGUUCACCACGGAUCGUGAUCACGCCUUUGGGCCCAGGAUCUUCAUGCAUAGGAAGUUGUGGUGGACGGCAGCGCAGAGGCGGUUCAGGGUCGUCCUGCCGAGGAUGGCGUUGAAGGAGGCCUCCAUGUCCACCACAUCGAAGCGUACGAGCUCGGUCCGAUGAUUAGUGGCAUCCCCGAAGGUUGUGAGUAGCUCAAUUUGGCCGAGCGGCUGGAUGGACUUGCCGGGGACGAAGCCGGUUAGGGGGUAAAGUGACGGUUGCAAGGAACCGUUCUUGUAUCCUCCUUGCGGCUCCAUCAGCCUUUUCAGUGUGCUCAGGUACAAGAUGUUGGCAGAGCUUUCGCCGUCCACGAGUAUUUUCUUGAGCUCGCAAUUUGAGACGAUGGCCGUCACAAAGAGGGCGUCGUCGUGUGGGAAGCGUAUCCCCUUAGCGUCUUCUUCGGUGAAGGAAAUGGGUACACUCGCCCACUUGGGUGGUGGUGUUGAAGUGAAGGUUCCGACGACGUUGACUUCGCGCGCAUACUCCUUGCGCUGUCUUUUUGAUCCUUGGCCUGUGGCGGAGCCCCCGAGUAUCACCCCGACAUGGUGAGCGGGUUCUUGAAAUGGGAGGUUCUCUUCCUUGGGCGCAGGGUCGGCAAGGAUGACGUUGGCGGGCCUCGAGUGCCUUCUCGUCCUUGCGUCGGGCCUGCAUUCAUGCUUGGAACUCUUCGCGAGCUGCGAUGAGGCUAUUGCACUCUACGGUGUUGUGGUUUGCCGAGUUAUGGAUGAGGCAUCUUCCGGCGCCUCCCUCGGCGGGGCGAGGAGGCUUCUUGGGCUGCCAAGUCUUUGGGGACGAGUUUUGCCCAUGACUAACAUCUUUCGAGCUUGGUUGCUGAGCACCUUCUUCCCCCGCCUCCUCUUCCUCUUGGAGGGUGGUGCGGACGCCUGGGGCUGAUCCAACAAGGGAGUUCCUUCGGGCGCGCCGCACGGCGCGUCCUUCUUGGUGAUGUCUCCAUCUUCGCCCCGAGCGUAUUCUUGCAAGACUCGGUAGAGCUCUUCGGUCGUCUUCGGAGGAUUGCGACUUAGAGCGCGGUUUACUUCUCCCUGGAGAAGGCCUUGCAUGCAAGCGUCGAUCACGGUUGUCGACGGUGGGUUGGCGAUUUGGCUUCGGACCUUCGCAAAGCGAUGGAAGAAGCUUCGGAGGGACUCUCCCGGCCUUUGUUUCACGGCGUAAAGCUCGUGAGCUUGCACGGGUUCCUUGAAAUUUCCCUGGAAGUUGGCAAUGAAGACCUCCUGGAGGCGCUCCUACGAAUGCACGGAAUUCUUCCGCAGGUUAUAAAACCAAGUUUGCGCCAUCCCGGUGAGCGCGAGCGGAAAAAGGUUGCACAUCUCGGUGGGGCCUCCACCUACCGCCCGUAUGGUGGUGGAGUAGACGUCCAGGAAUUGAAGAGGGUUGGAUUCUCCGUCGUAUGGCCGUAUUGUCGGCGGCUUGAACCUUGGUGGGAACGCUGCGUCUUGGAUUUCCCGCGCGAGCGGGUUACAAGAUGGUCGGCCCUUCUGGUUACGCGAUCCUUCUUCGUCGGGGUCGCUUUCGUCGCUAGAGGGGUCACUCGGAGAGGGAUCUCGGCGUCUUCUUGGGGGUUGGAGCGUCGGCGAGGAUUUCUUUCACCGCUGGCGAGGGCUCCGGACUCCGCCACCUACUCGUUUCCGUGUACGCUGGGAUCCCGAUCCCCACAGGGCGCACCUUGAGGCGGAGCUUGGUUGCCACCUUGUUCGGCCCCGGCGGGGGGAACAAGGGGCGCUUGUUGGGCACUCGCAAAGCGAGGUUGGUUCAGAGCGUGUGCGACUUGGAGAGCGCCAUGCAGCGGAAGCCCCCAAUACGGAUGGUACCAAGGAGCUCCAUUGGCGAUUGUGGCGAGCGCUAAUGGAGGUAGUCCUGGGAUGGAGGGAUCGUAAGCCGAGACUCCUUGGUUUUCCGACACGGAUCCUCCUGAGGCCACAUUGUUUCCUCUUGUAGGUUCCGACGGCAAGGUGACCACCGGUCGCAGGGGAGGUGGCGCGAAGCCCAUUGAACGAGGCAUACCAAGUUCUGUGUCUCUUGCGGGGGCGGUAACCACAGGUAGCUCGCCGAUCCUUGCCACCACGUCGGUGAGGGUCGAAGGACCGCCCACGCCGGGAGCGGGGGUGAGGCCACGACCUCCGUCGUGGUGCCCAUGCUUGCGGCGGCGUCCGGAUUGGUGAGAAUUUCUCCUUCCUCGGGAGCCCCCGAGGUGCUUGCUUUCUUUGUUUGUAACUGUCUAGAUUUCGCAGCAAGUUGGACACCCGAUGAAGUAGGCUUCGUCGGUGCCAUCAAAUCUUCAAUUGUGGCGAGGGUUCCCCACGGUCAGCGCCACUGUUGUUGUUCUAGAAAACAACAGGAGUACGGGGUGCCAAUGCACGAUGGCACAAAUGCGAGAAUAGUAUGUAGGGGGUGUACGCCGGCCUUAUAGCGAAGGUUGCCGUACACUUGGGCAAGUUGACAUGUCGAUAUUUUUUAAAUAGGUUCGGUCGAGCCUGUGGGUACGACUUAGUCCUAUGUUAGGAGAGGCUUCGAGGGGGUCGUUAGCCAAGCGCUUGGGCCGAACUCGUCUUCCCAAGUCGCCUAUAGCGAGAGAUCUCUAGGGGCCGCCUCGGACCUGGGCUGAACUCGUCUUCCCAGGUAGCGAGGUUGGGAUACCCUCGAGACUCUAAGCCGAUCCCUCUACUUCGAGUCGAGGUCGUACUAGACGGCCCGGAACCUCGAAACUAGGCUUCUCAAGUCGCGUCCCCGAGGUCGAGUCGAGACUAGGCUCGACCCCAGCACUCGAGAGCGGGCUCCUUGAGUUGCUCUAGCCCUCUCCCCUUUGAUCUUAUUCCAAUGAAGAGUCAAUGAUACAUGCCCCCAUGGGGGGCUAUUUAUAGCCUAGGGGUCCAUGACAAAAGACCAUGGCUACCCUUGAGGGAGAGGGAAAGUGAGGGUAAGGUGGUAAAUUUGCUCCUAGAGCUUUCUUGGCCCUUACUCUAGCUCCUUUGACCAUGGCUUGGAGGGCUUGACCCUUUGACUCCUUUGACCGGCGCCUAGUUGGCAUGGCUAUGCCUUGUUGGCGAUUUGACCGGUCUCCGGGGUUCGUUGACUUGGUCGUCGCCACGUAGGAUCGCGGCCCGGCUCAUGAAAGAAUUUUAUUAUAUUACAACAACAACCUUGAGUCCGGUCAUCACUACACAUGAUAUGGACAUGCUAACCAUGGAUACGACCAUUAGAACCCUAAUUGUUGGUGUCUCUAAUAAUUAUAAUCAGGUGAAUUCAAUUACAAAAUGUUUUCAAUAUGUUACUUGCAAAGAGGCGGAGCUACUAUCUUGUGUAAUCUUAUUAUGUAGGCAUCUUAUUGAACUUUACAAGUCCAAAGUGAAGAUGAAGUGUUAUAGCCUGCAAAGGGAGAUUCAAAGUGAAGCCUAUCAAGUCUACUUUCCAACAAAUCAAACGGCACAUGAUUCGGAGCUUGCUAGAGAAAGAUAUCACGAAUUAAAGUUGAAUCUGAUUCGGGUCCGAGCUGUCAGGAGACCCGAAUUUGUUUUAAUCACCCAGGCCGCAUCCGGAGUCCAAAUCAAGCAAACAAGUACUUGUUGGAAAGGUAAUUACAAGAUCUUUCCAACGGAUCUGGCCCCAUCAAGAGAUUCGACUCGUGCUGACCGUGGCGGACAAAAUAAGCUGACAGAUCUGUUUUUCUGUUUCCUAAAGAGUUGUAGUUUGUUAGGAAAGUUAGAGAUAGAGUUGGAUUUCGGACUCCAUACUCAAGGUGGACGAAAAUAUCUCUCCCUCCUCCUUUAUAUACCCCAUGAGCUCCCCUAAGGAGCCUUGGGUUUUGUUUAGUUAAAAGUUAGCCAUCGCUACUACUUCGUGUAAUCGCGUGUGUCGGUUAGACCACCUGUUUUACCGCUUUCGGAACCCCAACUUAUCGUCUCGUUGAGACAUUGGUUUGAUAUAGUAUAUUCGCAAUUUUAGAUUGCAUCCGCUAUUUAUCUUGUUCUUGCGUGUUCUUCGAUUGCUUGCAGGAACAAAGACCUUCGUGGUCAGGUUGAUCGUGCCCCCGCGUGAUCAAUAACCCUCUGGAGUUGGUGUAUCGAUUGCUAAGGCGCUGCCUCCUAGGCCGUAGUCGGAUCGUCAACGUCACCUCCUACCCAAAUCGAGAGUUAUCAAUCUCAUCGAAAGAUCGGGCCACCCGCACCCGUAUCAACACAGAAUCGCAACCGAACUCGGGGGCUACUCCCACCAGGAGCGCUGACCGCGCACCCGGUAGAAUAUUAUUUACAAAAAAGGACUACAUGACUAUCUACUACGAGGUAUGGUCUCCUCCACGGCUGCUUCCCACUGUCGAAUCAUCUGCAGUGCCGCCGCCUGCCCAGCCUACAGGAACGACUUUAUACCAUGGGUAAGAGUAGCUAGCACUGUAGCAACUCGCCAGAAAUCCAACUCCGGGCAGUUGACUCGCACAAAUGCGAGGGCAAUCUGGGCACCCUUCACCAGUUGGAGUCGAACCAAUUCCUUCAUCUUCUCCUUGCCGUGAAGCUUCACCAUCAGGCUGCCCAGUUUGGGAGGCACCUUCUCCCGUGGCCAUAAGGCCCAAUGAGUCGAAGCUAGCAUGUCACGGCAGGAGGUGAAGUACCUUUUGACCUGUUUGAUCUACUCGAUCAACAGCAUCAAGUCGUAGCUCCUUGACUGAUACAUCCAGAAGGGUGAGCAUUCAGUCUGGCCUUUUCAUCAUCAGGGUCAAAGCGAACAGCUGCACAGAAGACGACAAGAUUACUUUGCAAACCGACAUGAAAGGCAAAGUCUUGCGAUCCUAUACCUUGGAUUUGACCACUCAGGUUACGAAGCUCUCUAAAGACAAACUCCUCCUGGUUGGUUGCAGUUUUCAGGCUAGACUUGCUACUCUGAGAGUCACCCAACGUGUCACGCUUCAGCUUAGCGAGCCGAGCCUCAACCUCUUGCAACUGCUUUGGGGAUAGAGUAGUCUCAGCCUGACCCUUUUCGCUAGGGUUGGCUGGAGCAUCGUUGCGAGAGGCUGCCUCUGCAGCUGGAACAGAGUGACUUGAUUGACCUUUUUCCCUCUGCGCGAAAAAAGACUCAAGUUCCUUAGCAUUUGUCCUAAAAAACUCCUUCAGGAGUGGAAAUGAAGAUCUUGGAUUUCUUUCCAAAAAAGGCUCAGCUAGAGUAGUUCUUUAUAAAGCUAAAGAUCAGAAGAAGAAGAUUCACAAAGGAGAAAGAGAAUCAAAUAUAUCUAGUGAAAGAUCGCCCACCUCUGGGCCACCGGAUGAAGCUAGGUUUAUCUCCUCGAUUGAUCUAUGAGGUUGCCGCAACGAGACCUCAGCCAGCUCUUUGCCUUUUCCCAUAAAGGGCCCUAGGCUGACCGUGUCGCCUGCUCUUGAUCGAGUCGAUUGAGAGGCUACUCGACGGAGAGUGUCUUCCUCAACGCCAUGCACAAGAGCAAGCGUGAAGAAUAAUUCAGCGUCGGUCGUCGACCGAUGCUGGCAGUACUCCUCUACCGGGUCUUGACUUGCAGCAAAGAAGUCGAUGAGCCCAUUCAGCGACUCUGGCAUUGACCCAUCAGGAGACAUCCUCCUGAUUACGCUGGUCAGAAUCUUCGUCACCUGCCAGAGCUUGCCCUUGGCUUCGGCGUUGAUAACUUUGACAUUUUCUAUAGCCUUGAAGCUCUGGCUUUUCUCAUUGAAUUGAACCUCAGCAGAGGCAUCAAGGACUCCUGCAAAAAGAUAGAGCAACGGUCAAACUUUCCACUAGAAGGUAAGGCCACUUGGGUGACAGACUCAAACGCCCACCAACAACAGAUCGAGUAGCACUUUCGAGUCGCUCGAUCCAAAUCUUUUCCCGCUCUUUCUCCGCGGAGAUACAGGAGUCUAUACGUUGCUGGAGUCGACUCUUUUUGAUGGCUGCUUCCUUCAGCUCUUGACGACACUGAUCCAGCUCUGCUCGAAGUCGCUCCCGCUCUGCCUUCGUCUCCUCAAACUCUUCAAUAAGAGUUGUCAUGGAGCUGAUGAUCGGCUAAAAACAAAUAGCAGUCUCGAGUUAUUUCUUGAGCAUCACUCCCACGGGAGGCAAAAAUAACAGCAAAAGACAAAUUUGCUCACGUGCUGACUCGGUGCAGGUGUCGUUGCUUGAGGAGUGGUCGACUCAUUUGGUCGACUCCUUCUGCUCGUUUCGGAAGGAUUUGCCGCUGAGGCUCCUUCGGCAUGAGAUGCCUUUUCCUUAGUUGGCUGGUCCGACCCUUUCGAGUCCUGACCAGUCGAUCGAGUCUCGGGAGCCUUUUUGCCCUCGACUGAGCCACCAGUAUGGCUGAGCAAGAAUUUUUUAGAGGUUUAAUAAAAUCUCUACAAUGCUGAAAUAAGAUCGCCAAAGUAUUCACUUGGCACGGUCGAAUCGAGCAAGAUGGCCAAAACGACAAGCCACAACUGGCCUGUCGGACUUGGUUCUCUUGAACGCGGGUACAGACACCGACGGUUCGACAUUCGGGUCCCUCGAGCCUAUUGGUCGGGUCUGCACCGGCGGGUUAUCAUCCUCUCUGCCGCGCUUCUUUGCCGGUGGAGAAACGUUGCUCGUCUCAUUGUCGGGGCCCUGAAAUCAAAGCUAUAAUCAAAAAUAAUUCAUGUCAAAAACGGCAAGGUUUGUCAGAAGCUUCAAUGAUCACCUUUUCCCAUGCCUGUCGUGUCCAUAGGGAGCCACUGGAGGGUCAAUCUCGCAUGGCUCUAACUCACCCAAGUCAGUGAGCCACCAAACUCGUCGCCACACUUCAGUCGAACGAAAUUCCACGAUACUAAUCCGGGUCGGGUCACGAACCCCCUGAUAUGCCCACAUGGGAUGAGCACGAGCUUGCAUAGGGUGGAUUCUUCUCCGGAUAAAAGCAGCAAUGAGGUGAAUUCCAGUCACCUUCAGCUGAGGAGUCUCCAUGAGAGACAGGACUUCUUCCAUGAGGAGUCUCCAUGAGAGCCAACAGAGUCUCGGCCUCUUCGCCCUCUGUUCCUCCCAACUUAUGACUCAAGGCCGUCAUCUUCUUCACUGAAGCUGUCGCGGAGAAUUCGGGGAGACUGAACCCACGCCAUUCGGCCGGCACAUCCAUGACAUAAAACCACCUCGAUUUCCAUCGAGAAGAUGAUUCCCUCGCUCGGAGGUUGAAGAAUUUGGCAUCCGCCUGAGUUUUGAUAUCCACACAACCAAUCGCGUCCUUGCCCUAUCGCUGGAUCAUGAACAUUCUCUUCCAGAGACCCAGGCGUGGAUUUAUUCCAAGAAAGCAUUCACACAGCGUCACAAAGCACGCGAUGUGGAGGUAGGAGUUUGAGAAAGAUUAUGAAGUUGGAGCCUGUAGGCCAAAAGCAAGCUACGAAGGAAAUGAUGGACUGGGAAUGAUAAACCGCGAGUGAUGAAGUCGUAAUGCACAACUCGCUCUCCAUGCAUGGGGCGAGGGAUUAUCUCCUCGCUGGGAAAACACACAUGCCCCGGCCGCAGGGACAGCAACCUUUCCUGAUAUGGACAUGCUAACCAUGGAUACAACCAUUAGAACCCUAAUUGUUGGUGUAUCUAAUAACAAUUAUAAUCAGGUGAAUUCAAUUACAAAAUGUUUUCAAUAUGUUACUUGCAAAGAGGCGGAGCUACUAUCUUGUGUAAUCUUAUUAUGUAGGCAUCUUAUUGAACUUUACAAGUCUAAAGUGAAGAUGAAGUGUGAUAGCCUGCAAAGGGAGAUUCAAAGUGAAGCCUAUCAAGUCUACUUUCCAACAAAUCAAACGGCACAUGAUUCGGAGCUUGCUAGAGAAAGAUAUCACGAAUUAAAGUUGAAUCCGAUUCGGGUCCAAGCUGUCAGGAGACCCGAAUUUGUUUUAAUCACCCAGGCCGCAUCCGGAGUCCAAAUCAAGCAAACAAGUACUUGUUGGAAAGGUAAUUACAAGACCUUUCCAACGGAUCUGGCCCCAUCAAGAGAUUGGACUCGUGCUGACCGUGACGGACAAAACAAGCUGACGGAUCUGUUUUUCUGUUUCCUAAAGAGUUGUAGUUUGUUAGGAAAGUUAGAGAUAGAGUUGGAUUUCGGCCUCCUUACUCAAGGUGGACGAAAAUAUCUCUCCCUCCUCCUAUUUAUACCCCAUGAGCCCCCCUAUGGAGCCUUGGGUUUUGUUUAGUUAAAAGUUAGCCAUCGCUACUACUUCGUGUAAUCGCGUGUGUCGGUUAGACCACCUGUUUUACCGCUUUCGGAACCCCAACUUAUCGAGACAUUGGUUUGAUAUAGUAUAUUCGCAAUUUUAGAUUGCAUCCGCUAUUUAUCUUGUUCUUGCCUGUUCUUUGAUUGCUUGCAGGAACAAAGACCUUCGUGGUCAGGUUGAUCGUGCCCCCGCGUGAUCAAUAACCCUCUGGAGUUGGUGUAUCGAUUGCUAAGGCGCUGCCUCCUAGGCCGUAGUCGGAUCGUCAACGUCACCUCCUACACAAAUCGAGAGUUAUCAAUCUCAUCGAAAGAUCGGGCCACCCGCACCCGCAUCACGUGGUAUUAGGGCUUAAGGUUGCUCGGUGAGAUUUUUCCAGUUUAUCCCUAGUUUAGAUCUGUUUUUACCUAUCGUCCAAAAAAAAAGCCAAACAAAAAUUAGAAUUAGUUACCUUGUCGUAGAACCAAUCUGAGCCUUGCAAUUUUCACUUUAGUAUUUGCAUUGUUGAAUCUUUGCUGCAUUAAUCGUGUCGAGUUGCUGGAUUAGAUUGGAUCGUUUUUCAGAUUUUUUCUACUAGAUCGAACUUGCUUUUGGUUUUCUUGUUCUUCGUGUGACGCAGGUUUCCUUCAUCAAUCUUCCGCCGCCAAACUUCCUGCCACACCACCGCCAUAAUCUCCCGCCGCCACCAUAUCUUCCACCGAGUCCCUCUUUGAGUCCUACACCGAGUCCCUCUUGGAGUCCUACACCGAGUCCCUCAUCGAGUCCUACACCGAGUCCCUCUUCGAGUCCUACACCGAGUCCCUCGUCGAGUCCUACAUCGAGUCGGCAAGUUAUAGUUUUCAGCCGCGAAUCCGAGUCCGAGUCCAAUAAGGAGUGCUUUUGGAAAGUGUUUCAUCAUAUAUCGAAUUUUGUUUAGAGAUCAAGUUGUUUGGAAAUUUGAAAAAAAAAAAAGGAAAGAAAAAAAAAAGGAAAGAAAGAAAAAAAAAACGAAAAAAAAAAGAGUUCGAGUCAGUUUCGGACCCGAGUCCGAGUAGAAUUUUAGUUUCGGGUGGGUUUGAGCCGUGUUCAGUAAAACGGGCGUAUCUUUUGCGUACCAACUCGGAUUUGGACGUUCUUGGACUUUUUGGAAAGCUCAGGACGAGGCGCAUCAGGAAAUAUCCAGGGCAUUGCCCUGCACUUUGACCCCCAAAUUCGGUUUGUAAGGUGGACUUUCUGAGCUUCCAAGUUUUUGCAUCCGUUUUCCGACGUCGCUGUAGCCCGGUGUUUCUCAGUUUUCUCCACCGUCCGAUAUCCGUUUUGAGUGAUCUUGCCCUUGCUGGAAAGCUUGUGUCGAUACCCUUCUAACCCAUAUUUUCUCAUAUUUUUCUGAAUUUUUCUUACUGCAGCCUUUGCUGUUCUUCGACAGACCGACAUACAGUUUUCCGGUCCUUCUUUUGCGCGAGUUUCUGGGGUUAAAAAAAAGAAAAAAAAAAGAAGAAGAAAAGAAUAAGAAGCCAAACAGAAGGCCACAAAAAGAAAAAAAAAGAAAAAAAUCCCAGGGAUUUACUUGUUGUGCCAUCUUUUGUUUUUUCUAUCCUACCUUCUUCAGUAUCUAGGCUUAGAUUAUUUCUGUAAUUCGUUCUUAUCGACUCCAGCAGCUAGGACUAGCAUUAUUGAGCAUAUUUUCAACUUUGCAUUGCUGAUUUGAUUAUUUGCUAUUCCUUGCUACUCACAAAAGCCUCCAAGCUCCACAGAUUCUACACCUAGGUUGGUUUGUUACCGAGGCAUCGAUACAUUUAAUAUUCGGAGGGCUUGGUCACGCCGCUGGCCAUCACCUUCCUGUUUUGCAUGGUAAGAACUUGUAAGAACUUGAUUUUUAGCUUGAGAGUUGAGCGACUUGUAACCACAUCCUAGUAGUUGAUAGGAACAUAUUACUGUGAUUUGUUUCUUGUUUUCUACUAACCAUGACAGGACUUACACGAAGCAUGGCAACUAGACCGAUGCUAUCCCGCGACCGCGAUGAGUGCUUUUCACCACGGCCAUCCUCCACGUCUCUUGUUGAUAAUGCCAUGGCAACGGUACAAAACAAUCCUUCUAAUACAAUUAAAUUGUGUGUACCUUUCUUUGAGGGGAAAAAUGAUGCUGAAACGUAUAUAGAUUGGGAGCUAGCUUUAACUGCACAAUUCACAUGCUUCCAUGUACUUGAUAGUCGCAAGGUUCAAAUUGCUAGUAGUAAAUUUACUUUUGCUGCUUUAUCUUGGUGGAAUGAGAUAGUUAGAGAAAAGAAAAUUCCCCACACUUGGGUUGAUAUGAAGAAAAUCAUGAGAGAAAAAUAUGUCGCUUUUAGUUAUGCUUUUAACUUGCGUUCAAAAUUACGACAUUUGGCACAAGAUGAUAAAACUGUUGAUGAUUACUACAAUGAGUUCCAAAUUAUAACCUUGCGAUCUGGUUUAGAUGAAACCGAACAAAGAAAAAUGGAUAGGUUUUAUUGUGGGCUUAACUUUGAUAUUUCUUACAUGAUUGAAUAUGGAAAAUACGACUCUCUUUUGUGUUUGCUUAAUCUUGCUCGUAAAGUUGAGAGGAAAUUACAGCGAGGGUCUACUACAAAUGAGUCGAGCCCACAAGGUAAAGAUAAAGAUGAUUGUGUUCCUGAACUAAAUAUGACAUGUGACGAAAUAAAUGAGAUACAUGUUGAAUUUUCUGCACCAUGUGAAAUUGUUGAUUUACAUGCUGAUUUGAGUGCACCUACUGCUGAAAUUAAUUCUUCUAAUGAUUUGAGUGCACAUAUUAAUUUUGAUAUUGAUGAGAAUGAAUAUUGUGAGGAAAUAGCUAAUGUUUUGGGAGAAGCAUGUGAUGUAGAUAAAUUUGGUUUAGGUUGUGUCGAGUUAAUUACACAUGGAGUGAUUGAGAACGAUCCACCUAAUAAUUCUUUGUGUUUUAUUAAACUUGAUGCACCUAUAUAUUUGUCACAUGCAAUGGAUAAAGUUUCUGAGUUAACAAUUUCAAAAUCUUUUGCUAAUGCCCAUGGAUACACUAUUCAAUUAAUUGGAGAACAUGAUGUCAACAAUAAAUUUUGGGUGCAUCAGAUUUGCAUUGCUUGUGAUAACUUUCUUGAUUUGAGAGACAACAAUAUUUGGCAUAUGCUCAAUCAUUUUGAUAUGACCUCUAAUAUUGGUGAUAGUUGUAUGACAAAUAACUUGUGGCAUGAUUGCACAUUGACACAUAUUGUAACUCGCCAUUUGGUAAUUUUGAAUUAUUGUUCACCUCCAUUAGGAUGGUUUAAUGAUGAGAAUUACAAAUUAAAAUGUGAUACUUGCCGUUGGAAUAUGACUAUUAAUCUUUUGAACUAUUAUGAGUUUUAUUUAUGUGAAACAUCGAAUGUGCAGCAUGGGAGUGGAGUUAAAAUUGAUGACAUAUACAUAUACCAUGCACACACUUUGUCUAUUUUGUCAGUCUCUUUUCAGCACAAACGACGCCGAGGACGGCUUUCCUUUCAAGAAAGGGAGGAUGAUAUGGACAUGCUAACCAUGGAUACAACCAUUAGAACCCUAAUUGUUGGUGUAUCUAAUAACAAUUAUAAUCAGGUGAAUUCAAUUACAAAAUGUUUUCAAUAUGUUACUUGCAAAGAGGCGGAGCUACUAUCUUGUGUAAUCUUAUUAUGUAGGCAUCUUAUUGAACUUUACAAGUCUAAAGUGAAGAUGAAGUGUGAUAGCUUGCAAAGGGAGAUUCAAAGUGAAGCCUAUCAAGUCUACUUUCCAACAAAUCAAACGGCACAUGAUUCGGAGCUUGCUAGAGAAAGAUAUCACGAAUUAAAGUUGAAUCCGAUUCGGGUCCGAGCUGUCAGGAGACCCGAAUUUGUUUUAAUCACCCAGGCCGCAUCCGGAGUCCAAAUCAAGCAAACAAGUACUUGUUGGAAAGGUAAUUACAAGACCUUUCCAACGGAUCUGGCCCCAUCAAGAGAUUGGACUCGUGCUGACCGUGACGGACAAAACAAGCUGACGGAUCUGUUUUUCUGUUUCCUAAAGAGUUGUAGUUUGUUAGGAAAGUUAGAGAUAGAGUUGGAUUUCGGCCUCCUUACUCAAGGUGGACGAAAAUAUCUCUCCCUCCUCCUAUUUAUACCCCAUGAGCCCCCCUAUGGAGCCUUGGGUUUUGUUUAGUUAAAAGUUAGCCAUCGCUACUACUUCGUGUAAUCGCGUGUGUCGGUUAGACCACCUGUUUUACCGCUUUCGGAACCCCAACUUAUCGUCUCGUUGAGACAUUGGUUUGAUAUAGUAUAUUCGCAAUUUUAGAUUGCAUCCGCUAUUUAUCUUGUUCUUGCUUGUUCUUCGAUUGCUUGCAGGAACAAAGACCUUCGUGGUCAGGUUGAUCGUGCCCCCGCGUGAUCAAUAACCCUCUGGAGUUGGUGUAUCGAUUGCUAAGGCGCUGCCUCCUAGGCCGUAGUCGGAUCGUCAACGUCACCUCCUACACAAAUCGAGAGUUAUCAAUCUCAUCGAAAGAUCGGGCCACCCGCACCCGUAUCAUUUCCUCUUGCAUGCCGGCCACCCUCUCACGAUCCAUAGAGGACAGCGGCCAAGCUUCAGCGCUCUUCUUGCUUUUCCCCAUCUCACUGGGUCGAAAGACGUUCUUGUCAGGGAACACAAAGUGUUUUGGCUAUGGAAGCUAAAAGUCUUGGGCGCCUGAGCUCGGGGUGCGAGGAGGAAGAAGGGUUAAAACUAAUUUACCCCACCUCCGCUUUUAUCCUUACCUUGGCAAAAAAUCCGGGACUCACGAUCUCGUUCGUGGCCACGUGUUCCGCGUCAACCGGAAUACGAAACGGCAAGGGUGAAAAUAACUGCUUACUUCAUGGGCGCAAGAACCAAUGAGAUCAUCAUCGUGUCUUGUUUACUGCGCGAAGUGUGAUUUUUUUCCACUGACGCACGCCUAUAGUGUGCCUAGAUGUCAGGCUAGACUGUACAUCCAGUCACAUCGGCUGACCAAAACGGCUCUUCACCUCUAGCAGGUACGUCGUCAAUGACGAAGUCUGACUCAAAUAUCAAGACUCGAAAUUAUCUUUCAUAUAGGAUGAUGGAGUUUAUCUUGAAUGUUGAAACUCGUCUUGAGUCUCGACUGUGAAUACUAAGACUCUCAUUUGAGUCGCAAACUAACCAGCUGUUGCUUUAUACUAAAGACUUCAUACAAUCAGCUAUUGUUUAUUCUUUACUUACAACAGUAAAAACAGGGUAAUGACCCUGACACAAAACAGUCGAUUUCAUAUAGUCAACUCAAUUGAGUCGCACCAGCUGCGUCACCUCAGUUGUUUAUGCUCAUUCGCAUAACAGUAAGCCUCUUGAAUUUCGUCCAAAGAGCCUGGAGCCGCACCAGCUGCGCUGCUCUAGUAAACCCCAUGCCCAUUGCAUGAAGAUAGGCCUCAUGGAUCAUGCCAUCGAGCCUGAAAUCGUACCAGCUGCGUAUUUCAGUAAAUCCAUGCUCAUUGCAUGAAGAUAAGACCCGAAAGUUCUCUUACGGGCCUGGAGUGGUACCAGCUACGUUAUUUCCAGUCGAAUCCAUACUCAUUGUAUGAAGGUAAGUCCUAAAAUUUAGGCCUGGAUAUGCAUCGACUGCAUCCCUCUAGUAAUAAUUAUCACUUCAGGGUCACUCCCUACAACCAUGUUCAUUACAUGAAGAUAAGACCCGUAGGCUUCCUAUAGGGCAUGGAAACGUACCAGCUGCGUAUUUCCAGUACAAGCGAUCUUGACGAACGAGUCGAGUACAUAAAAACUGGAAUUUGACUCUAUAAGCCCCCGCAGGCCAAGUAAAAAUUCGCUAGUCGCUAGGUUCGAGCCCGGGGACUCGAAUGCUGAUGAAAGCUUGUGUUGUAUUCGCUCUAGAGCGAUUAACUGGACUUGACUUGUCGAGUAUCUGGGCGCAUUAAGCAUAUAUCCCUAUGACUCUUACUCACUGCAUUGAUCCACUAUCAAACCAUAUUGUGAAACUGUCACUUAACAGUCAAGCACUAAAGCAUCGGCUCAGACACUCUCUGAGUCAAAAAUACUUCUCAUUUGAAGUACAAAUCGAUGAAACUCCAAGUCUGCAGCAUUAUGCAACUGGCUCAACAGCAGAAUAAACUCAUUCUUUACGGGAAAAGUCCCUAGUCGAGUCUUCGACUCAACCAGGCACUUGGGGGCUACUGACGUGGUUAUGACUAACCACGUACUCGACUCGAGUAUACCCAGUACAGCCCAGCUGGGGGCCCACACAAGGUAAGGAAGAUUAAUUAGAGUAUAUUCCCUCAUUGUAACCGACUUGGACUCUACCUUAGACCUGGGUUCCUGCAUAUAUAAAGGACCAGGAGGGGGAGCCAAGGAGACACCCCCAACUUAGAUUCAAGUCGCCUAGACGCACUCAUCCACUCUGUGCAUCUGGACUCUAUGACACCCAAUUAUAAUCGACUCAGCAAUACAGAUCCGACAAGCAGGACGUAGGGGUAUUACCUCAUCGAGGGCCCUGAACCUGGGUAAAUCGUGUCCCCUAUGUCCUUGUUAGUCAACGAGUUCGCCAACACACACUCGAAAUCUUUCCUUGAUACAAGUCCAUCAAUAUGGACAUUGUCGAAGUCACAUCUUCGUUAAUUGGACCUUUUGACAUCAAGCUUGGUGUGUUUCUUUUAUGGUUCAAUUAUUGCUGAAGUGGAGAAUUGUGAUGUGCAGCUCUUUAUUUAACUAUUUGAGAUCCAUUUUGGCUUGUUAAUCAUGUAAAACAAUGCUGAUACAUGUGGUAGGCUGAAGUAGGAGUUGUUUGCACAUGUUAAAAAGCUGGGGGGCCUGAAUGCAAAGCUUUCUAUUAGGCCUCUCCCCUGGUCGAAAAUAUACAGAGAGUUGAGUCUUCUGUGUUCUUGAGAGCUCUAGGGUUAAGGUGAGAGGAGAGGCAUUUGAUCUACCAAAAUCUACCUAAAUUUGUGACAGAUUGUUGUGGAAUUGGAGCCUCCCCAUCCUUGUUGGCUUUCACCUUGUACUCUUCAUCUCCAUAGUGAAGUCCGUGCUCGCCGCCGCCCGUGGUUUUUCCCCCCAAGGGGUUUCCACGUAAAUAUCUGUGUCUCCCCUUGAUUUGGUGAUUCCCUUGCUAUAUGUGGUGCUGUUCAUCAUCUAUAAUUGCUAUUGGCAUCUAUUGCUCAAGUUUGGUGCUAUUUGGUUGAGUUGACACUUGAGGCAAGACAUACUUGUGUUCUUUGAUAUAUGGAUGAUUCUAUGGGGGUAAUGAUGUUCUAUUAAGCUAUCCUUGCAGCUGUUAAUCUUGUGUGCAUGUUUGAGAACUCGGUGCUUGCAGAUUUGAUAUACCGGUUCAGGUUUGUUUUAUGCACACAAGGUGUUUGUUGAAAUGCUUGUGAGGAGCAGCUUGCUGUUUUGAAGGUCUUCCGCUGCCCCUGUAUGCUCACAAUAAAAAUUACCCAAACUUCACCCGUUGCAUUCCUAGAAAACGAGGCCACAUGAAAAUUUUAUGAAAGAUCUGUGGAAAUUAGUUAAGAAAAUAUUCUGCAUCCACCUCAAGAUAUACACUUGAAAACAAAUAGUUAGAUAGAUAGAACUCACAGACUCUAAUUGUCAUCUAUGCAAAAGUACCACAUCACUUCCUCUAUGAAGACCAAUCAGAUUGGGUAGGUCUUGGAAGUUGUACCUUUCUUUUGGCCUCCACGUCCGUGGGUGGCGACGGCUGCCACGGUGCACCUAGUGUUCAAACUGGGUUGUUCGUUCCUGGGCAGAUCAACUCCUUUCCCGAGCCACGCCAGCAAAAAGGCAGCCGGCGGGAGGGGCAGGCGCAACCGUCUCUCAGCUUCACCAUCGCCUCAAUGAAUCACCCCAUCUGCUCUGCUUAUAGCCACGGAUUCGAUGUCCUCUUUUUCCGGCAACAAGGCGGCGGGUCACAGGGAGGAGGCGGUUGCUGCUCCAGGCGCUGCGGCAAGAGAAGGGGUAUCACGAGGAGGUUAGGGAGUAGGGCAACGUACGGGGAGGUGGGGAAGAGAGAUGGUUCGCUAGGACAACGGGGAGGCAGCGAGAAGAUGGCUCGCGCGACCAGCGGCGACGCGGCGGGCAUUGGGGAAGGCAGGAGAGGGGCUGUGACGAGGGGGAAUGUGAGAAGGCAGCCAGGCAGAGGAGGCGGCGCGUGGGAGGCGUUUUCUUUUUUUUGUUUGCUUCACCUGCGUGGACUGGGAGAUGGACAUCUCGUCCGAUCGGCCCAGUUUGCCUAGGCAGCCCGAUUAACGUGCGACCUUCGAUUAUUUUUCAAGAGCAGCUGCUCAUAGGAUGAAAGCCCAUGGAAGGAUGGCCGGAUUUCGCCCAGGUGCCUGAUCGGACGGCCGAGAAGACUGAUGGCAUGAGAGAACUCCUAGGUUUUUUUUUAGGGCAGGAGAGACCUCCCAAGUGCCCAGUUUUACUAUCCUAAAUAAGUAAAAAUGUUAAAAUCGAUUUAUUUUGUGGGCUAUUUGAGACUGAUGGCAUGAGAGACCUCCCAAGUGGCCGUUAGUUGGGCCUAACUUACAAAUGUACGGGCUAACAUCUUGCUUCCGGGCUUUUGGAAAAAGCAGAAGGGAUCAAUGGGUUCAGCCCCUUCCACUCAACCCCCUCAAAAAAAAAAAAGCCCCUCCGUCAAAAAAAGAAGGGUUCACCCCCUUGUUUAUAACCCUAGCGCCUACCCUCCCCCAUCCAUCUUCCUGCUCGCCACCGCCGCCGCCCUCAAAAUUGGCCUAAGUGCCGCCGGAAGGCGGAAGGAGAGGAUGAAUCGCGUGCGGUCGGAAGAUCUUGCAGUCGAUAGUAAUAUCUUCAGAUCCUCUUUUCUUUUCUCAAGAUAAUUGAUUAAUUACUUCUUUUUCCUGUUUUGCUAAAUAUUACUGUCUGCAAAAUUUAGGAGCGAUCGAUCGGUACGGAAUUCAUGAGGUUAGAGGGCCUCUGCUAGUCGGUGGGGUUGAUUUGCUCAACACACGAACUGGCCUCUUCUGUGAUAACGGGUUGCGCCACAUCCUCACCGAUGAGCAGCGCUUUCGAGCUUAUUUGGAAUUCCGCGAGCAGGCGUUCCAAAUCGCCGUGACUGAACUGAUGUCUGGAGCGGAAUCAACUGUAGAUAUCUUAUGUCUGUUUACGUCGGUUUAACUUUCUUUUCAUUAGUAAUAAGAAGCAAUGAUUUUGUUCUUCUUUUCUGCCUCCAAUUAUUGCAGGUUGAUAUGUUUCUAUCAAUUGCCGCGGAUAGAGAGCAAUUCGGUAGCCAUCUUGUUGAGUACAUGUUGCCCUGCACGAGGCAUGAUGGGAUUUCCUCCAUCUUCCUGCAAUCCGCCAUUGACCGUGAUGGACCUAAUGGAUCUGAGGUUGGCAACAUCUCAAUAAUGCAUUACUUGCCUAAGGAUCGAAUCAGACAAAUUUGUGUUGUGACACAAUUAAGUGUUUAGCCUACUCUUCUUUUGGCAAAUUGAUUUAUUCUCUUUAAAAGUAUGACAGCAUGUCAUUAAUGUCAACCCAGAACAUAGUUUAGUGACAUGGAAUGAGUGCUGGGCAUUCGGUUAUAACGGAACAUUAGGUUCGGUUAUUUUGGUGUUUUCCAAUUUUAGUUUUCCCAAAAUGAUAAUCGAUUUAUAACCUUUUAAAUUCUGUUAACCUACGGUCUAGUUGACCGAAAUUUUGGUUUUGGUUCUCGGUUAGACCGAAAGAGACUGAAGUUACACAGAAAUCAAAGAAGAAAAUCACAUCAACAAAAUCACCACAUCAAUGGCGCUGGAGUAGGAAGAACCCUUCCUGUCAUGCUGGAUUGGUGACCAAAGAGGAGAUUGAAAGGUUGAUCUGUCCUCCACUAGCCGUCGCGAGCUCGAUUCGUAUUCUCCGCGCCGACCUGAACUCGCUUGAUCUGCUUUCAAUUUGCUGCUACUAUCAGUUACGUGGGUGGGCGAGCGGCGGCUUGUUCUGUGGCUGGAUCAAGUAGCGGAUGUAUCGAUGGGAAUGGGGAUUCAAGAAAACAGAACUGGACUAGGGUUGCAGUAUGUCCACAGAGAAGUCAAGUUGCAACAAUUGGCCCUUAGGAGUUAGGGUACUACUGGACCGUCAUAGGGAAGGGACUGCGCCCUAGUGGGAUAAAAGAGAAGACAACGUGAACUUUGGUUUUUCGGUCUGUUCGGUUAACCCAGCUUCAAAACCGUGAACACGGAAGUACAUUCAGGUUCUUACUUCUGACAACCGCACAGGCAACCGAUGACCGAGAUUUUGGUUUAAUCGGUUUCGGCUUCGGUUUUUCAGACUUUUCGCCCAGCCCUACAUGGUACUGACCGAGGAUAGUUUUCUGUUGAUCCAACGGCUUUGAAAUUAGAUUUUCCAGUCAGCUUAUGGAUCGUCAAUUCCAUAAAAAAAUUAUUGCAGGCAAAAACCAUAGCCAAAAGAAGAAAAAGUGUACUUUGUUUCUUACAUUAGCAAUGGCCUAUGCGUGAUAGUGAAAUCAUAUCUUGCAUACUUCAUUUUUCCAUGAAUCAUCUAAUCAUUGGAUGAUAUCCGUUAUUGCUGUUGCCGUGCAUCUCUGCCAGUUUUACAAUGUUUACCUAAGUGAGAGAGUUUGGUGAUAUUUCCAAGUAAUGCUUAUUUUGAUCACUUAUUACCUACAUAGUCAUAUGAAGUUCAGAUCUUAUUCCAUUUGUGUACCAUCGAAAUGUUUUGUUUAUUGUAGUCAUCAUAUGUGCAAAGUAAUAUAACUAUUGCUGAACCUAGAAGCCUCGCCAUAGUUUCUAAUAUGUCGACAUAUCGUUGCCAUAAUGACACUACGACGUUGUGGUGUCCCUCCAGGCCAUCGUGUUUAGCCUCGUGAUAGAAUCAGUUCUGUGGCAUCUCUAAGUUGCCGUCUCUUCGAAUUGAGGUCCGCCACUUUAAAAAUGUGACGCCAAAGCACAGCAGAGCGACGCAAGGCACAGGUGGGAGGAAAAGGCAAGGCACGCGCAGGAAGGAAAAAGCAGCAGGUGCGGAAGGGAAACGCGGGGAUGCUGGCCCCCCACUACCAGAUAUCCCCCUCUCUCUGUUCUGGAAAGGCAUAGGAUGAUACUUUACAGUGAGGAAGAGUUCACGGGCUGUGCUUUCCAGCAUCCUAUUUCUUUCAUUUACUUUUGUAUUCUCUUUUACAUUUUGUGUGAGGCUGUAAUUUUCUGUGGCUAUUUUUUAUGUAUGUGCACAGGGUUAUACACUCACUAAGUUGUGUGUUGUGACUUAAUUUGGUAGUGGAUGUGUACUGUGAUUUAAUAUGCCAUCAUACUAAGUUGGUAUUGUGAUUUAAUUUGCCUGCCAUACUAAGUUAAUUUGUGUCUAUGAAGUUGUCUCGCCACGUGCCACAAGCGUUAUAAUAUUGUGAAGGGGGUCGGUCGUCACAGCUCGCCAUAACGUUUCAAAAACCAUGAUCCUCCUCUUUCCUCUCACGGUUUGACUACCCAAUAAUUUUUCAUAUUUCAGGCUGAAAAGUUGCUUCGCCGACGAUUGUAUGCUCUUCAGAGAUAUUUUGCACUCCGAAGACUUCUUGUGAAGCUUGACUUUAUUCAGGUACAUGCGAUUGACACCAUUUAUGCUCCACUAUUCUAGACUUGUGCAAAUACUCAGUUUCGUACCUACGGCAGUUGAGUAGUGAUCCUGAAGAUGUUAUAAAAAGGCUUAAAUCUUCAAUUAGAUGCCCAGAGCUGCAAGAAGACGAGCUAAGCUAUUCUUUAAAGGUUUCUGUUGUCAUAUGUUUUAUGCAACAAAUGCACAACUAUGUCAUGUAAUAUAGCCUUUACCUUUCAUUUCAGAGUCAUAUGAACUUUCUGAAGAAAUAUGUGGAGAAGAAAAUGGACCCUGCAUACAGCAUAUCUGAGGUUAGAGUUGCCAACCUUUGUUGGCGGUGAUAUUGGAUUUGUUAUGUUAGGAUUUAUAGCUUGAUGCAAUGUGAAAGCAGAAAUGUUGCUCUUCUUCUUUCUUGCGGUUUGAACUAUAUAUAUCUUUUUAUGAUGCAAAAAAGUUAAGAAAAACCAAGACACUUGAACAAGAUUACAUAAGGUUCUGCAAUCCAUUGACACUAAAUAAUUUGACUGUUCUCUAGAUAUGAUUAUUCUCCUGAAAAACGAACAUGUGCAGGAGGUUAAAUGAAAUUUUAUCAGUAUGUUAGAAAGGAAUAACACAUCCAUUCAUAAAAGGAACUCAUGAUAAUGGAAUCUCAUAUCUGAACAGUGGAGUUUUAGCUUCUUGAAUCUGCAACUCUACAAUAAAUAGUGGUUGGAUAAAAAAGCAUCAUCAUGGGGACAAGCACAUGUUUUGUGGAGACGGCGUUGAUAAGUGUACUCCGAAAAUAACUAUUAGAAGCUUCUUUGCCCAUUGCAAUCUUCCUUUUUACUACGAGAGUGCCUAUGUGUUGCAAAGAAUGGUAGACCUAAUUUGACGCUAGGGCAUGUGUUGCUACAGAUCUUUAUAAGGCAUAUUGUCACUAGUUAUUUUCAGCAUGGUUUUUAAGGCGGUAAGGAAAGGCGAGGCGCCCUGACCCCUUUUGAACUUUUAAGCGCUUAAAGCGUAAGGCAAGGCGACGCCUUAGACUUAUUAUAGCAGCAAAAUAGAAUAGCCAUCAUCGAACUAGGGAACAGGCAAUCAAUCGUACGGACAACCACUAAUCAAGCAUUAGACUAAUCAAGUACAGCAAGUAAUCAACUAACAUCAUGUACUACUGUCUGUAACACUAUAAUAAAGCCAUCCGCUAACAGCCAAACAAAGUAGCAAAGGACUAUAAAUAACAGAGGAGAUAGGAGUACGGGAGUAACAGGACAAAUGGACAGAGACAGAGUCAAGAGAGAGGAGUGGAAGAAGAACAUGGUAGGGCGGGAAGUAUAAGGGAGGGAUGACGGGGGAAGAAGAGAGGGGAGAAAGCUGGCAGAUACACAUCUGCGCCAAAGCAGAAGCCCUGCCCGGAGGAGAAAGUUGGCACCCUUCUUCACCUUUGCCAGAGGAGAAAACUUGCGCUGUGGAUCUCAGUCCCGUCGCUGGUCGCAACUAGAGAGAGAGGAGCUCUCCUCGAUUAAUUUAUGGACUUGGAACUUGUACUUGCGACCACUCUUUUGUAACAUCCCAAUUUUUCAAAACUCUUCAUAUGCAUUGCAUAUCAUGAGCAUCAUGUCACUUUACAUUUAAUUACUUUGAAAAACCUUGAAAUUUGCCUAGAAAACCCUUUUGCAAAAAUGCUUUUAUUUGAUUCUGGGAUUUGAGUAUUUGCAUUUUAACCCAUGAGGGUAUUGGUUUAAAAAGGGAUUUAAUGCAUAUAUAAAGCUAUCCCAUAAGUUGGCUUUUGAAAGUAUUUUCAAAGAUAAUUUAUUUCGAUAGCCUAAGGGCCCUAGAAGCCAUUUUAUAGGCACAUGUAUUUUUAAAUAUUUUAUUUUGAGGAAAUUCUUGUUCCAAAAGUUAGAUCAUGUGAAAAUAUGAUUUUACAAAUUUUGUUGCAUUUUAUUUGGAGUGAUUUGGAGCUUCGAAUCAAUUUUGAGGUUCAAGAACAGAAAAUAGAUAAAAGAAAAGGAAAAACCGAAGAAAACCGGUCAAACCGGACCGAACCGGCCCGAACCGCCCGGUCCCUCUCACUGACCGGUGGACCCCGCGCGUCAUCUUCUCCAACUGCUGCCUCCGGAGUCCACGCAGAGCACGCCUCGCGAACUGCCCACGAUUCCUUCCCGAUUUCUUCGCGCACGAGCCUCCCAACUCCAAAUCCCUGCGCGUCACCCCGAAGCACUCGCGUUUCUCCUCCAAUUCCCCCAAACCGCUCGCCCAAUUUCGCUUCGGUUAGAGGUUAAUUUCUCGCCGAAGUUUGACGCGGACAUCGCCGUUCUUCGUGUUUCGUCGUCGUUCCGGUGAGCCUCCGCCCGCGCCGAACCCCUUCCCUAUCUCCUCUCUCCCGCGCGCACACAGUGACGCGUUCGGUUUCAAAUUUGGACGCCGUUCCGCGCCGCCGGCCGUCGCGCCGGCCGUCUUCCCCAGCGCCGGCCGCCGCUCGCGCGCCGUCCGGAGCCGCCGCCUGCGCCGCCCCGCGCCGCUCCGCCGACGCAGCCCGCGCCCCCGCCCUGCGCCGCCCGGUGCGCCGCCGCUCCGCCUUCGGCCGAGCCGCCCCGUGCAUGUGCGCGCCAACUAGCGCCCGAACCGCCCCGCCGCUCCGCCCCGCGCCGUCCGGCGAGCUCGCGCCGCCCAGGGGAAACCCUAGGUCCCGGCCAAUCCCGGCAUGCCACGUGGCGAAGCUUUUUCUUUUUCUUUUUAUUUUAUUUUCAGCCGAAUUAAUAUUGCACAUUUUGCAGAAAAGACCCUACAAUUUCAAAGCCUCAUAUCUUUCAAACCGUUUGUCCAAAAAUUGUGUUCUGCACCUUUCUGGAAUCGUCACAACUUGUAGAAUAUUUUGGCACGGUCUAAUUUCAAUUUUGAACAACUUAGUCAGAAGCAUUUUACAGAUUGGCUGAAUAGGGUUUAAACUUCAAAUGAAUUGUUUCAAAAUAGUUUUGGGCAUGUUAGCUUGCAGUAAAAUUAUUUAAGCUUGUUCUCUGUCCAUUAGGACCAGAAGAGAAAUUAUUUUGUGAAUAAUAAUGGCAUACAAGUUUAAAUCUUGCUCUAUGUUGCAAAAACCACACAAUCUUUUAAGUUAAACCCUAUCCUUAUUUCAUGCAUAUUAAUUACCUCUUUGUUAAUGUGUAAUAUGCCCAAACCAUUUGAAAAACUUUUCAAAGCAGAAACAAAACUUGUUACAUUAAAAGUAACCAAGUGUGCAUUAACAUAGCAUAUGCAUCAUGGCAUGAUUUUUGCAUUGAAUGUUGUGUUUGUUGUGUGCAUGUUUCUUUUAUUUUAGAUUGUGUGGAGUGUUUUCCUUGUUGUUGCGAAGAGUGCGAGAACUAUCACAACCUUGGACAAGGCAAGUUCACUUUGAUCAUAUCCCAUUAUUAUUGUUGUUUUAAAAUACUUAUGCAUUAGUGUUGUUGGUAAAGAUGCAUUGAUAGGACUAUUACUCGUACCGUUAUGCUAGUUAUAAAUCCUAGGUAGUAUAGUUUACCCUCGCCAUUACCUUGCUACCAAAUUGCCAUCGAUUGUAGUUGAAUGCUAAGCUGUGGUAGUAUCGUGGGGAAAAUAACUACAUUAUGAUAUUGUUAUGCCGUUGGCUAUAUGAAAUGUUUUUGUUAGAUGUAAGGCAAAACAACUAAUUCAAUGAACCAUCCUGAGUGGGUUGUUUUGAGGAUUUUGAGGAUUAGCGGCGUCAGGUCUAUUUCUAUGGGUCCCUCUGAGUCGAGUUCCUAUGGAUUCAGGAAUGGAUCGUCCAUGGACGUCUCUCUCGUGGAUUCGGGGAGCACCUACGUUGCAAAUGUGGAAUGCCACAUGGGGUAACCGAGACUGGACUAGUUUCCUAUUUAGAAGCUUCCAGUACAACCACAAUGCUAUAUGGGCUCUGGCGAGACAAGAGUAAGUUGUAUGAUCCUAGACCCGAGGAAUUGUACUGAGGUAGAAUGUGUAGGGAGAUUCUCUCGUGGUUUAGGGAAUUACCUCUGAAAAUCUCGUAAUCGAUGCCGUUGCUACUACCCUGAGGACAGCAAAGGAUUAACACGUCGGUUUCUUGUGGGGAAUGUGUACAAACUCUCGAGAGCGUCAAAACUAAGUACUUAGUCGUGUCCCCGGUAACGUACAAUUUGAGCAACUAGAUGUGGAGCUGUAAGGAAAGUCUCACUCAUUCCAAUUUCUUAAAUAAAAUGAAUGGUUUGAACAGGGUAGGGGCUCUAGGUUAAUAGGAAGAUGGGUGUGUCUACCCCAUGUCCAAUAGUUAUCAUUAUUAUAACAUUUCUUUGUAGUAUGGUAAAUUAUGUUCUGCUUCCACGCAAAUAGCCUUGAACCUCACUUUGCCACAUUAUGCAUAUACUUGGUAGGCUCUGAUAUAACUCCUAGUGAAUCUUGCCAAUACAUUCAAUGUAUUGACCCUAGUGGCUGCAUUGUUUAAUGAUGCAGGAAGCUCCGACGACGAGUAAGAUGUACGUUCUGCAUGUUUGGGUUACGGGCUUACAUUCCAACACGCUCUCACCGUGAUGUUGAUGUGCCCUUGUAUCUUUCGCUUUCCGCUGCUAAACAGUUGUUUUAUUUCCAACUAACUUGUGAGGUUAUGUGAGUUGUAAGUAGCUUUUAAAUUCUGGAUGAUACGUUGUAAUAUUGAGACCUUUGUUCUAUGAUAUUACAUCUUGAAACUGUGUGUGUUAGUGAGUCGAUCCAGGGACUAGCACAAAAGCACGGAGAUUGAACCCGUAUACGGGGGCGGUCGCUUCAUCUUUCCCCAUACUUCUACCAAUUUUCCCUCCCGUCUCCUAUUUCCCCUCCCAGAUUUCCCACCCGCAUCCUAUUUCCCUUCCCAGAUUUCCUGCACAGGAGGCUCCUGCCCUUGCAUAUCGUGUCCAAAUUGGACAUGGCAAUGACCUAUGGCGCCUAAUUGACGCCCUGGACGAUUAAAAGGGCUAAGGUGGAUGCCUAACGUGGCCCUCUAAGGCGAGACAGAUGCUUCGCGCGCGAGUGCGCUCUGACGCUUAGGCGACGCUUUUAAAACCAGGAUUUUCAGUACCUUGGUUGGUAGGCCUCUAAGGAUUGCCGCUUGGGAAAACGGCUCCAAGGAGCAAAGGGUUGGCCGGCCUGGACGCAAGGAAUGAGAGGGAGAGAAUGUUGGAGACUAGGAUUAGAUCUUUACUACCCCCUCCGUCCCAUAAUUCUUGUCGCUGUUUUAGUACAAAUUUGAUUGUACUAAAACAGCGACAAGAAUUAUGGGACGGAGGGAGUAGUUUAUUCUCAUGGCCCUAUAAUUCAUAUGGUGUACAAGGUGCCCCUUUUAUAGGGAAGAUUCGGACUUGAUUUCUAAGAAUAAAAUCUUGACUCAUAACAAUCUAAGGUUUAUCUUCAUAACUAAAUUGAUAUCUUUACUAACUAGAUAGAUAUUCAUACUCGCUAAAUAAUAUAGUAUGCUUAUUUCCAUAAUAAAGUGACCAAGCCACUGUUCAUGUUGGUGCUGUUCACGUUCAUAGUAGUUCUUGCAUGUGACGGACUCCUGGCUUGGCACUGCCAUGGUCCAUAGGCCCUUCACCCAACACACAUGACACAUACCAUGUCCGCAAAGAAGAAAACAUAACUUCUUCUAGGAAUGUGAGUGUUGCCACUGAUCAUAAAUAGGCAUGACAUGACUGCAGAAGCAAGCUGCUAUAUGGAAUCCCAAAACGACAGUGUACUACGCACACCUCAUGAGCUCUCCAUCCGCAUCCGCUGCUAGUAUGAAAUUCAGUUGACAUCGCUGUCCUCUUCAUGAUUUUUUCAUCUUCAAUAGAGAGCAUAACUGCAGAAAGACAAUGAGUUGUCCUAUUGCUCUUUCUCCAAUUCUCACUUUCUCCAUUGUCACUUGCGCCCUUUCUCCAAUUCUAGUGACCACUAGGGGUUGGUGCAUUUAGCGCUCACCUUUUAUAACAGUGAAUGGAAAAUGUGAAACUUAAAUAUUCUCCAGGUCUACUCUCCUCCCACAGGGCCGUGCCAUGCUUGACUGAUAGCACAUCCUACACCCAUAAGACAUCACUGAGUGCUGAGAACUGAAUACUGAACCUAUCCCUGAACUCAAUUUACCAUUCAUAAGUGAUCUGCGGUGUUUAUUCCAAAACAUAGUACUCCCUCCGUCCCAAGAUAAGUGACGAACCUAUACAAAUCCACACCACUUAUUUUGGGACGGAGGGAGUAUCAUAUGUAGAAAUAACUCACAUAUUUCAUUUAUUAUGUUGCAUUACAUGGCAUUUGUAGUCUUCCUAGUUUGCACAUUCCUCUUCACUUCUGCAGUAUGAAAAUGUAGCUUUGAAGAAGAUCAAUUCAGAGCUGAGUUCAGAAUUACAGAAGCAUUUGGAUCUCUGUGAUUGGGUAAGUUCUAUGACGUUGCAGCCCCCUUCAACCCAGUUCUGCUGCAACUUGUGCUCAUUCUCAUUGUCUCCAUAAUUUUUAGAGGCUUAUGCAGCAAUACUAUGACCGUAUGAAAUUAAGGAGGCUUGCAAGAGAGUGUGCUAUUCAAGCACAAAUGACUGGAACUAUUAUUAUUGGAGAGGUAGGAUAUUUUUGUUAUGGGCAUGUUCCAUUUUACAAUUAGGGAAUCAUAGAAGCAUAGAAUUGUAUGCCAUCAUAAAAUAAAAUUAGACAGAUUAGUGUAAAUGCCCUUCUUGUUUCCUUGGUAGAUUUAUGAUAGUGACAUUCAGAUUAACUUGUCACACAUUUUAUAUGCUUUGUUAUUUUACACGUUCUUUUGACUCUUUUUGGAUGUUCACAGGAACCUUAUAUCUUACAGUUCUCUCUAUCUUUGUCUUCAUCGUGGUCUAUACCGUGAAGUUGUUAAAUUAAAUGGAAAUGCAUCUGCAUGCCUGAAAAAUCCUACUUGAUAUAUAUGUAUAUUUAUUUCUUUUCUAAUGCAGGCUCUGCCUAUAAGAAAGCAUGGGAAGGAAAAUAUUCUAUCUGCAAAUCUGGAAGAGAAGUUACCUUUAUUUAAAGAAGCAGUGAAACAGUCACUUAAUGGUUACAUCAGUAGAAUACAACAGAAGUUCAGGAGUGGAGCCGGUAGGCCGUUGCCAUUGCUAUUUCUCGGUACAUUUGCAACGAUUGCAACAUGGGGCAUCAAAACGGAGCGUUAGAGCUGGCUCCUGCCUGUUUAACGGUAUGGACUUGUUGUAGUAUUUUCUUUUGGUUUUGAUAGGCGACUAAUCUGUUUAGUAAAGGUGAACUACUUUAUGUUGUUAGCAUUAUGAAAUAAAAAGCCUUUGCCUGAUUUAUUUUCUUGGACAGAACGGGCGGAUACAAACCGUUAGUUUGAAUAAUCAUCUAUUUAUUUAUACAAAAUAUUUAUGAAACACUAUGGUGGUCCGAUUGUGUUGUAGGUACUACUCUCUCGAAAAUGCUUGUCAUGUCCUGAGCGACUGGCCUCUCUUUAUCCGGCGUCGAGGUCUAGCUUUUUUGGUGCCCACGCGUUUGUUCUGGUCCAUUACUGCGAUGUGAGCGAUAAAUUUUGGUGGCGCGCUAGCCGCACGCCUGUUAGAUUUUUCCAAGUCACCUUCGUCUCCUACCUGUCUACCCCCGUCUCCUGCAAGGGAAAAAUUUACAAUCCUCGUCUGCCCACACCCACACAGAAUAAAUUCCCCCCACCCAGCCCAUGGACCUUCACGGAUGGCUGCAACAUCCUCGGUGGUCGGCCGCACCGCUGGUGGGAGAUGGCACCCCUUUGCGGCACGGCCACCUUUUGCCGUCGUUUGCUUGCAACAUCGCUGUCGUGAGGCAAUGCCUUGUAGCAACGGCGCCUGUAGGUUGUAGCACCAAGCAUCCUCCUUGGCAGCACCACCGCACACCAAUCACAGAAUCACCUCACGGCACCGCCGUAUCCCCCUCGCAGCACCGCCGCCUCCAGCUUGAAGCAUCGACAACCUCUGUUUGCAACAGCUCCGCACAACGGUCGCAGCAUCGCCUCGCGGCACCGACGCAUCCUCCUCGCCGCACCACCGCCUGGCCUCGCUGCAGUACCAUCUCUCGAUUGCAGCACCGAUGACCUCGGUUUGAAGCAGCACUGGCGGCAUGGCUUGCAACAGCGCCGGCUAGCAAGCGACACCAAUCACGUGAUCUGCUAGGGAAGCGCCGGCUCGUAUUUGUUCAGCACCGGCGGCGUGGCUUGCAGCAGCGCCCAUGGCGGCGGAUUUGGUGGGAUCGGGAGGUUGGCGUGCGUCUGCAUGAGUGGGGGAUUGGGACGAAUGGUUGGGAGGAUAAAGAAGAAAGAUAAUGUGGGUGGGACCCACGGGAGCGAAGCACUGGCUCGUUUUUGUUCAGACACGAAAAGGACACGCGUCGUGCAGAGAAAACGGCCAACGCGAGCGUGAGAUCCGUCGGGGGAUAAAAAUCGUUUCCCUAAAUUUUGGCCCAUCGGGAGAUGUGUCCUCAGGAUUCAGGAACAUGGUCCGAAACAAAUUAUCUUGGGCCACUGCAUGGGAAUGGGCAGAUAAUUUGCUUUUGGCCAGCCCCAGACAGGAGUUAGGCGAAACUCCCGUUUCGUCGGGAUUUCUUAUUAAACCUUGAAGACGCUGAUAUCCUAAUUAAAUCUUGGUCUCCGAUUCAAACAUGGUCCACUUUUCGCCCAUGUCUCACUGCGGGCAGUACAAGACAAUUGCUGUGCUGGCCCAUUAGACAUGGCAAGAAGACCACUUCUCGUUAUAGUUAUAUAGUUCCUCAAAAAAAAAUGUUAUAGUUAUAGCUCAUCCCCCACAAUUUAACCAAAAUUAGCCCACGUGUCAAUACUUGUCCCUCUUUUCGUAUUGAAGUUGUGAAAUCUUUUCCUGGUCGUAAACACAGGACAAAUCAAUCCCAUCAUGAUCUCUUAUUAUCCCGCCCAUGGUUAGGCUUCUACUACUUCCAUGCUCAAAUCUGCCAUGUCUACAAUUUGAUUACUACUUCCUUCGAUUCAUAAAAAGCGUCGCACAUUUUGUAUUGAGUUAGUAAACAAAUUGGCGACACUUUUUAUGACCGGAGGAAGUACAUAUUUUUACAAAUUCAAAUAUUAAUUUGUUGACCAACGUCUCAUGGAGUUAAUUUGCACAUAGUACUGGAUCGUUUAUGCCUCAUUUGUUCACCAACGUCUCGUGGAGUUAAUUUGUUGACCAACGUCUUUCAUCCGUUUCUAAUGAAUUCAGCCGGACCGCCGCAAACCCCUCUAACACUGAGUGGUCCCCGCUUCAGCACCCGAGCAUGCGGUGCAUCGACGCCGAGCGCCACGCAUCAAGAUGGAUAGCCACCGGACCCACCUUGUUGUAUUUCUCCCCGGCCCUUACUGUAUUGCUCGCGUAUUCCUCAUCGCAAGGGUUCGCUGGCCCAGGCACGUGGUGGUGGUGCUGGCCCAAGUUGGACCCUGACCUCGUUUUUGGUCGUGGCAUGGAAUCUCGGUACAAGCAUUCAGGUCCGGCUGCUGUAACAUUGGAACAACUUGGACCCAACUUUACCGUUGCACACGUUUUGUAAUCCAACAUGUAACGGCGUAACGCUCGUUUCAUGUCCAUGUUAGGCGGAUAUCCUGACCAAAUCCAACUGAAAAUGACACAUCUUUGACCAAAAUCUUGAUUUUUUUUUUAACCGGAGUCCAAAGGACUUCAUCUAUUAAUUACGAGGAACAUGACCGCACUAAAGACCACCCUGGCUGCCCUGGCCAUCCACACUCACUCAAUGCACGGAGACGAAGAGAGCCGUCGAGGUUGCAAGUAAAAGUCAUCGUCAUCACACAAACACUCCUCCCGAGCUGGCGACUCCAACUUCCCCCACCAACGCCCAAGAAAUGACUUCUCCACUACAGGCACGCAAGCUCGUGUCGGCCCAGGCCAAACAGGCAACCAUCCUCGCAAGCGAACAAAGCCACUGAUUCUGAUGGUGAGCUUCGGAGAGGCAAUAUGCAAGGCCAGCACCGAACAAGAACCUCAGAGAUCGGACCACCUCACAAAGAGUCAUCGUCAUCACGCAUCACUCUUUUGAGCUGGCGACUCCGACUCCCCAACAACGAAGCAAACCCAACCUGGAAGGCCAGCGGACACGUCGGAAGGACCGACUACCAGAACCAUUGCCGCAGCCUAACUUUUGCUCAACACCGUCGUCACUACCACAAAAUUCGCCAACGGAACACUCGCAACGCCGGCUGGGCACCUGCCAACUAUGAAGCCGUGCAUGGCCAGCCCCGGGAAAGCACGAAGGGAAACACAAUCUUCAAGACGACACCCUCAAGAGGGGAAGCGACGCAAAAACGACGCCAUCGUCCGACCCUGCACCGCAAGGCCUAGGCCUUGACCCGAAGAUGAGACCCGAGAGCUGGGAAGGACGAAGUGCUCCAUGACAACCCCCAAGAGGAGAGCGACAUCCACGAACGCCGCGCCAUCGGCUUUCGCCCAGAGCAAACCUUCUCCUACGCGCACCCCCGCGCUGCCGGAUAGAGGCGGGGAAGACCCGCAACGCCGUCGGCCUGCAAACCCACUGCCCCAAGCCCCUCCAACAUGGCAACGGCGCCACCACCACGCAAGAGCCACCAACCUCACCGCUAGUGAGCCGACGGGACAGAUCGGCCAACGCAAUCUGGCGCCCCGGGACCCCGGCCAACGCAGCAGGCCGCCGCCACGCGCCAUGACGACCAGGGAGCAGGACGAGGGGACCGCCACCCCACCCCAACAUGCCGGACAUAGCCGACGCCGCCGCACCAAGGAGGAAGCAGGAGCUUCGCUCGGCACUGCGCCGCUGCAGAGGACCGCCCGAAGGACGUGGAGGACAUGCCAUCACGCUGGCCGCAGCCACCGGGGCCGAGCCUCCCCCUCAGCGUUGCGAGCAAGAAGAGCCCUGCCGCCACCGCGUCCGCACGGACUUAGCCCGGCGAAUUCAUCCUACGGCGGCGAGCAAGGGGUAGGGAGGGAGGGAGGGUAGCGGCGGCGGCGGGCCUAGGGUUCCCCCGAUCCGCCCUUAGACGACGCGGGGGUCGGGGAAAAUCUUGAAUUUUAUGAACGUACUUUCUUAGAAUUUUUUUUUUUGGAAGGGUAUUUUCUUAGAAUCAAGAUCACCUAAACCCAGUUUAAACGCUCACUGACUGAGUAAAAAGCACGCGCACGAAGGACGGCGAAUCUCUUUUCUGCCUGCGCACCAUCUCGUCCUACGCAGUGCGCACGCGUGCGCGUCGUCGGAUGGGAUCGGGCGGCUGGCCUCUCCCCGACCACAUCUUCCUUGGUGAACCUUAUCCACGGUCUCUCCUAGUCUCCUCCACCCAUUCUCUCUAGCUCUCUCCCUACCCCGCCCCCUUCGGCCCUUCCUCUCCUCCCCCGACGCACGCAGCUAGUCUCCUUCCUCCUCUCUCCUCCUCAGCCCCCCACAAAGAUCUGGAGCGUCGAUGCGCCACUGCCUCUUCACGGAGAUGGGCGGCUUCUUCCUCCUCCUGCUUGAUGCCUACGUUCUUCUCAACUUCCAAGUCCAUGGCGGCCUGUCCCUGAACCAUACCUGUGACGUUGUAGACCUCGAGGCGCUCCGGUGGGCGGCGCCUUCGUGGAAUGAGGCGGACGGUUCACCACAGGUCUGAUCUCGUCCGACUCGCCGACUGUCCUCGUCCCCACCUCCAUCCCCCGCGCUGAACUCUGCUGGCCUCCGCCUCUCUCCUCCUGUGCCCCGAUCUCCUCCCAUGCCAACAGCAGCCACCACUUCCCUCCGCGCAUCAACGCUGGCCGAAACGGGCAGGAUCCUCCUUCCUCGGGGAGAUCCGCCGUUCCCGCGUCCUCCUCACACUUUGUCCCCAUCUCUCUCCCCGACUUUAUUCCCUACCCCCGUCGCUCUCUCAUUCCGCUCGCUUUCCACCGCCGCCGCCGCCGCUCGCCCGUGCCCAUGGCCGCUGCGGGGACGGCAUUUCGUCCCGUCCUAAGUCACUCCGCUCCAAGUGCCCAGCUUCCUCCUGUGCUGCUCCAAACCCUCAUCGACGGGGUCGUCGAGCUCGUCGAAUGCCUCCGGCUGGCAGACAUCGGAGGGGACCGUGCUUCCUUGGUAACGGGCUUGCUUGUUUUGGUCCAGCAUGAGUUGAUUAUUGUUCUUGUGUGGUCAUGUGCAGGAUGUUGUACCGUGUUAUUUAUGUGAUAAUGGAAUUUUUCUCCAAUACCCAAAGGCUUCUUAUUGCUUUUUCAUCCCUGAUUGCUUCUCAGUUUUAUGCUUAUUCCCUUCUACCAUGAGAUAGAGAGGGGCCAUCAAGGUAGAUAUUACUUUUCCCCUUACUUUUCGUGUUCUUAGUGACAAAAAGAUUUGGUAUAAGAAUAGGUUUUUAUAUGAAGGAAUCAUUUUAUUUUACAGAUGUAAAUUCUAUGUUCAAAAUUACUUUAUGAUUUUGCUGGAUGUAGUUUUGAUUUAUAACAGUUACUUUUAGGAUUUAAGUAGAUGUAAUUUUAAUCUUAAAGUUACUUUUCUGUUUUCUUUAGAUGUGAUUAUAAUCUUAAGAGUUACAUUCUACUUUGAUUGAAGCGACCGCCCCCGUACACGGGUUCGAUCUCUGUGCUUUAGUGCUAGUCCUUGGAUCGACUCACUAGCACACACAGUUUCAAGAUGUAAUAUCAUAGAACAAAGGUCUCAAUAUUACAACGAAUCAUCCAGAAUUUAAAGGUACUUACAACUUGCAUAACCUCACGGGUUAGCUGGAAAUGAAACAACUGUUUAGCAGCGGAAAAACGGAAGAUACAAGAGCACAUCAACACCACGGUGAGAGCGUGGUGGAAUGUAAGCCCGUAACCCAAACAAGCAGAACGUACAUCUUACUCGUUGUCAGAGCUUCCUGCAUCAUUAAACGAUGCAGCCACUAGGGUCAAUACAUUGAAUGUAUUGGCAAGAUUCACUAGAAGUUAUAAUAGAACCUACCAAGUAUAUGCAGUAUUUGGCAAGGUGGAGUUCAGGCUGUUUGCGUGGAAGUAGAACAUAAAUUACCCUACUACAAAGAAAUGUUACAGUAAUGUUAACUAAUGGACACAGGGUAGACACACCCAUGCUCCUAUUAACCUAGAGUACAUUGAAGUGGAUUCUUCAAGUACUCCUACCCUGUUCAAACCAUUCAUUUUAUUUAAGAAAUUGGAAUGAGUGAGACUUUCCUUACAGCUCCACAUCUAGUUGCUCAAAUUGUCCAUUGCCGGGGACACGGCUAAGUACUUAGUUUUGACGCUCUCGAGAGUUUGUACACAUUCCCCACAAGAAACCGACGUGUUAAUCCCUUGCUGUCCUCAGGGUAGAGUAGCAACGGCAUCGAUUACAAGAUUUUCAGAAGUAAUUCCCUAAACCACGAGAGAAUCACGCUCCCCCUACACGGCUACCUCAGUACAAUUCUUCGGGUUUAGGUUCAUACAACUUACUCUUGUCUCGCCAGAGCCCAUAUAGCAUUGUGGUUGUACUAGAAGCUUCUAAAUAGGAAACUAGUCCAGUCUCCGUUACCCCAGGUGGCAUUCCACAUUUGCAACGUAGGCGCUCCCCGAAUCCAUGGGAGAGACGUCCAUGGACGAUCCAUUCCUGAAUCCACAGGAACUCGACUCAAAGGGACCCAUAGAAAUGGACCUGAUGCCGCUAAUCCUCAAAAUCUUCAAAGCAGCCCACCCAGGACGGUUCAUUGAAUUAAUUGUUUUGCCUUACAUCUAACAAAAACAUUUCAUAUAGUCAAAGGCAUAACAAUAUCAUAAUGUAGUUAUUUCCCCCACGAUACUACCAUAGCUUAGCAUUCAACUACAAUCGAUGGCUAUUUGGUAGCAAGGUAAUGGCGAGGGUAAACUAUACUACCUGGGAUUUAUAGCUAGCAUAGAGGUACGAGUAAUAGUCCUAUCAAUGCAUCUCUACCAACAACACUAAUGCAUAAGUAUUUUAAAACAACAAUAAUAAUGGGAUAUGAUCAAAGUGAACUUGCUUUGUCCAAGGUUGUGAUAGUUCUCGCACUCUUCGCAACAACAAGGAAUUACAGUCCACACAAUCUAAAAUAAAAGAAACAUACACACCAUAAACACAACACUCAAUACAAAAGCCAUGCCAUGAUGCAUAUGCCAUGAUGAUGCACACAAAGGUUACUUCUAAAAUACAAGUUUUGUUUCUGUUUUGAAAAGUUUUUCAAAUGAUUUGGACAGAUUAUACAACAUCAAGUGGUAAUUAAUAUGCAUGACAUGGAUAGGGUUUAAAACAAAAGAUUGUGCGGCUUUUGCAACAUAGAGCAAUAUUUAAACUUGUAUGCCAUGAUUAUACACAAAAUAAUUUCUUCUCUGGUCCUAAUGGACAGAGAACAAGUUUAAAUAAUUUUAUUGCAAGCUAACAUGCUCAAAACUAUUUUGAAACAAUUCAUUUGAAAUUUAAACCAUAAACCACCAUUCUGUAAAUAGCUACUGUCUAAAUUAUUCAAAACCGAAAUUAAACAGUGCCAAAAUAUUGUACACGUUGUGACGAUUCCAGAAAGGUGCGGAUCACUAUUUUUGAACAAACGGUUUAAAAGAUAUAAGGAUUUGAAGUUUCAGGAGCUUUUCUGCAAAAGUGCAUUAUCUAAUUCGGCCGAAUUAAAAAAAACAUAAAAUGCUCUGCCACGUGGCAUGGCGGGAUUGGCCCGGGGCUAGGGUUCCAGCCGACGGGGCGUGCGCGCCGGACGGCGGAGGCGGGCGGCGCAGGGCGGCGCGGCAGGCGGGCGCGGAGGCGGUGCGGGGCGGCGCGGCAGGCGGCCGGAGCGGCGCAGGCAUCGGCGGGCGGGCGGCGGCGCGGGGCAGCGCGGGCGCGGGCAGGCGGGAGGAGGUGGCGGCGCGAGCGACGGGCCGGCGCGCGGCGGCAGCGUGCGGGCGCGGGCGCGGGCAGUGAUGCGGGUCGGGGUGGCCCGAUCUUUCGAUGAGAUUGAUAACUCUCGAUUUGGGUAGAAGGUGGCGUUGACGAUCCGACUACGGCCUAGGAGGCAGCGUCUUAGCAAUCGAUACACCAACUCCAGACGGUUAUAUUGAUCACGCGGGGGCACGAUCAACCUGACCACGAAGGUCUUUGUUCCUGCAAGCAAUCGAAAAACAAGCAAGAACAAGAUAAAUAGCUGAUGCAAUCUAAAAUUGCGAAUAUACUAUAUCAAACCAAUGUCUCAACGAGACGAUAAGUUGGAGUCUUGACGAUGGUAAAACAGGUGGUCUAACCGACACACGCGAUUACACGAAAGUUGCAAAGAUGGCUAAACUUUAUUUAAUCAAAACCCAAGGCUCCUUAGGGGGGGCUCAUGGGGUAUAUAAAGGAGGAGGGAGAGAUAUUUUCGUCCAGCUUGAGUAAGGAGGCCGAAAUCCAACUCUAUCUCUAACUUUCCUAACAAACUACAACUCUUUAGGAAACAGAAAAACAGAUCCGUCAGCUUGUUUUGUCCGUCACGGUCAGCACGAGUCGAAUCUCUUGAUGGGGCCAGAUCCGUUGGAAAUGUCUUGUAAUUUUCUUUCCAACAAGUACUGUUUUGCUUGAUUUGGACUCCGGAUGCGGCCUGGGUGAUUAAAACAAAUUCGGGUCUCCUGACAGCUCGGACCCAAAUCGGAUUCAACUUUAAUUCGUGAUAUCUUUCUCUAGCAAGCUCCGAAUCAUGUGCCGUUUGAUUUGUUGGAAAGUACACUUGAAAUCCUUCCCUCUCAGCUGUAUGAAUGCUUGAUUCUUGUUGGCCCUCCCGUUCGCCUCCAUCAUAUCUCAUCUUGACCUUGGACUUGAAAAGCUCGACAAGAUGCCUACGUAAUAAAACGAGACAAGAUAGUAGUAGCUCCGCCUCUUCAUAAAUAUGACAAUCAAAACAAUUACUACUUGAAUUCACCUGAUUAUAAAUCUUGUCAAAUAUUAUAGAAUUGAGGGUACCAAAGGUCAUAUCCAUGGUUAGCAUGUCCAUAUCAGGCAGGCGGCGCAGGCGGCCGGAGGCGGAGAAGAAGACGGGCGGAGCGCGGGCGAGCUCCAAAAGCAAAUUGGACGGCGUCACUGCGUGCGCAACGAGGAGAGGAAGAGGCUUAGGAGGUCGGUGCGGGCGGAGACUCACCGGAACGGCGGCGAGACGAGGAAAACGGCGGCGGCGGGGUGCAACUCCAGUGAGCAAUUAAAUUGCAAUCGAGGCAAAAUCGGGCGAGCAGUUGGGGGGGAGUGGUAGAGAAAAACGAGGGCUUGGGGUGACGCGCAAGGAUUUGGAGGAAACGGCCCGAGCGCGGAGAAAUCGGAGGUGGAGUCGUGGGCAGUUCGCGGGCGUGCGUGGCCGGAUUUCUCGGACGGAGGUUGAAGAUGACGCGCGGGUCCCACCGGUCAGUGAGAGCGGGCGGCUCGGGCGGGGCGGAGCCGGUCGGUCCGGUUCGGCGGUUCGGUCCGGUUCGGCCGGUUUUUCCGGUUUUUCCUUUUCUUUUAUCUAUUUUCUGAUUUUGAACCUCAGAAUUGAUUCGAAGCUCCAAAUCACUCCAAAUCAAAUGCAACAAAAUUUGUAAAAUCAUAUUUUCAUAUGAUCUAACUUUUGGAACAAGAAUUUCCUCAAAAUAAAAUAUUUAAAAAUACAUUUGCCUAUAAAAUGGCUUUUAGGGCCCUUAGGCUAUCGAAACAAAUAAUUUUUUCAAAAUACUUUCAAAAGCCAAUUUAUGGGAUAGCUCUAUAUAUGCAUUAAAUCCUUUUUUACCACAACACCCUCAUGGGUUAAAAUGCAAAUACCCAAAAGCAAGAACAAGGUCCAAAAUCAAAUAAAGGCAUCUUUGCAAAAGGGUUUUCUGGGCAAAUUUUAGGGUUUUGAAAGUGAUCAAAAUGCAAGGGUGACAUGAUGCUCAUGAUAUGCAAUGCAUAUGAAGAGUUUUGAAAAAUUGGGAUGUUACAUUGAUUAGAUGUAAUUGUAAUGUUCGUAGUUAUCUUUCAGUCUUUUUUAUGCUUCUGGCUUCCUUACUUAGUUGACACUGACUUAUGUAAAUAAUUGGGGGCCCAUAUAUAGCUUGAGGGGGAUAUGGGGAGUGUAGAUAGCUUUACUGUAAAUCAAUUACAAAUGAGGUAGCGGCAUGGAGAAAAGUAGAUGGGAAAAGAUGGGGUGGGUUUUGUGGUUUUGCUUUGGAGAAAAAAAGGGAAAAGAUGACACUACUGAUUCUUUUACUGCAUUAAUGCCAUCCUUUCCCUGAUCUUAAUCUUAAUCUUUUGUUCAGAACUACCUUUAUUUUUCUUACAUUUAGGUUUCUAUUGCUUUACCAGAUCUUGUAUCUUGAUUCCCUAGACACCGCAGCUCUGCAAGUACAAACAAACAGAACUCAUAGCUAGCUAGCAUGGUGUAGAACUGUGGACAGACAAGAUGGUCUCCGGAUGGCAGUUGGCGUGGACACAAACUGUGUUUUUGUGUUCUUAGGCUUCAUCUAUGGGCAAAAACAAGCUGAAACUACAUGUACAUCCCCUUUUCUUUGUGCCUGCAGUUUUAUCUGAACUUUUUAGUGAUACCUACAUGUAAGUCGUACAAGCACCUUGUGGGUUUUUUAUUUCUGUUGUGGAUUUUUGUGUGCAUGCAGUCGUGAAUUUCCAAUGAUCAUAUCAUACAUUCUUGGAUCAAAAGUUACAACAUCAAACCAUGGGGAAUUCUUAGAGCGCACUUUUUAUAGGAAAAGCUGAGGUAGCUAGACAGCAGGUACCUUGAGUAUCUUCUUUUUUUCGUCACCAGUUUGAGAUGCUUGGAUCUGAUCUUUUUCUGGUCAGAUGCUAUCUCCAGUUCGAUGUAAUUUCUACUCCGUAAGUGUUUUUUCCUGGAGGUAGAUCUUUCUGCAUUCUGUGUUUUCAUGGCGGAGUCUGGAGGUAGAAGAAAGAGUUGACAGGUUUGUAGGAGGUGUGGGGUUCCAGACUGCUGUGCACCCGAUGUAAAAGGAGAGUACAAACCUGUGGUUUUCUGGUAUUUCCUGGCGCCAUCAAUGUGGGACCACGAGAUUUCUUCCCUGUCUCCAUCAACGCGGGGUCCACCGGGACCGGGAGCAAUUUUCUGGACAGACUAGGGCGCGCACCGUGUAGCCACGUGCUUUGGGAUAGGGGGGUGUUACCUUUUUGGGAGUUACGAGCACUUGGUCGGGACUCAAUUCAUAUGCCAGAUCUAGGGCGCGCACCAUGUAGCCACGUGCUUUCGGAUAGUGGGGUGUUACCUUUUUGGGAGUUACGAGCACCUGGUCGGGACUCACUUCAUGUGCCAGAUCGUGCGCGCGCAUCGGGUAACGGCCCCCUAAAUAAAAGUAUUAUUUAUCUCCAUGUUCAUUAUUAUUGUUUAUUUCUUUAUGCUAGAACUGCUAUGAUUCUUGAAUAUGAGAUUCGAAGGAAAACUCAUAAGCGCGUGUAAAGAGAUAAACACCAAAUUGUUCCUAGUCCGGCCUCUAGGAUUAACUCAUGUGUCGUAUGAUGAUCAUGUUUUCCUGAUCAUGGCAUAGUCAUAGUAACAAAGAUCCCUACGACAGUGAGAGCACAUUGUUAGAAGAACAAGGGUGCUGAACAGAUCCAAUUUCAUGAUAUACUACGAGAUCUUUUCGUCACUUGUUAGUAUUAUCAUAAGAUUGUUAUUGUAUACUCACGUCCUUAGACCAUGAGAAUAUCAAGUCCAUUCAUACUGGAAGAUUUACUUUGAUGGUUAUCAAACGUUACCCGUAACUGGGUGGUUAUAACGGUAAUCUUUCAGGUAUUUCAGAAAUGUAUGUCUAGCAACUCAAUAGUUCAAGAUUGGGAUUUGCUCCUCCUGACGAUGGAGAGAUAUGCUUCGGGCCCUCUCGGUAUUAUGGUGUCCAUUAUCGUCUGGUCAGACACGUUGUGAUUCGAUCACAGGGGUAUCAAAAUAAGGAAACGAGAAAAGAGAACAAACCGGUAACGAGGAUGAUUUGGUAUUGUGAUCAAGUCGUUGCUUCACAAGGAUAUCACAAGGAUAGCAAAAGGAAUUGUUUACGGGAACAAAAGGUUCGCUCGAAAUAUUCGUGUAUGUGUGGGAAUUAAUAUGGAUGUCCAGAUCCCGCUAUUAAUUAUUGACCGAAAGGAGUUCCGGGUCAUGUCUACACAUUACCAAACCUGCGGGGUCACACGCUCAAGGAUCAUCAUUUUGUUGAGUACUAGAACUGUUGGAAACAAGAGAGAAUUACACCGGAAAAGUUUCCGAAAGAUUGAAAAUGGUUCAGCGAAUAAAAACGAAAAAGUUUUGGAUAGGCUCCAUGGGCUGCGUGCCUGGAUAGUCCAGGAUAGAGGCAGCCGCAUGGAAUGGGGAGGAUGAACCACCGUUCUUGGUGGCUGGUUUAAAGGGUAUUAACCCCCUAUCCUUGAUGCACAUAAAACCCCUACUUGAUGGACUUGGUAACUCCUCGUUGAUGUGCAUGGGACUAAAAACUGGUAACGCUCUCUUUGAUGUGCCUAUUUAAGUGGAGGGAAGAGGCAGCCAAAAACACACACACGGGUGGGUGCAAGGCUGCCCUCUCUCUCGUAACCAUUCUCAUUGUUCCAUAAUUAGUCUCCGGUAGUUUUUCGUUCUGGACGGCGAAGCACUGCUGAAUUGGUGAUUCCGUACGCGUGGAUACCGGCAGAGGGAUCGUGCUUUCGAUCCUCAGACGGGAGGGAUAAUUCUCGCGGUUGGGAGGUACAAUCCUAGCUGCGGGAAUCAGCAUCAACGGUCUUCACCAACAUCUUCUCUCCGCUGCGAUCGUUGGUAGAUUCGAUAAAACCUACCUGCACCUUCAUAGUGAUUUUGGGCUUUGUUCAUAGGACGAAAUUUUAUUUUCUACUACGUUCCCCAAUAGUGGUAUCAGAGCUAUAUGAGUAGGUGCUGGUACGAUGUAGAGCAUGUGCGGAAACCUUAGAAGCCACAAUAAAAUAUGCAAAACCCUAUUAGAGGCGUCUAACUUGUUUUUGCAGAAUAUACAUGUGAUAUGCUAUAGUCUUCGUCAUGUCAAUAAGAUUCUAUGAGAUGCUAUAUGUUGUAAAUUAAUUUUUGCAUGAAUUUCAUGUGAUGAGUUAAUCCUUUUUAUGCACCCUGUUUGAUGCGCGGUAGUCGUGUUUUAUAGGGUGAUCCCUCACAUAAAAAUAUCAAGUUGUUAGUGUUCUCCCAAGUGUAGCACCGUCUGUAAUACGUGUCAUUUCGAGGUGCGCCAUGUCACAUGAGUACGAUAGACUUGUCGCGUAUGAGGCGGGUGCAAACCGUUCCUGCAUCAAGUACAUUUGGUUGUCUUGACGUUCAGGCAAGAUGGUCUUUAGCUCGGAACACUCCCAUCGAAAGAUGAACAAGAGUCACAUGAGUUGUGAUUGGCAAGUUGGCCUACCCGUCUAAAUUUUUGUCAUCAGUGAUGUCACAUCAAUGACUUCAAAUUGAGACGUGGAUCUUGAAUUACUUUGGGUCAAUUAUGAGGGAUAUUGGUUUUUAGUGGGAGCACAGAUAAAAUGAAAAUUGUUUAAUUGGUAGUGCUGUUAAUUAUGAACGUUGUCUAAGUGAGUUUUGUUAAUUUUACGUUGUAGACAAGAUGGCACGUAAUACACCGUUUAACUUGGGCCCGAUGCUUGAGAAUGAAAAAUUAACUGCGAAUGGAAGCAACUAUGCGGACUGGGUCCGUACCCUGAAACUUGUUCUCAGGGGUGCUAAGAAAAAAUACGUUCUAGAUGUGGCUCUUCCAGCAACUCCGGGACAUGAUGCCUCGGAUGAUGAAAAGGAUGUCUAUGCCACUAAGGUAGAUUACAGCACCGUAGCCCAAUGCCUUAUGCUCACUUGCAUGGAUCCUGAACUUCAAAAACGUUUUGAGAAUUACAACGCUUUCGAUAUGCUCAGAUCGUUGAAAGCUAUGUAUGAGACACAAGCUAGAGCUGAACGUUAUGAGAUAACAAAGGCCUCAUGGGAAUGCAAGAUGGCAGAAGGAAGUUCAGUGAAUGAGCACGUAAUCAAGAUGGUUGGUUACGCGCACAGACUUGCAUCUUUGGGUUUUCCUAUCCCUAAGUCGCUUGGCACUGAUGUUUUACUUGCUUCACUCCCCCCGUCUUAUGACGGCUUUAUCAUGAAUUACAACAUGAAUGGGAUGGACAAGAACACAAGCGAAUUGUUCGCUAUGCUGAAAACUGCGGAGGCUGAAUGCAGAAGGACACCAAUCAUGUGAUGAUGGUGAAUAAGACCACCAGUUUCAAGAAGGGCAAAGCCAAAAAGGGUAAGGGUGUCGGUAAGACCGACAACCAAGGAAAACCCAAGAGCGGCGCCACUCCAGACACUGUGUGUUUCUUCUGCAAGGGCAAAGGUCACUGGAAGAGAAAUUGCAAAAAGUAUUUGGUGGAGAAGAAGUCUGGAUCGUCGAGCGAAGGUAUAAUUGUUAUACAUGUUAUAGACAUAUUUCUUACUGGUCCUCAAUCUAAAUCAUGGGUAUUUGAUACCGGAUCGGUUGCUCAUAUUUGCAACUUGAUGUAGGGACUUUAGAAGGUGAGAAAACUUGCAAGGAAUGAGGUGCAGAUGCGCGUCGGGAACGGUGUCCAAAUCGCCGCUCUAGCCAUUUGUGUCAUGCCCUUACGUCUACCUUCAGGAUUCACUUUAGAACUAAAUAAUUGUUAUUUUAUUCCAGCAUUAUGUAAGAACAUUAUCUCAGGAUCGUGUUUGUUACUUGAUGGAUAUACUUUUAAUUCAAAGAACAAUGGUUGUUCCAGCUAUUUUAAGAAUAUGUUUUAUGGAUUUGCACCCAUUGUGAAUGGGUUAUUCAUUUUGGAUUUUGAAUGUGGCAACGAUGUCUAUAAUGUUGAUGCUAAACAUCUUAAGAAAAUUGAGACAAAUACCACUUUUAUGUGGCACUGCCGUCUUGGACAUAUUGGAAAGAAACGAAUGCAAAAACUUCAUAAUGAUGGAAUUUUACAGUCUUUUGAUUUCGAAUCAUUUGAUACAUGUGAAGCUGGUCUAAUGGGUAAAAUGACCAAGACAUCGUUCACAGGACAUGUUGAACGGGCGAGUGAUUUGUUGGAAAUAGUACAUUCUGAUGUAUGUGGUCUGAUGAGUGUACCGGUGCGUGGUGGAUACCUUUAUUUCGAGCCACCCCUUUCAAGUGAAUAGUCUCACAUAGGGCGCCUUUCGCUGUAAAUGGAUCCGUGCUAUACAUGUGCGUGAGAAAAUAUCUGAGAAGCAUUUUUUGACCUAGAUGAAAAAGGGCAAAUUGAUGGUGGGCCGUUACUUGUCCUUAGUCAACGUGAGUUUGAUUAUUGUGAUGGGGCCCUCCUCGUGGAAGUUUUUGACAGAAAUUGCACCCUCCGGAACGAAAUGGCAAAAAAUGGUCUGGCAAAAAGCCUGUACAGCGACACGUGGCCUUUCCUCCAAUGUCAUUAGAGGAAAGGUCUUUCCGCCAAUGGCAUUGGUGGAAGGGCGCAUGAAAGAGCUUUUCAGUACACUGCGCGAACUACUGCAGUACGCCUAGCUCGACCAGUUAGCCCGUCCACUUCCUCCUCUGGCCACUGCACCGCCUCGAGCUGCUCCUCCUGUGCACGCGCGCCCCUCGCUGCCAUGUCCUGCCGCCGCCGCCUCGCCGUGGAGCCGUGGCCUCCUUAAGAACCGCGACGAAACGACCAUGUCAUGAGAUACGCAUCGUCCACCUCUACGUCCGGACGCUAGGAAUUACCGCGGUAACGAGUACAGCCGCGUGCGUCCUAUACGAAUAGGGUGCCCGCGUGGUGUUCGACGAAAUGAGGCAGGCGAGCUCCACCCUAUGGAACGCGAGGGUACGCUUGCCAAUGGACACGAGAAGAAGGCCGGGGCAGCUCCACCCUAGUGUGUGAGUAUGUACAGGUUGGUCGGGUCUUCUGGAUAGGAUGACUCACCGCAUGGAGGAGAGUAGGUAGCUUCGUGGGGUUAGUUGCCACCUCUGGCUGCUAUAUAUACGUGAAGCAACCAAGGGAGAAGAACAGGAGCAUCUAGUUGCUCCAACAGCCUGGGCCUCUGUCGUUCACAACAUCUACAAGCCUGAUAUGGUCUGUACUGUAUCUCCCUCUUCCUCUGUCUUGCCCACGCACGCAACCUGUUUGAUGCAAUGCCUGCCAGCCUGCUCACUAGCAUGUUUCUGAUCCUGCAGACCAUUCCGGUGGUCCAUGGAGGCGGCGGCGGCAAUGGAAAGGAGAGCUGAGUGAGUUUGAAGCCGGGCAAGGGCCAGAAUUCGUGCUUGAUAGAGCAUAAGUUGGUUAAUUUAUUGCUUGGGCCGGGAGUCGAGGUGGUCGCAGGCUCGCAGCCAGCCGCAGCACAGAGCAUCGCGGCGUUGAAGCCGAGCACGUACACCGGCAGGGCGGUAAUGUUGUACUUCCUCCGUCUCACAUUAAGUGACUCAAAUUUAUCCAAAUAUGGAUGUAUCUAUUUCUAAAAAGUUUCUAGAUACAUGUAAUAGAAAGUCACUUAAUAUGGGAUGGAGAAAGUAGUUGGGUAGUCGUGUAGGAAAAUCAUGAGUUUAUUAGUCAAGUUGUAAUCAGGUUAGGUGUACAACUUGACUAAUCAACUAGGUGUUUGCCGUGUAAGCUUGUUUGCCACCGUGUACGAGUAGUAGUCCAGCCAGGUGUUUGCCGUGUAUACGAGCGUGCAUGAGUUUAGGUAGGAUUAGUUCAGGGAUUCCUAAUCCGCGUAGAUCUAGUCCUAGCUAUUGGGCAUGUAUACAUGCUCGGGCAAGCAGCCUAACUUCAGACCAAGCUUUGUACCGUGGUAAGAGAUGGUCCGAUCUUCUCAGAGAGCAACGAGGAUAACCUGUAUGAUUCUACAAAUCUUCCGGCUGUUCACCCGUCGUCGCAUGACGAACUUGCAACCCAAUGGAAAUUCGCAACACCACACACAUGCGCAGUAGUCCUCCAAUCACAAGCGGUUUCGCAAUCUUCCAAUUCCCAGCGGAACAACAGAUUAUGCUCGAAAUUUCAGUAGAUAACAAACACCCUAUCGAAACAAAUAUGGUGUAUAGGAUUCCAGAUGAAUGCUUCUCGCAAUCAACAAGAGUCUCGAAAAUAGUUAAAACAUGGUCUAACUCUAACCCUAGGCGUACCCCUUGUAUAUAUAGGCGGGGGGCAGCCAAACACACAAACGGAGUUAGAUUCAAACUAGGUUCGACUCAAACUCAUACAACAAAUCCGAAUAGGACUAGUAAACAAGGACUCGCAGGUCCGGGCGCCCCUUAGAAUGUCGAGCUCGUCGUAGGCUUUCCUUGUGCGCCUCAUACUCAUACUCAACUUGUGGGCAGAAUGAGCCUCAUACUCAUACUCAACUUAUGGUGGACAGAUCAUUCUUGUCGUUGUCUGCCCCUUGCACACAAGUUGCUCUUCUAGCGUUAUGUAUCCUCCAUCUUCAUUUGUGGUGCGCCUGCCUCUCUCUCCUCCCUCGCGCAUAUCUUGAUGUUGGAUAACAGCACGUGAUGAUCCUCGCACGCGGCCUCCUCUCCUCCACGCUCCACGGUUGCCUCAGCCUCAAACCUGAUUACACAAAGAUACAAAGACUUAGGCGGUAUAAAAUUCUCAUCAAUAUAAACAUUAGGUGCAGCUAGGAGUGAGUUCACCUUUUGUUUUAAUAACUUGGCACGUGCUCGUGUAAUUGGUCCAAUGCGUAGAUCAUUGGAUUUAUCUUGAACAGCAAGAUCGUCAUUAGGCAAAGAUGACAAAGGACUAGGGAUGCCCUCAUCAUCCUCCCCCUCUUCAAAAGGCAUUGUCCUCGACGCUCCAAGGUCUUCUCCAUCAUAUGGCGUGAAAUCAGCAAUGUUGAACAAAUUACUCACGCCAAACUUAUUGGUUGGAAGAUCUAUCUUGUAAGCAUUAUCAUUGAUCUUGGCAAGCAUCUUGUAUGGUCCAUCUUCUCGUGGCAGAAACUUUGACUUACGUUGUUCAGGAAAUCUAUCCUUGCGAAAAGAUAGGGUCAUUUUCUUAGGUUAUGUUGUUUCUGCCCAUGGGGUUGAGAUUGAUGAAUCUAAAAUUGAAGCAAUUAAAAACUGGCCUACUCCUGUCAAUAUUAGUCAAGUUAGAAGUUUUCAUGGUCUUGCUGGUUUUUAUAGACGUUUUGUGAAAGAUUUCUGCACCAUUGCUGCUCCAUUGAAUGAACUAACUAAAAAGGGUGUUGAUUUUGUUUGGGGACCAGCCCAAGAUAAUGCUUUUGAUGAAUUAAAGAAUCGUUUAACUGCUGCACCUUUGCUUGUUUUACCUAAUUUCGCUAAACAUUUGAGAUUGAGUGUGAUGCUAGUGGAAUAGGUAUUGGUGGUGUUUUGAUGCAAAAGGGUCGUCCGAUUGCAUAUUUUAGUGAAAAAAUGAAUGGUGCACAAUUGAACUUUCCUGUUUAUGACAAAGAGUUAUAUGAUCUUGUUCAUGUUCUUGAGGUUUGGCAACAUUAUUUAUGGCCUAAAGAGUUCAUUAUGUGGACAGGUUUGUCAAAAGGUGUAUUACUUGUCAUAAGGCUAAGUCCAAGCUGAAGCCUCACGGUUUGUAUACCCCUCUUCCUGCCCCUAGUGUUCCAUGGGAAGAUAUUAGCAUGGAUUUUGUGUUGGGAUUGCCUAGGACCAGGAGAGGACAUGAUUUUAUAUUUGUGGUAGUGGAUCAUUUUUCUAAGAUGGCGCAUUUUAAUUCCUGCCACAAGAGCGACGAUGCGUCGCAUAUUGCUAAUCUGUUUUUCAGGAACAUCAUGAAAUUCCAUGGAGUACCAAGGACGAUUGUUUCUGAUCGUGACGUGAAGUUCAUGAGCUACUUUUGGAAGAUGCUUUGGGGGAAGCUAGGAACGAAGUUGCUGUUCAGCACUACUUGUCAUCCCCAAACUGUUGGCCAAACGGAGGUGGUGAAUCGCACACUUUCGACGUUGCAUGGGAGGAGUGUUUGCCUCAUGUGGAAUUUGCAUAAUAUUCUGAAUUUUUUUAUGAGAUGAAUUCAAGACAAAAGAAGACUCCAUGCAAAAAUUCAAGAUUUUCUGUCUAAUAUCUAAUAUUAUUAUCAUUUUUUGAAAAUGGCCUAACAAACAAAAUACAUUUAAAAGGUAUAACACAUAGCAAUUUCACUACAAACUUGUGUAAUCACGUAUGUUAGCCUUCAGUGAGUCAAAUAUAAGCUUCUCUCGGUGUUUUUACACACAAUUUUGGUAGCUAGCAAUGAUUUAUCAAUUACUAGCCGAAAAUUUAAUUAAUUCAACUAAUGUAUGGAAUAUAGUAAAUAAGGUCGAGAAAAUAUGAAAUUCAGUGUGCACACCGAUCAUGUACUCACAAGACUAUAUAAAAAAUAUUGAGAUAGAAAACUAUAUGAGAAUUGGAUGAACUAGGACAAUUAUAGGUGCUCCUCAUUUCGUCGAACACGUCGUGAGCACCCUGGACAUCAAGUACAUCGGCAUCAAAGUCGGCCUCCUCCUCAACGACGGCCACUCUGAGCUUGCAGCAGGCGGCAUCCGUGUCCUCCAGCGACGGCAGCGACGUCACGUACACCAUCACGCGACGGCAGAGAAGACACAUACACCAUCAUGUGCUGCAUCUCGGCCCCAGCCACACCGCCCAUGACGCCUUCCUAGGCGCCCGCCUCGCGUGAACCAAUACCGGAGGAGGAGCGGCGGCGGGGGCUCACGAGAUGGAGCGGCGGCGGCACGCCAACACCAGCACCGCCGUGCCGCGGUCGGCAUCGGCGCCCUUCACCCACCCGGCCACGCUCGACACCGUGGCCAUGGACCUGGAGCUCAAGACCUGCAUCUGUGCUGACCUGGAGACCUUCCUAAAGGGCCGUGCCUGUGCCUACUACCAUCGGCUGGGCCGCUUGUGGCGCUGGAGCUUCCUGCUCUACAGCCCGCCCAUCACGGGCAAGUCCACAUUUGCUGUGACGAUGGCGUGGUUCUUGGGGUAGACGUGUACGACAUUGACCUUUCUCAUGGCGACUGCGACGACGACCUCCGUGCACUUCUCCUGGACACUGCUCCACGGUCGCUCAUCCUCGUAUAGGGUGCUGGGCUUGAUGGAUGGGCUCUCGUCGUGCUGCGUGGAAGAGCACAUGAUGGUGUUCUCCAUGAGCGGUGGCAAGGAGGGUGUGGACCCGGCCGUGCUCUGCCCCGGGAGGUUGGACGUGCACAUCCACUUCACCAUGUGCAACUUCGAAGGGUUCAAGGCUCUGGCCAGCAACUACCUAGGCCUCUAGGACCACAAGCUGUACCCGCAGGUUGAGGAGGGCUUCCACGCUGCCAGUGGCGCGCACCUCAGCCCGCCGAGCUCGGCGAGAUCAUGCUUGCCAACCGUGCCUGCUCGAACCGCGCGCUCUGUAUGGUCAUCAACGCUAAGCUCAAUAUUCUAUACAGUAUACACCAUAAACCGACAUAACAUAUAUGAUACACCUGAAGUCGCUGAAGGUUGAAAGUGCACAAAUGGACAUUAAUUUCACAGCCGUGGCCAGCAGGGCAGAGCUUGAGGUUUUAAUCGAUUCUUCCGAGCGAACGUAUAUACUUAGAUUCGAGUAUAUAUAUCCAAGGCAUUUGUCGCGCCACACCCGCGGAUGCUCGCCGUUGAUGUCAGCUGAUUAGAGCCUAAGCUUGUGGUCAAGCUCGCCGCAACCAGACGUGGCAACUUUGACGGAGCAUUUCAUCGAACAGCCCGUGCGUGUCCUGUGCGCCGCCGCGGCCAACCACCUGCCCGCACCACAAGACCUUUCCAGAUAGCUCCGCAUCGUCACGCUAAACAUACUAGCGGGAGGAUUCAACCUGAGGUACAAGGAUUCCCGGCCGAUCAGUGUCAUGCUGUCGAAUAGAAGCUCGUCGGUGGCGGCCGGAGCACGCGCACGUGGAUAGAACACCACAGAGCACCAAAUCGAACAAGGAAAAGUGCAGGAGAAAGAGAAGGUCACUUAGAAUACAACGGUGUCAGCUAUCAGCGUCUAGGAGUCGCGGUUUCCCAAGAAUUUGACGACGAAGCACCGGUGACCGAAGUUGAUGAACAAGACCAAGAGCUCGAUGUGGUCGAUCGUUCUCCAAUUAAUUGCGCCUGGACGACGAGGUGGACGAGGCGUAGCUUCCGGCGAAGCGGGGGCCACAGUGCGUUCAGAGAGCAGAGAGAGAGGAAAGGAGAGGGCGGCGCGGGAACGCUGUGGUUGAAGCGCGAGCCAGCAGGGCACGCGGGUCCAGGCAGUCCGCGGCGCGUGGGCGAGCGCCUGCGCCAGGACGCGGCAAGGGGCGCGUGCGGGGACGACCACGUGUGCGGCAGCGUGGGAGGAGCAGCGCCAGGUGAGCCAACGGCCGAAGGAGGAAGAAGACGGCGGGCCCCAUGUUUCUAAAUUAAACAUUACGGCCUGAUUACGAAGUUUAAAGGUUGCCCGCCACCUGUUAGUGAUGCACUUACACCCUCUGAAAUUUAAAACAACUUUUAGGUCCAUAAAGUUGCCGGAGACAGUUGGCCAUGGAAAAUAUGUGGUACACAAACCGCUGCAUACGAACCAAGAUUCCUCAGGCGACUAACCUUUCAAGGUGUGGCCCCUUUACUUCAUGACUUUUACCGAUGACUUAAGUAGAUAUGGUUACAUCUAAUUGAUGAAGCAAAAGUCUGAAACAUUUGAAAAGUUCAAAGAAUUUCAACAUGAAGUGAAGAAUCAUCGUGAGAGAAAGAUUAAAUUUCUGCGAUCAGAUCGUGGAGGAGAAUAUCUAAGUCACAAGUUUAGUAAACAUCUUAGUGGACCUAGUACUCCACAGAGAAGAGGGUAAGGUCUAUGAUGUCCUUAACUGAACUGCCUUUAUCUUUUUGGGGUUACGCACUAGAAACAGUAGCUUUUACACUUAAUAGAGCGCCGUCAAAGUCUGUUGAGACAACACAGUAUGAGAUAUGGCAUGGGAAGAAACCCAACCCAUCGUUUCUUAAAAUUUGGGGUUGUGAUGCUUAUGUAAAACGUUUACAGCUGAACAAACUAGACCCUAAAUCAGACAAAUGCUACUUUGUUGGUUAUCCCAAAAACACAGUUGGGUAUUGAAAGAUCGGUAUGGUCGGCUAGAGGGGGGGGGGGGGGGUGAAUAGGCGACUAAUAAAUUUUACUUUUUUCUUUCUUUUCUUGAAAGAUACAAACACUUAAUCCUAGGGUUUACUAGAUUCUCUAAGGGUGGCCGAAGCAAUAAGAUAACAAGAAUGUAAAGGGUAAGAAUUGAUACCACAUGAGAGACAAAGAUUUUUACCGGAAUUCCACCGAUUGGGGUAGGUGUACGUUUCUGUUUGGAGGAGUGCUCCACCACAAAGGUGGAGGCGUCACAAAGGCUCACUCUAUUCUCUUCUCACGGCACCACAAAGGUGAUGUGAGCUCCACUAGAGGCUUCCUUGGGGGCGAAGUCCAAACCCUUACAAACUUGACCGGGGCUAGCUGCACAACUCAAUUGGAGGCUCCCAAUCCAAAUCCCGAGCUCCUCACACCAAGGGAGAGCUCAAGGCAACCGCUUCUGUCUAGGGCUCCCAAAUUCCCAAGAGAAACAAAAUCCACAAACGAAACAAGGAGAAUCAACUUUGCCUUGGUGAAACCCUAGAUCAAGAUCUUCUCCUCCAAUCCUUAAAGAAUCAAGAGUUGGGAGUGGCUAGGGAAGGAGAUCUUGGAGAUUUAAGCUUUUUGUGUUCUUGGGGUGAGAGGUGGUGUUCUUGGCUGCUUGCUUGGUCAGCUGGCUCGUUGGGGACGAAGGGGUAUAUAAAUGGGGUCCCCAAAGAUCAAGCCGUUAGGCACAGAUCGGAGAUCGGGAUAGACCGGAACUUCUAGGGAACAGCCGGACCUUCCGAGUGAUCACCGGAAGUUCCGCAUAUUCCCUCCAGAGCUAAUAGAGAGCACCCGGAGGUUCGGGUAGAAGUUCACCCGGAACUUCCGCCACCUGGGAACCUAGAAUGCCAGAACUGGGAAUUUGAACUUGGUUUCUCCUCUCACCUUUUUGGGUGGGCUUUUUGGUGGGUCCAAAUUUGUGUAGAUGUGUACGUGAAAUUGAUUAACCUGUUACCUUCCCUUGUGGAUUUCCUAUUAAUAGUACAGAUGUCCUACGACUCAAAUCAACCAAAAAAGUCGCUAAACACCACUACGUUUAUUUCCUUCUCGAGGGUACACGAAUCGUCUUGUGCCAAGUUCUUCAUAAAAUCUGAAAUGCUUAGCACACGAUUAGAUAACAAAACACGUUUUCAUCACCACCAAAACCACUUAGGAGAGAAAUGCCCUUUCAAUUUCCCAUUUUUGGUGAUUGAUAACAACACAAAGAUUUGCAUAAAGAAUAAUCAAUUAAGCUAGAUGCAAGGAAUCUAAAAUAUAGACGGCCCCCCCAGGUCUAUGCACCAAAUAAAUUUGCUUGAAAUGCAAAGUGCAUAUACACUAGGAUCAACACUCCCCCUAGAUUUUAUAAACCAAUAACUCAAUUGCAAAGGAUUAAAGAUAUAACAAUAAGCUCUUUAAAGAAUAUGUAGAUUCAUUCAUUCAAUGAUUAGAGCAUUACCUCAAAUUGGCAUACCAAAUGUUAAUGAACCUACAAGGAUUUAUCCAUAACAAAACAAAGCAAUGCUUCCAUGAAGCAUAAGAUUAGAUAAAUCCCAACUAGUUAAUUUACUUUUUGCAAUGUGACCUUGUGAGGAGCAAUUCUAUGAGGGAACAAAUGAACAGAUCUCCACACAAGAUUAGUAAGACAAGAUAUAUAAGAGAUAAGCAUUAAAACCAUAGCUAGAACAAGUAGUCCAACACACAUAGCUAGCUAUUACAUCACAAAUAGUUAUCAAGUCUUACACAAACCACAAAUAUAAAGUAGCUCACACAUAUAGUUCAACAAAAUAGAUAAGUAGCACAAGCAUAUUAAAACUUCAUGGAUAAAAACGAGCUUGUGACUAAACCAUGCAAAUCCCCAAGGCCUAACACUAACACUCUCCCUCACAACUACACUCUCCCCCUUUGCCAUCAAGACACCAAAAAGGGAAGAAUCGUCCCAAGAGAGAAACAAGCAAAUCAUUCGGAGGCCUCGUCUUCAUCAUCGUCCUCAUCAUCAAUAGAGGAGGUAUCCUCAUCACUACCCUCAGCAGUGGGCACUUCAUGAUCUUCAUCUUUAGCUUCUUCAUUGCCACGCACCGGAGAAGGGAUAUGAUAACCACUCCUUUCCCAAUCUCCAUGGGUGCUCCUCCAACCCUCAAAGUUCUCAACAUCAGACACAGGAGAGCUAGGCAAGUUCAUGGAUUGGAAGAGAGGCUCUUGACGACGAAGUAUGUGAUGAUUGUCCUUGUCAAUCUUGUAUAUCUUCCUCUCAUUAGAUUGUUGUCACAUCCCUAAAAUUUCAAACUUUUGCAUCCAUAAGCGUCAUGCCACAAUUGCAUAUUUGAAUUCAAAUUUGAAUCUCAAAAGGUUUUGAAAAGCUUUUAUUUCAAUUUAAACCCUAGGGUUUACACCCAUUUGAGCUUUGGAUCUUCAAACCAAUAGGGUUUAUUGCAUAAAUAAGCAAUCCCAUAAUUUUUGGAUAAUUAUUUGGAGUUGAAAAACUAUUUUAUUUAAAUAGUUAUAUAGCCCUAAAGGCAUUUAUAGGGCAAAUGUAUUUUUAGAUAUUUUAUUUUGAGGCAAAAUUACUCCCAAAAGUUGAAUCAUGAUAAAACAUGAUUUCACAAAUUUUCUGGAAUUUAUUUGGGCCAAUUUGGAGUUCAAAAUCAAAAGAUAUCAAAGAAAUGAGAAAAAGGAAAAAAGAAAAGGCUAAAAGGGAAAAACAAAAGGGAAGAAACCGGACCGGCCCGGCCAAAAGGGCCGAACCGGCCCCGUUCCGACUGCGCCCGAACCAAGCAAGCUGGCCCCGCGCGCGCCCGACCGCGCCGAGCCACCAACAGGUGGGGCCCACCUGUCGGGGUCGUCUUCUCCGCGGGGAAAGCCCCGGAUCUCCGCCGCGACGUGCGUGCGCCUUCCUUCUUCGCCGCUGCGCGCUCACCGCCGUGAUUUCCUCGUCCCGUGCCGCCCGCGCCUCGCUGACCGUGUCCCUAUAAAGGCCACGGCCUCCUCUUCUUUUUCCCCCCAAACCCCCACGCGCACACGCCCCCAGGCUGCCGGAAUUUGCCGCUGGAGAACUCCACUGCCACCGCCGUUUUCGCGUCACGCCGACCUCGCCGAUGAGUCUCUUCGCCCGAGCCUUGAAAUUUCUAAACCGCGUCGCCCUCGCGCCCGUUUUGACGCGCGCGGAUUUGUUCUUUGUAACAUCCCAAUUUUCAAAACUCUUCAUAUGCAUUGCACAUCAUAAGCAUCAUGUCACCUUUGCAUUUGAUCACUUUCAAAACCCUAAAAUUUGCCCAGAAAACCCUUUUGCGAAAAUGCCUUUAUUUUGAUUUUGGGCUUGAUCUUGCUUUGAGUAUUUACAUUUUAACCCAUGAGGUUAUUGGUUUAACAAGGGAUUUAAUGCAUAUAUAAAGCUAUCCCAUAAAUUGACGUUUGAAAGUGUUUUGAAAAAUAAUUUGUUUCGAUAGCCUAAGUGCCCUAAAAGCCAUUUUAUAGGCAAAUGGUUUUUUAAAAUAUUUUCUUUUGAGGAAAUUAUUGUUACAAAAGUUAGAUCAUAUGAAAAUAAGAUUUUACAAAUUUUGUUGCAUUUUAUUUGGAGUGAUUUGGAGCUUCGAAUCAAUUUUGAGGUUCAAAAACAGAAAAUAGAUAAAAGAAAAGGAAAAACCGAAACCGGACCGAACCGGCCGAACCGGACCAGGCCGACCGGCUCCGCCGCGCCCGGACCGCCCGCAGCCACUGACAGUGGGCCCCACGCCUUCUCCUACCUCCAACUGCCUCCGGAUUCCAUGCCACCCACGACUCCGAGUUGCCCACGAUUCCGUCCCGAUUUCUUCGCGCACGAGCCUCCAACUCCAAAUCCCUGCGCGUCACCCCGAAGCACUCGCGUUUCUCCUCCAAUUCCCCCAAACCGCUCGUCCAAUUUCGAGUGUAGUUGAAUGCUAGGUUAUGGUAGAAAUAACUUUCUACCAAAUUUCGGAGAUGAGCCACCUUUCACACACGUCCAUUACCCGACAAUUGACGACGACAUCCCGUUUGGGAGACAGCUUGCUACUUUGUGCACGACACUGCACCUGGCAGCACCUUGUUUCCGAGGACGUGCUGAGCCGGUGGGAUCCCAAGGAGGUGCACGCCGCUGGGAGAUCGACACGGAGAUCAGAGGACAGACUGUUGUUCCAUUGACGCCCGACAUCACCUACUCCGUGCGCUACCCUGACUUCAUGUUGGGACUCCAAUUCGCCAUGCAACAUGCGAUAGCUCGUGUGUGCGAGGCCUACCACGAUGAACUGCCUCCGGACUCUGUCUUCCGUAGCUUCAGAAGGCGAGUUGUUGGCGGGAAUGCCGUGGGACCGGAGAUCCUAGGCGAGGAUCCGCACAUGGAGGAUGUUCAGUUUCAAGCUCUGGAACAGAACAUGGUGGACAUGGGGAAGAGUCUCUACAACGAGAUGACCCGAGCGGACAUAGCUGAAGACCAGGUGGGGAUACUCCAAGGUCAACUGGCGCUGAAGACAAAUGAGGUGCACCGCAGGGGAGAUGUUAUCCUGAACAUGCAUGCGAUCAUGGAGUAGAUUAUGUACGAGAAGGAUCUCCUGCAACUUCAGUAUGAUCAGCUCCAAGCCCAGAUCGACAACGCCAACCCUGCACCUGCACCAGCACAAGCACCACCACCCCCUUAGGACCAGGAGAUGGAGCCACAGGAGGAGGAACCUCAGGAGGCGCAGGAGAUGGACACACCUGCCACCCGCACCCGUUCCAGGGCGAAGAACUCUGGGAAAACCAACUUCCUUUCACUCCCUUAGUUUCAGCUUAUAGCCGCCAGACUAUUUGUUAUACUAUAUUCGUUAUCGUGUUAGUCAUUGACCAUGCCGUCGUUGUGGUAUGGCAAUGUAGAUUCGUGUGUUUACUUGCAACUCUUUACUUGUGUUUUAGGCUAUUAUGUCUUGAGAACUAUUUGUUUUGGAUGUUAAAAUCCUAGGGAAUGUUUUUGCUUGCUUUAUAGUUGACUUGUUCAUGAUUGAAUUGUCAUGCUUGUGUUAUAAUUGUGUUUGAACUGUUGUUUUGCCUGUGUUGUGGGGCUUAGUUUUCCCUUAGACCCUGUCUAUCUAUUUCUCAUCUAUGCUCUCCUAAAAAGAUGCCUCCAAGACGUGUCCCCAACAACAAUAGCCAUAUCACCAACAACGGUGACAACCAUGAGAGAGAGAACGACGAUGCAGUGACCAUGCAGACUCUGUUGGCAGCUCAGACUCAAUUUUUUUUCCAAAUGGUAACCUAGUAGAUAACCAACAACCAGAACAUCAAUCAGAAUAACCAGUACCACCACCAGCACCAGCAUCCAAGGAUCAACAACAACAAGGGCAGUGGCCUUAACAAUGGAGACAACCCAGAACAAAACCGCACCACUGGCAGGGAUAUGAGCCAAGUGCAAUGCUUUAAGUGUCACAAGAUGGGGCACUACUCCAAUGAUUGUCCGGAGAAGUUCAAUGAGGCUGGAGCAAAGCCUAACCCAUUGCAGAAGGGCAAUGUGAACCACGUCAACGUGGAAGAAAUAACGGAGGAGCAAGGUAUCGUAAUCGGCACCUUCCGUCUAAAUUCUUUUGAAGCACUCGUACUGUUUGAUACCGGUGCGUCACAUUCUUUCAUGUCAAGGAGUUUUGUGCAUGAGAAUGGAUUAACCACUAGUACCUUAGUGAACCCUAUGAAGGUAAAGUCACCUGGGGGAGAGAUGGUAACGGCUUGUGAAUGCCGAAUGCUAACACUAGAAAUUGGAAAACACAACUUCCCCACAGACCUGAUAGUGUUAGGAUCAAGAGGCUUGGAUGUGAUUCUAGGAAUGGAUUGGUUAGCCAAGUAUAAGGACUUAUAGAUUGUGUCAAGAGGACUAUUACACUCACAACCCCGGAAAAGAAGCGAAUCCGCUUCAAGCCAACCUAUGAGCUUAAAUUACCGAAGGUAAAUUCUCUUAAGGGGGUUAGCCUAGAGGAUGUACCGAUAGUGAAAGAAUAUCUGGAUGUGUUUCCAGAGGAAUUACCAGGCAUGCCACCGGACCGAGAUGUGGAAUUCCUUAUUGAGUUAUUGCCCGGAAGUGGACCUAUAGCCAAGAGACCAUAUAAGAUGGCUGUAGAUGAAUUGAAGGAGCUGAAGAAGCAACUUGCAGAACAAUUGGCCAAAGGAUUUAUUCGCCCUAGCUCAUCACCAUGGGGAGCACCUGUUCUAUUUGUGGAAAAGAAAGACAAGAGCCAAAGGAUGUGCAUAGACUAUCAUUCACUAAACGAGGUGACGAUAAAAACAAGUACCCACUACGCAUAAUCAACGAUCUAUUCGAUCAAUUGAAAGGAGCCUGUGUUUUCUCAAAGAUCGAUCUUCGAUCAGGUUAUUUUCAGUUAAAGAUCUGAGAAGCGAAUACACCCAAGACAGCAUUUACCACUAGGUAUGGCCUGUAUGAGUACACAGUGAUGCCUUUUGGAUUAACCAAUGCCUCGGCAUACUUCAUGAAUAUGAUGAACAAGGUAUUCAUGGAAUAUUUGGAUAAGUUUGUCGUAGUAUUCAUCGACGACAUUUUGAUCUACUCGAAGAGCAAAGAAGAACAUGAAGAACAUUUGCGUCUGAUCAUGGAAAAGCUUAGAGAACACAAGCUUUACGCAAAAUUCAGCAAGUGUGAAUUUUGGUUGUCCGAAGUUGGUUUCUUGGGAUUACAUUGUGUCAGGAAAUGGAAUUGCCGUCGACCCCGCUAAAGUAACAGUGGUGACUGAAUGGGAAGUCCCUAAGAACGUCGGAGAUGUCCGCAGCUUUUUAGGACUUGCUGGAUAUUACAGGAGGUUCAUAGAGAAUUUCUUCAUGAUUGCCAAACCUAUGACUGAGUUUUUGAAGAAAGAGAAGAAGUUUAAAUGGACUGAUAAGUGUGAAGAAAGUUUUCAAGAUUUGAAGAAGAGGCUAGUAUCAGCACCCAUCCUUGUUUUGUCCGACCUACUGGAAGAUUUUCAAGUGUACUGUGACGCUUCGCGUUUAAGAUUGGGCUGUGUUUUGAUGCAAGGAGGAAGAGUCGUAGCAUACGCCUCAAGACAACUUAAGAAUCAUGAGAGAAAUUACUCCACUCAUGAUUUGGAACUAGCAUCGGUAGUGCACGCACUCAAGACUUGGAGGCACUAUCUCAUGGGAAAGCAAUGUGAGUUAUUCACCGAUCACAAGAGCUUGAAGUAUAUAUUCACGCAGAAGGAAUUGAACUUGAGACAAAGAAGAUGGUUAGAGUUAAUCAAGGAUUAUAAUCUCAAUCUUCAAUACCACCCAGGCAAGGCUAAUGUAGUAGCUGACGUUUUGAGCCGCAAGGGCUAUGUUAAUGGACUUACAACUGGAGAGUUACCUGCUGAAUUGUGUGAGCAAUUCAAGGAUCUCAAAUUGGAGAUAGUUCCGGAAGGUUACAUAGCCAACAUGGAGGUACAACCCACUCUACUGGACAGAAUUAGAGAAGCUCAGAAAGAAGACUCAGAAAUUAGGACGAUAAAGGAUAACCAACAGGAAUCUCGAGGACGAGAUUCAUCUUAAGGGGGUUAGGUCUGUAACAUCCCAAUUUUCAAAACUCUUCAUAUGCAUUGCAUAUCAUAAGCAUCAUGUGACCUUUGCAUUUGAUCACUUUCAAAAUCCUAAAAUUUUCCCAGAAAACCCUUUUGCGAAAAUGCUUUAUUUUGAUUUUGGGCUUGAUCUUGCUUUGAGUAUUUACAUUUUAACCCAUGAGGUUAUUGGUUUAAAAAGGGAUUUAAUGCAUAUAUAAAGCUAUCCCAUAAAUUGACUUUUGAAAGUGUUUUGAAAAAUAAUUUGUUUCGAUAGCCUAAGGGCCCUAAAAGCCAUUUUAUAGGCAAAUGUUUUUUUAAAUAUUUUAUUUUGAAAAAAUUCUUGUUCCAAAAGUUAGAUCAUAUGAAAAUAUGAUUUUACAAAUUUUGUUGCAUUUUAUUUGGAGUGAUUUGGAGCUUCGAAUCAAUUUUGAGGUUCAAAAACAGAAAAUAGAUAAAAGAAAAGGAAAAACCGAAACCGGACCGAACCGGCCGAACCGGACCAGGCCGACCGGCUCCGCCGCGCCCGGACCGCCCGCAGCCACUGACAGUGGGCCCCACGCCUUCUCCUACCUCCAACUGCCUCCGGAUUCCAUGCCACGCACGACUCCGAGUCGCCCACGAUCCCGUUCCGAUUUCUUCGCGCAUGAGCCUCCAAUUCCAAAUCCGUGCACGUCACCCCGAAGCACUCGCGUUUCUCCUCCAAUUCCCCCAAACCGCUCAUCCAAUUUUGCCCCGGUUUCAAUUUAGUUGCUCGCCGGAGUUUCUCUCGGCCGCCACCGAUUUUCGCGUUUUGCCGCCGUUCCGGUGAGUCUCCGCCCGCGCCGACCUCCUAAUCCUCUUCCUCUCUUCGUUGCGCACGUAGUGACGCGAACCGUCCUCGUUUUGGAGCCACCCCGCACCGCCGUACGCCUUCUUCCCUGCCCCGCGCCGCCCCUGGCCGCCCGCCGUCUCCGCACCGCCCCCCCGCGCUGCCCGCUCCGCCGCGCGCCGCCACCCAGCCGGCGCCGCCUGCCCGCACAGCCGCCGGCGAGCUCGCCUCGCCAGCCGGAAACCCUAGAACCGGGCCAGUCAGAUUUUUCCACGUGGCAAAGCUUUAUUUUUUUUUAUUUCGGCCGAAUUAGAUAAUGCAAUUUUGCGGAAAGGCCCCUACAACUUCAAAGCAUCACAUGUUUCAAACCGUUUGUCCAAAAAUUGCGAUCCGCACCUUUCUGGAAUCGUCACAACUUGUAGAAUAUUUUGGCAAUCUUUAACUUCAGUUUUGAACAACUUAGACAGAAGCUAUUGACAGAAUGGUUGAAUAUGGUUUAAAUUUCAAAUGAAUUGUUUCAAAAUAGUUUUGAGCAUGUUAUCUUGCUGUAAAAUUAUUUAAACUUGUUCUCUGUCCAUUAGGACCAGAAAAGAAAUUAUUUUGUGAAUAAUCAUGGCAUACAAGUUUAAAUAUUGCUCUAUGUUGCAAAAACCACGCAAUCUUUUAAUUUAAACCCAAUCCAUGUUUCAUGCAUAUUAAUUAGCACUUUGUUGUUGUAUAAUCCGUCCAAAUCAUUUGAAAAACUUUUCAAAACAGAAACGAAACCUUUUACUUUUGAAGUAACCUUUGUGUGCGUCAUCAUAGCAUAUGCAUCAUGGCAUGAUUUUGUAUUGAAUGUUGUGUUUAUUGUGUGUGUUCCUUUUAUUUUAGAUUGUGUGGAGUGUAAUCCUUGUUGUUGCGAAGACUGCGAGAACUACCACAACCUUGGACAAGGCAAGUUCACUUUGAUCAUUCUCCUAAAUAUUUUAUUAUGCACUAGAUGCUUUAUUAGAUGCAUCAGGAAUAUUACUCGUACUUCUAUGCUAGCUAUAAAUCCCAGGUAGUCUAAUUUACCCUCGCCAUUACCUUGCUACCAAAAUUGCCAUCGAGUGUAGUUGAAUGCUAGGUUAUGGUAGUAUCGUGGGAGAAAUAACUACAUUAUGAUAUUGUUAUGCCUUUGGAUAUGAAAUGUUUUGUUAGAUGUAAGGCAAAAUAAUUAAUUCAAUGAACCGUCCUGGGUGGGCUGCUUUGAAGAUUUUGAGGAUUAGCGGCGUCAGGUCCAUUUCUAUGGGUCCCUCUGAGUCGAGUUCCUGUGGAUUCAGGAAUGGAUCGUCCAUGGACGUCUCUCCCGUGGAUUCGGGGAGCGCCUACGUUGCAAAUGUGGAAUGCCACCUGGGGUAACCGAGACUGGACUAGUUUACUAUUUAGAAGCUUCCAGUACAACCACAAUGCUAUAUGGGCUCUGGCGAGACAAGAGUAAGUUGUAUGAACCUAGACCCGAGGAAUUGUACUGAGGUAGCCGUGUAGGGGGAGCGUGAUUCUCUCGUGGUUUAGGGAAUUACCUCUGAAAAUCUCGUAAUCGAUGCCGUUGCUACUCUACCCUGAGGACAGCAAGGGAUUAACACGUCGGUUUCUUGUGGGGAAUGUGUACAAACUCUCGAGAGCGUCAAAACUAAGUAAGGAAAGUCUCACUCAUUCUAACUUCUUAAAUAAAAUGGAUGGUUGAACAGGGUAGGGGCACUUGAUGAAUCCACAUCAAUGUGCUCUAGGAUAAUAGGAGCAUGGGUGUGUCUACCCCGUGUCCAAUAGUGAUAAAAUUUCUAUUUGAUUAAAAGAUAGGAUUCAAUAACUAGGCGUUUAUGCAAAUAGCUUGAACCCCACUUUACCACAUUAUGCAUAUAUUUGGUAGGCUCUGGUAUAACUGAUGAGGACAUCCCAACUAAUGAUACAACCACAGCCCCUACAGCACAUACACCUCAAGUACCGGAGAUACAUGGACCAAUUACUAGAGCUCGUGCACGACAACUAAAUUAUCAGGUACUUUCGUUCCUCGGUACUUCAUUUAAUAUUAAUGAGAACAUGCUGCUGCCUAAGAUGGGUUCUUUUAUGUGUUUUAGGAAUGAAGGACCUAGCUUGCACCUCAAGGAUCAGCGUUGGACAGCAAACCAUGGAGGUGGCAGCAAGGUGGCGGGAGCUAGCUCAAGUGAUGAUUUCAGAACAUUGAAACCGCCAUAACGAGAGAUGAGAAGAAGGCCGCAUCCUCUUCAUCAAUGGGAUUUCGGCCAAGUGGAGGAUUCUCCCUCCAAUGGGUAUCUAUGGGCCAAAGAUGAGGGUUAUAACCUUGCUUUAUUGGGCCUAAGGCCAUGUAAUAGGGUCCAGCCAAUUUUUAGAUGUUUUCGUUGUGUUUUAGGAGGAUUCCUAGGCCGUUUCGGAGUCCCUCAAGGACCUGUCCGAAAACCACCUAGUUCCCCUCCUAUUUAUACCCCAUGAGCCCCCCCAUGGAGCCUUGGGUUUUGAUUAGAUAAAGUUUAGCCUUUGCUACUUUCGUGUAAUCGCGUGUGUCGGUUAGACCACCUGUUUUACCGUCAUCAAGACUCCAACUAUAUUGAGUAUUCAGAUUCGUGAACCUUCAUAUCUCCUAUUCGCAAUUUCAGAUUGCUUUUCAUCUUGUUCUUGCUUGUUCUUCGAUUGCUUGCAGGAACAAAGACCUUCGUGGUCAGGUUGAUCGUGCCCCCGCGGGAUCAAUAACCUUCUGGAGUUGGUGUAUCGAUCGCUAAGGCGCUGCCUCCUAGGUUGUAGUCGGAUCGUCAACGUCACCUCCUACCAAAUCGAUAAUUAGGUAUCUCAUCGAAAGAUCGGGACACCCUCGAGGCUAUCACGUGGUAUCAGAGCUUAAGGUUGCUCGGUGAGAUUUUUCCAGUUUAUCCGUAGUUUAGAUCUGUUUUUACCUAUCGUCCAGAAAAAGCCAAACAAAAAUUAGAAUUAGUUACCUUGUCCUAGAACCAAUCUGAGCCUUGCAAUUUUCACAUUAGUAUUUGCAUUGUUGAAUCUUUGCUGCAUUAAUCGUGUCGAGUUGCUGGAUUAGAUUGGAUCGUUUUUCAGAUUUUUUCUACUAGAUCGAACUUGCUUUUGGUUUUCUUGUUCUUCGUGUGACGCAGGUUUCCUUCAUCAAUCUUCCGCCGCCAAACUUCCUGCCACACCACCGCCAUAAUCUUCCGCCGCCACCAUAUCUUCCACCGAGUCCCUCUUUGAGUCCUACACCGAGUCCUUCUUCCAGUCCUACACCGAGUCCCUCUUCCAGUCCUACACCGAGUCCCUCUUUGAGUCCUACACCGAGUCCAACAUCGAGUCGGCAAGUUAUAGUUUUCAGCCGCGAGUUCGAGUCCGAGUCCAAUCAAGAGUGCUUUUGGAAAGUGUUUCAUAAUAGAUCGAUUUUUGUUUAGAGAUCAAGUUGUUCAGAAAGUUGUGAAAAAAAAAAAAGAAGGGAAAGAAAAAAAAAAGGAAGAAAGAAAGAAAAAAAAAAACGGAAAAAAAAAAGAGAGAAAGAGUUCGAGUCAGUUUCGGACCCGAGUCCGAGUAGAAUUUUAGUUUCGGGUGGGUUUGACCCGUGUUCAGUAAAACGGACGUAUCUUUUGCAUACCAACUCGGAUUUGGACGUUCUUGGACUUUUUGGAAAGCUCACGACGAGGUGCAUCAGGAAAUAUCCAGGGCAACGCCCUGCACUUUGACCCUCAAAUUCGGCCUCUAAGGUGGACUUUUCGAGCUCCAAAGUUUCUGCACCCGUUUUACGGCACCGGGGCAGCGCAGUAUAUCUCAGUUUUCUCCACCGUCCGACCUCCGUUUCGAGUGAUCUUGCACUUGUUGGAAAGCUUGUUUUGAUACGCUUCUAACCCAUAUUUUCUCAUAUUUUUCUGAGUUUUCCUUACUACAGCCUUUGCUAUUCUCCUACAGACCGACGUGCAGCUUUCCGGUCUUAACUUCUUUUGCGUGAGUUUCUGGGGAUAAAAAAAAAAAAUAGAAAAGAAUAAGAAGCCAAACAGAAGGCCACAAAAAGAAAAAAAAAAAGAGAGAAAAAAUAUUCCCCAGAGAUUUACUUGUUUUACCUUUCAUUUGAUCUUUCCUUUCUACCUUUUUCAGUAUCUAGGCUUAGUUAAUUUCUGUAAUUCGUUCUUGUCGACUCCAGCAACUAGGACUAGCAUUUUUGAGCAUAUUUUCAACUUUGCAUUGCUGAUUUGAUUAUUCGCUUUUCCUUGCUACUCACAUAAGCCUCCAAGCUCCACAGAUUCUACACCUAGGUUGGUUUGCCUCGAGGCAUCGAUACACUAAUCUUCGGAGGGCUUGUUCUCGCUGCUGGCCAUCACCUUCCUGUUUGCGGGGUAAGAACGAGUAAGAACUUGAUUAAAAGUUGAGUGGAGUGAUCUUUGGAACCCCACAUCCUAGUAGUGCAUAGGGAUUUUUCCUUGUGAUUUGUUUCUUGUUUUCUCCUAACGAUGGCAGGUUCUGACGAUGAUUUACAAGGCCACUCUCCACGCACAAAGGGCAUUAUUUCACAUUUUGAUCGCAAGCUUAGGCUCCGUAACGAGGAGCUGGAUGAGGACGUUCGGGUUGCGAAUGAGAGACUUGGAACCUUGGAGAGCGCGCACAUUGAAACAAAUACCAAGCUAACAUCUUUACAGAAUUCUGUUGCUACCAUUAGUACUUCUCUGGCAGAAAUCACGACGCAACUGGCGGCAAUUGCUGCAACGACCAUCGCUACACCGGGAGGAAACAAUACACACAACCAGCGGACCGCUAAUAAGGGUACCUUCGCAAGCGAGGUUGAGGAGAACGACGACGACUACUCCGCGGAUACGGAACACGACGGGGCCGUAAACCAUCACAACGACCGUGAUCAUCGCCGAACUCGUUUCAACCGCCGAGGUAUGGGACCGACACGACCUCACAGAGAGGAACAUGACUCGCUGCAUUCUAUUAAACUUAAGGUUCCUCCUUUUGAUGGAAAAUAUGACCCUGAUGCUUACCUUACAUGGGAAUUAGAAUUGAGUCAAAAAUUUACUUGCCAUGAUUUUCCUGCUAAUAAGAGGGUUAGGGCUGCUACUAGUGAGUUUACUGAUUUUGCUUCUGUUUGGUGGCAUGAGUAUUGUAUUGCACAUCCUAACGCUAUACCACCAACAUGGGAUGAUUUGAAAAGAAUUAUGCGCGCUAGAUAUGUUCCUUCAUACUAUUCGCGUGACUUGUUAAAGAAACUACAACAAUUAAGGCAAGGUAGUAAUUCUGUCCAAGAUUAUUAUCAAGAAAUGCAAAAGAACAUGUUACGUUGUGGUUUAGUUGAGAAUGAGGAAGCUGCUAUGGCUAGAUUCUUUGGUGGUUUAAAUCGUGAAAUUGCUGACAUUGUUGAUUAUAAGGAGUAUAAUUCUAUCAAUCGAUUGUUUCACAUUGCUUGCAAAGCUGAAAGGGAAGUGCAGGGACGACACGCGAACGCGCGGACUAACUUUUCUGCAGGUCGUACUUCCUCAUGGGCAGCACGCAGCCCCGCUGCCCCUUCCACACGCCCAGCUGCACCCCCUACACGUCCGGCUGUUCCGACUACUUCCACCAACAAGCAAAGUACCUCUACACCUACAUCCGCAAAGGUUGGACCAGCAGCAACAAGAAAUACACCCGCUGCCUCUGCACAAAGUUCAGCAGCGUCCGUUGCUUCCACCGGACGGACCGGAGAUAACCAAUGUCGUAGGUGCAAAGGAUACGGGCAUUUUCAGCGGGACUGUCCAACCAAACGCGUUAUGAUCAUACGUGAAGACGGAGUAUAUGAUUCAGCCAGUGAUUUUGACGAAGCUACCUAUGCUCUCAUUGUCGAGGAAGAGCAAGAAGACCCCGCUGCCCACCAUGACGAGGAGUUAAUGGGAGCUGAAGCCGCUGAUCAGUACUUGAGUUUGAUUGCACAACGCACCUUGAGCGUCCAAAUGAGCCACGCCGAACAAAAUCAGCGGCAUAACUUGUUCCAAACAAAAGGGGUCAUCAAGGAACGCGCUGUUCGUAUCAUCAUAGAUGGGGGAAGUUGCAAUAAUUUGGCCAGCACGGAGAUGGUGGAAAAACUUGUUCUUACCACCAGGCCGCACCCCCACCCUUACUACAUUCAAUGGUUUAACAACAGCGGUAAGCUCAAGGUAACUAGAACAGUCCGUGCACACUUUACUAUUGGUACAUAUUCUGAUUUUGUGGAUUGUGAUGUGGUACCUAUGCAAGCAUGUUCUAUGUUACUCGGUCGUCCAUGGCAAUAUGAUACAGAUUCUGUUCAUCAUGGUAGAACUAAUCAUUAUUCUUUUAUGCAUGCUGGUAAGAAAAUUGGUUUGAAACCUAUGACUCCUGAACAAAUUGUGAAAGAUGAUCUUGCUAGAGCUAGUAGAGCAAAGAGCAAAGAGAAGGAUAAGAGUGAGAACCAUAAUGUCGCUAAAGAAUUUAAGCACCAAGCGUCUACUAGCAAAUCUGAACCGAAACAUGUUAAUGAAAUUAAAUUGAAAGGUGCAUGCUUGCUUGCAAGUAAAUCCGAUAUUUCUGAGUUAGAUACGAAUAAUUCUGUUUGCUAUGCAUUCAUUUGCAAAGAGGCUUUGUUUUCAUUUGAGGAUAUGCCUCCCUCUUUGCCCCCUGCUGUUACUCACGUUUUGCAGGAGUAUUCCGACAUCUUUCCACAAGACGUACCACCAGGAUUACCACCUAUUCGAGGGAUUGAACAUCAAAUUGAUUUAAUUCCUGGUGCUUCGCUGCCCAACCGUGCGCCCUACCGUACCAAUCCAGAGGAGACGAAGGAGAUUCAACGACAAGUUCAAGAAUUGCUCGACAAAGGUUAUAUUCGUGAAUCCCUUAGUCCUUGUGCUGUUCCUGUUAUUUUGGUACCAAAGAAAGAUGGUUCUUGGCGUAUGUGUGUAGAUUGUAGAGCUAUUAAUAACAUUACUAUUCGCUAUCGUCACCCAAUUCCUAGACUUGAUGAUAUGUUAGAUGAAUUAAGUGGCUCUACCGUGUUCUCUAAAGUUGAUUUACGUAGUGGUUACCACCAAAUUCGAAUGAAAUUAGGCGAUGAAUGGAAAACAGCAUUUAAAACUAAGUUUGGACUAUAUGAGUGGUUAGUCAUGCCUUUCGGUCUUACUAACGCACCUAGCACUUUCAUGCGGUUAAUGAACGAAGUUUUACGCGCUUUCAUAGGACGAUUUGUGGUGGUUUAUUUUGAUGAUAUAUUGAUUUACAGCAGCUCUUUAGAAGACCACUUGAAUCAUUUACGUGCUGUUUUUGAUGCUUUGAGAGAUGCACGUUUGUUUGGUAACCUUGAGAAGUGCACCUUUUGCACCGAUCGAGUUUCGUUUCUUGGCUAUGUUGUCACUCCACAGGGCAUAGAAGUUGAUAAGGCCAAGAUCGACGCAAUUCAAAGCUGGCCAACUCCAACAACGGUCACCCAAGUGAGGAGCUUUCUUGGACUCGCUGGGUUUUAUCGCCGCUUUGUAAAGGAUUUCAGCACCCUUGCUGCACCGCUUAAUGAGCUCACAAAGAAGGACGUUCCAUAUGUAUGGGGCGCUGCACAAGAAGAAGCUUUUCUCAUAUUGAAAGAUAAGUUGACACAUGCUCCUUUACUCCAACUUCCUGAUUUUAAUAAGACUUUUGAGUUGGAGUGUGAUGCUAGUGGAAUCGGUUUAGGAGGUGUGUUGUUACAAGGCGGAAAACCUGUUGCAUACUUUAGUGAAAAAUUGAGUGGGCCUAGUCUGAAUUAUUCUACUUAUGAUAAGGAAUUAUAUGCUCUCGUUCGGACUUUAGAAACAUGGCAACAUUAUUUAUGGCCCAAAGAAUUUGUUAUACAUUCUGAUCAUGAAUCUUUGAAGCAUAUUCGUAGUCAAGCAAAGCUGAACCGUCGUCAUGCUAAAUGGGUUGAAUUUAUUGAGUCUUUUCCGUAUGUUAUUAAACAUAAGAAGGGUAAAGAUAAUGUUAUUGCUGAUGCGUUAUCACGUCGUUAUACCUUGUUAUCUCAGCUUGAUUUUCGGAUAUUUGGAUUGGAGACUAUAAAAGAACAAUACGAACAUGAUGCAGAUUUUAAGGAUGUUUUGCAGCAUUGUAAAGAGGGCAGAACAUGGAACAAGUUCGUCAUUAAUGAUGGAUUUGUGUUCCGUGCUAACAAGCUAUGCAUCCCAGAUAGCUCCGUUCGUCUUUUGUUGUUACAGGAGGCACAUGGAGGAGGGUUGAUGGGUCACUUCGGCGUGAAAAAGACCGAAGAUGUGCUCGCUGAUCAUUUCUUUUGGCCUCGGAUGAGACGGGAUGUUGAGAGAUUUAUCGCUCGUUGCACUACAUGUCAAAAAGCUAAGUCACGACUCAAUCCUCAUGGUUUAUAUAUGCCUCUCCCUGUUCCUAAUGUUCCUUGGGAAGAUAUAUCAAUGGAUUUUGUUUUGGGAUUGCCUCGAACUAAGAAGGGGAGGGAUAGCAUAUUUGUUGUUGUUGAUAGAUUUUCUAAGAUGGCACAUUUUAUACCUUGUCAUAAGAGCGAUGAUGCUACAAAUGUUGCUGAUUUAUUCUUUCGUGAAAUUGUUCGCUUGCAUGGUGUGCCCAAUACUAUAGUUUCAGAUCGUGACACAAAAUUUCUUAGCCACUUUUGGAGAUGUUUAUGGGCUAAGUUGGGGACCAAAUUGCUUUUUAGUACUACAUGUCAUCCCCAAACAGAUGGACAAACUGAAGUUGUUAAUAGAACAUUAUCUACUAUGCUUAGGGCUGUUUUAAAGAAGAACUUGAAAAUGUGGGAAGAAUGUUUACCUCAUAUUGAAUUUGCUUAUAAUCGUUCACUGCAUUCAACCACAAAAUUGUGCCCUUUUGAAAUUGUUUAUGGUUUUAUGCCUCGUGCACCAAUUGAUUUGUUACCUUUGCCAACUUCUGAAAAAGUUAACUUUGAUGCUAAGGAACGUGCUGAACUUAUAAUAAAAAUGCAUGAGACGACUAAAGAGAACAUUGAGCGCAUGAAUUCUAAGUAUAAACUUGCGGGAGAUAGGGGCAGAAAACAAAUUGUGUUUGAACCUGGAGAUCUUGUUUGGUUGCAUUUGCGCAAAGAUCGUUUCCCUGAUUUGCGCAAGUCUAAGUUAAUGCCACGAGCUGAUGGUCCCUUUAAGGUGUUAGCAAAAAUUAAUGAUAAUGCAUAUAAACUUGAGCUACCUGCAGAUUUUGGGGUUAGUCCCACGUUUAAUAUUGCAGAUUUGAAGCCUUAUUUGGGAGAAGAAGAUGAACUACCGUCGAGGACGACUUCGAUUCAAGAAGGGGAGGAUGAUGAGGACAUCCCAACUAAUGAUACAACCACAGCCCCUACAGCACAUACACCUCAAGUACCGGAGAUACAUGGACCAAUUACUAGAGCUCGUGCACGACAACUAAAUUAUCAGGUACUUUCGUUCCUCGGUACUUCAUUUAAUAUUAAUGAGAACAUGCUGCUGCCUAAGAUGGGUUCUUUUAUGUGUUUUAGGAAUGAAGGACCUAGCUUGCACCUCAAGGAUCAGCGUUGGACAGCAAACCAUGGAGGUGGCAGCAAGGUGGCGGGAGCUAGCUCAAGUGAUGAUUUCAGAACAUUGAAACCGCCAUAACGAGAGAUGAGAAGAAGGCCGCAUCCUCUUCAUCAAUGGGAUUUCGGCCAAGUGGAGGAUUCUCCCUCCAAUGGGUAUCUAUGGGCCAAAGAUGAGGGUUAUAACCUUGCUUUAUUAGGCCUAAGGCCAUGUAAUAGGGUCCAGCCAAUUUUUAGAUGUUUUCGUUGUGUUUUAGGAGGAUUCCUAGGCCGUUUCGGAGUCCCUCAAGGACCUGUCCGAAAACCACCUAGUUCCCCUCCUAUUUAUACCCCAUGAGCCCCCCCAUGGAGCCUUGGGUUUUGAUUAGAUAAAGUUUAGCCUUUGCUACUUUCGUGUAAUCGCGUGUGUCGGUUAGACCACCUGUUUUACCGUCAUCAAGACUCCAACUAUAUUGAGUAUUCAGAUUCGUGAACCUUCAUAUCUCCUAUUCGCAAUUUCAGAUUGCUUUUCAUCUUGUUCUUGCUUGUUCUUCGAUUGCUUGCAGGAACAAAGACCUUCGUGGUCAGGUUGAUCGUGCCCCCGCGGGAUCAAUAACCUUCUGGAGUUGGUGUAUCGAUCGCUAAGGCGCUGCCUCCUAGGUUGUAGUCGGAUCGUCAACGUCACCUCCUACCAAAUCGAUAAUUAGGUAUCUCAUCGAAAGAUCGGGACACCCUCGAGGCUAUCAAUAACUCGUAGUGAAUCUUGCCAAUACAUUCAAUGUAUUGACCCUAGUGGCUGCAUCGUUUAAUGAUGCAGGAAGCUCCGACGACGAGUAAGAUGUACGUUCUGCAUGUUUGGGUUACGGGGUUACAUUCCAACACGCUCUCACCGUGGUGUUGAUGAGCCCUUGUAUCUUUCGCUUUCCGCUUCUAAACAGUUGUUUUAUUUCCAACUAAUCUGUGAGGUUAUGCGAGUUGUAAGUAACUUUUAAAUUCUGGAUGAUACGUUGCCAAUACAUUCAAUGUAUUGACCACGUAGUGGCUGCAAAUCAAUAAUGCAGGUGAAUCUGACGAAGAGGGAGGUUCGUCAAUGUUCUUUGGGUUAUGUGCUUACAUUCCAACAUGCACUCUCCUUUGGGAGUAGUUGAGGCCCAUUUGCUCCACCUUUUCUGCUGUCGUUUUGUGAAACUGUUUUUAUGAUAUUUUGGAACUCUAUUUGUAUUGCUGACCCAAGGGGUUAUGCAAGUUUGUAAGUACUGUUAAGUUCUGGAUGAUACGAUGUAAUAAAGUACUUUUGAUCUUUGUAUCUUGAUAUCACAUCUUGAAACUGUGUGUGCUAGUGAGUCGAUCCAGGGACUUGCACAAAUAAGCACAGAGAUCGAACCCUGUACGGGGGGAAUCGCUUCAGAUGGUAUCAGAGCAAUGUGUUGCCUGUAGGAACGUGACCCUAGCUGGGAUUAGGAUAAGACAAAACCAAAGACCAAACCAAAGACCAAACCUUAGAAUUAUUCUUAUCCCUAUCUGAUAUAUAUAUAUACAUAUAUUUUACUCCUUAUCCCUAUUCAUCUAAAUCAUUGCAUUUAUAUCUUACAUAUGCAUGACAUGUUUAUUGUUUUUAUUUCUACAUAUACACCAAAUACUAUGCUUUAUAUCACAGAUGCAUGUUUCUUUUAUUAUACCACAGAUACAUAUUUAUUUUAAUAUACCACCCACCACUAUAAUCAUGUUGCUAUGAUAUUCACAUAUUAUUAUGCAUCCAAUUUUAUUUUGCAAUCCCACAUUUAUAUUAAAUUUUAUCACUUUAUACCCACUCUACUAUCUUCUAUUUUAUUUUACAUAUAUCCGACCAUUUUGAUCAUGUCACUGAUACUCGACUUCUUGUUUUCUAUAGAUGGGAAGCGCAACACCUUUUGGCAACGUACCGUCGUUUACCCGAAUCUACUACCCCUCCACGGACGACGACCAGUUGUUCAGUGCUCCUUUGGCGGCACUGUGUGCGUCUCUUGACCUGCCACCACCCAGGUUCAGAGGCCGAGUCGAGCCCGCCGUGCCAGAAGGAUGGCAGCCAUGGUUGGAGAUUGAGGCGAAGAUCCGCGGGCGUGAGAUCACGCCUGCCACUCAGGAUAUCACGUUCAUCGCCCGCUACCCCACCUUCGAGCAAGGCCUUCAGUUCGCCAUGCAGUGCGCCUUGGUGAGGAGAUGACCAGGGCUGACGAUGCUAAGAAGUUAGUCGGUCAUUUGCUGGAGGAGAAGACCCAAUGGCAGGAGGAUAAGGCAUUGCUACAGAACACUGUCCUCAACAUGGGAGACGCCAUUGACCAGCUAAAGUACGAGAGAGACCUGGCUCGCUACUACUGCGAGCAGUUCAAGGCCUUCAUUGAGGCAGCAGCCGCAGCCGCCGCUGAGCCAGCACCAGCUACCGCACCGGCACCAGACAAGGCCCCACCUCCACCGCAGGAUCAGGAGGUGGUACCUCAGGAGGUAGUGCCGAGUGAGGAGGAGGAGCCCCAGGAGGUCCACGAGAUGGAAGGAAGAGGGUGAGCGGGGCCACGACGACAGCCACACCUCCCUAGUCUCGAUGCCUGCCAGUCUUAGUCAGUUAUUUUAGUUAUCAGUUUUGCGAGUUAAUCAUUGACCAUACAACCUAUGUGUAUGGCAAUGUAGAUCGAUUGCAUUUUCCGUACUCUUUAUGGGCAGUGUCCCAUCAUGAACAAGUGUGUUUUGCCAUAUCUUUCAAAACCUUUUUAUGGAUGAUUGAGUGUAUGAUUGAGUUAUGCUUGAGUUGACAUCUGGUUUUUGUGGGGACUUAGACAUCCUUAGCUCUAUUCUGUCUAUUAUUCCUCAUCCAUGCUACCCUAAACAGAUGCCUCCAAGACGCUAGAACCCUGCAAACAACGCCGAGGCUAACAACGCCGAAGCAGAGGGAAACGCUGCAACCAUGCAGCAACUGUUGGCCGCCCAGACCCAAUUCUUCCAGCUGAUCACUCAGCAACUGGCCAACAACAACGGCAAUCACCAGCAGAACCCCAACAACAACCAGCAACACCACCCUCCACAAGUGGAUAUGCUGACCAGGUUCUUGCGUUUGCGCCCACCCACCUUCUCUAGCUCACCAGAGCCAAUCGUGGCAGAUGACUAGCCCGAGGAAGAACUUGGUGACAAUCAAUUGCAUCGAGGAAGAGAAGGUGAGAUUUGCAGCUCACCUAUUGGAAGGACCAGCUGCAUCCUGGUGGGAGAAGUACCAGAUCACCACCCCCAUUGAGCAUGUCACCUGGGACAUGUUCCAAGAAGCUUUCCGCACCGCCCAUAUCUCAGCGGGGGUGCUUAAUUUGAAGAAGAAAGAGUUUCUGCGGCUCAGAUAGGGAAGCCGUACAGUGGUCGAGUUCAUCGACCAAUUCAACAGCCUCGCCCACUAUGCACCGGACAAGGUGAACACGGAUGCCAAGCGCCGAGAGAGGUUCUUGGAUGCGCUGAACGAUGAACUCUCUGUGCAACUGGCUGUUGCUUACACUCCUACCUACCAAUCGCUCAUUGACAAGGCGAUUGUGUUGUAGAACAAGCUCCACCAGAUGGAGAACCGCAAGAGGAGACUCCACCAGGGAGGCUCUCACGCGGGGCCACAUCAGAAGCCGCACAUCACCCAGGAUGGCAGUGGCAGUUCGUCUGUGCACAGGGCCGGGGGCCACAACGACAGACGCAGUGGAGGGUAUGGCCAUCAGAACCGCCAUACCGGGAACAACAACUGCAGCAUCAAACACCAGCAGCAGCAGAAUCAGCAGCAGCAGCAGCGCCCGAGGAUCCACAACGGAAAUGGUAACCACAAUGAAAGUGGAAACCAAAAUGGCAAUGGAAAGGGCCACACCAACGGCAAUGGAGCCGGACAGAACCGCAACACUGGCAGGGACAUGAGCCAGGUGGAGUGCUUCAAGUGCCACAAGAUGGGGCACUACUCCAACAACUGCCCAGAGAGGAUGACAGGGAAUGUGGUUAAACCAAACCCAUUCCAGAAGGGCAACCUGAACCAGAUCGACGUGGAAGAGAUCACCGAGGAGCAAGGUAUAGUCAUCGGUACCUUUAGCGUUAAUUCAUUUAAAGCUCUAGUACUGUUUGAUACCGGUGCAUCUCAUUCAUUCAUCUCAAGAGGAUUUGUGCAUCAAAAUGGAUUACCUGUUAGCACAUUAGCAAACCCCAUGAAAGUGAAUUCACCAGGGGGAGAAUUGAUGGCCGCCUAUGACUGCCAUGGGCUAAGUUUGGAAAUUGGGAAACACACCUUCCCCACGGACCUAAUAAUAGGGUCCAAGGGUUUGGAUGCCAUCCUAGGAAAUUUAGGCUGAGCCUUGGAAGUGGACUUCCGUCGAGAGGACUUGGACUUGGCGAGGUUCAACUGCUCACGCUCGCGCUCUUUCAUAACAAUCUCUGCCCUCUUCUUAGUUGAGAGCUUCUUGGGAAAAGGAGGGAUAACAUGAUCCUUGCCCUUGUCUUGACAAGAACUAGCACCCCCUGUGAUGUGGGUCGGGGUGGCCCGAUCUUUCGAUGAGAUUGGUAACUCUCGAUUUGGGUAGGAGGUGACGUUGACGAUCCCACUACGGCCUAGAAGGCAGCGCCUUAGCAAUCGAUACACCAACUCCACAAGGUUAUUGAUCACGUGGGGGCACGAUCAACCUGACCACGAAGGUCUUUGUUCCUGCAAGCAAUCGAAGAACAAGCAAGAACAAGAUAAAUAGCAGAUGCAAUCUAAAAUUGCGAGUAUACUAUAUCAAACCAAUGUCUCAACGAGACGAUAAGUUGGAGUCUUGACGACGGUAAAACAGGUGGUCUAACUGACACACGCGAUUACACGAAAGUAGCAAAGAUGGCUAAACUUUAUCUAAUCAAAACCUAAGGCUCCUUAGGAGGGCUCAUGGGGUAUAUAAAGGAGGAGGGAGAGAUAUUUUCAUCCACCUUGAGUAAGGGGGCCGAAAUCCAACUCUAUCUCUAACUUUCCUAACAAACUACAACUCUUUAGGAAACAGAAAAACAGAUCCGUCAGCUUGUUUUGUCCGCCACGGUCAGCACAAGUACUUGUUUGCUUGAUUUGGACUCCGGAUGCGGCCUGGGUGAUUAAAACAAAUCCGGGUCUCCUGACAGCUCGGACCCGAAUCGGAUUCAACUUUAAUUCGUGAUAUCUUUCUCUAGCAAGCUCCGAAUCAUGUGCCGUUUAAUUUCUUGGAAAGUAGACUUGAUAGGCUUCACUUUGAAUCUCCCUUUGCAGGCUAUCACACUUCAUCUUCACUUUGGACUUGUAAAGUUCAAUAAGAUGCCUACAUAAUAAGAUUACACAAGAUAGUAGCUCCGCCUCUUUGCAAGUAACAUAUUAAAAACAUUUUGUAAUUGAAUUCACCUGAUUAUAAUUGUUAUUAGAUACACCAACAAUUAGGGUUCUAAUGGUCGUAUCCAUGGUUAGCAUGUCCAUAUCACCCUGUGAAACAAAAAGUGAUACGAGGGACAAUAGGUAAGUGCUGAGGAUUGUAGAAAUAAGGAAUCGAUCAAUUGGAGACAAGGCUGUACAGAAAAAUUGUCCAGGGACCGGAAGUUCCGGUGAGAAGAUGGAAGUUCCACCUGACCGGAAGUUCUGGUCAAAACCGGAAGUUCCGGUGUCGCGCAGACAAGGGACGAACCCUAACUUCCAAUCCCUCAACAAUCUAGCCAUACAAUCUCAAAUCCAACUAGCCUAGUACUUAUAUGCAACACAACAAAGGAAUUCCACCAAGAAAUUUACCCUAAUUUCUCACAAUCAUCCAAGGAUUCAAACAAAACCUAGAAGGAGAGAAAAGAGGAAUUGCUUGAUUUCACCAUGGUGGAGAUCGAAGGGAAUCACGUCCUGGUUGCAGAUCUGAAGAAAGCAGCCGGAUCACGAAAUUUUGGAGUAUUUGGUUCCUAGGGUGUGGGGAGAACAAGAGAGAGGGAGGGGGUCGGGCCAGUGUGAAGGGGAAAACCCCCACUCGGUCGGCCUCUUUCACUUAGUAGGAUUUUCCCCGACCAGAAGUUCCGCCCGGAGGACGGAAGUUCCGGCACACCCAGAAGCAGAACACAGUUUCAAAGCAACAAAAACUUUUGAGCAUUUAGAGUAGAAAGUUUCUAGAUAAGAUGGCCUGGGUUGGAUCACACAAAGUUGGGAUUAUAUUAUGGCAUUAUACACUCAAAUUGCAAGAAGCAAAUUCAAAAUACCAAUUAUGAGUGCAUUUCCAUAGAUAGACAUACAAUAUCAUAUUUGACUAUAUAUAAGAUUUGCAAGGAAUUGAAAAGAACCAACCUCACAAAAGUCAUAUCUGAGCAUGUAUGAGCUUGACACCACGAAUAUAUAUUCUUGGGCUCAAGACUCAAAACUCACAUUGAAGCUCAAUGUAAAAUAUUAAUGUUAGAAUAGUAAGAGUAGCAUUUGCCCAUGAAUUGAGCUAUGCUCCCCCUACAUCCAUGGGACAUCCUAACUAGACAAAUGUUAACCGUGGGUACCGGUGCAAGUUUAUCAUACCACAACACUAGAAUCUAGGAUAUUUAGCUCAUGCCUUAACUCUUGAAAUCUUGCUUCAUCAAGUGGCUUCGUGAAGAUAUCCGCUAGUUGCUUACCGGUGGCAACAUAAGAGAGAUCAAUAUCACCACGGGCCACGUGCUCUCGAAUGAAGUGAUGACGAAUCUCAAUAUGCUUCGUCUUGCUAUGUUGCACGAGGUUGUGGGCUAUCUUGAUUGCACUCUCGUUGUCACAUAAAAGAGGCACACUUUCACAAGUGAUUCCAUAGUCCAAUAAUGUUUGCCUCAUCCAUAACAAUUGUGCACAACAACUUGCGGCGGCUAUAUACUCGGCUUCCGUAGUGGAGGGAGACACACAAUUUUGUUUCUUAGAAGACCAACUCACCAAAGACCUACCAAGAAAUUGGCAAGUUCCAGAAGUUGACUUCCUAUCCACUUUGUCUCCCGCCCAAUCCGAAUCCGAAUAAUCCAUGAGCUUAAAACUUGAUCCUUUGGGGUACCAUAAUCCAAAGUUUGGGGCAUGAACCAAAUAUCUAAAGAUUCUUUUGACCGCCACUAAGUGCCAUUCUUUUGGUGCGGAUUGAUAUCUUGCACAAAUACUCACACUCAACAUAAUAUCUGGUCUCUAUGCACAAAGAUAAAGCAAAGAACCAAUCAUAAAAUGAUAUACCUUUUUAUCCACAUCUUUACCAUUGGGAUCGAGAUCAAGAUAAUUUGAUUUAGGCAUUGGGGUCUUAGCCUUCUUGGCAUCAUCCAUCUUGAAUCUCUUUAGCAUGUCUUGGGUGUAUUUGGCUUGAUUAAUAAAGAUUCCACCUCUCAAUUGCUUGAUUUCAAAUCCAAGGAAGAAUUCCAAUUUACCCAUCAUAGACAUCUCAAACUUUUCGGUCAUUAGCGUAGCAAAUUGAUCAUUGAACACACCAUUAGUAGAACCAAAUAUGAUGUCAUCAACAUAUAGUUGGCAUAUAAACAAAUCACCACCAACCAUUUUAGUAAAAAGAGUGGGAUCAAUCACCCCAAUUUCAAAGCCACGAUCCUCUAGCAGCUCCUUUAGGUGCUCAUACCAAACUCGAGGUGCUUGUUUGAGACAAUAGAAGGCUUUAUCAAGUUUGUACACGUGGUUAGGAAAUUGAGAGUUCUCAAAACCCGGUGGUUGUUUGACAUACAUCAACUCAUUUAGUGGACCAUUUAGAAAUGCACUUUUCACAUCCAUUUGUUGCAAAGUAAUGUUAUGAUGCGAUGCAUAUGCAAGCAAGAUACGAAUAUAUUCAAGACGAGCAACGGGAGCGAAAGUUUCACCGUAGUCAAUACCCCGAUUUGGGAGAAACCUUGAGCCACCAAUCUUGUCUUGUUCCUUGUCACUAGACCAAGGGCAUCUUGCUUGUUCUGGAAUAUCCAUUUGGUCCCAAUGUCAUUCUUGCAAUCUUUUGGUCUUUCCACCAAUGACCAAACAUUAUUGCGCUCGAAGUUAUUCAAUUCUUCAUGCAUGGUAUUAAGCCAAUCCGGAUCCUCGAGUGCAUCUUGUACCUUUUGGGGCUCAACACAAGAAACAAAAGCAUGAUAUUCACAAAAGUUAGCUAAUUGUUUACGUGUCGUUACCCCUUUCCUCACACUUCCAAGGACAUUGUCCAAGGUAUGAUCUUACCGUUGAAUUCGUGAGGUGAUCUUCAUGGCAUGACGUUCCAAAGCUUCUUGAGAUUAUUCUUGAGGCUCAAUGGAAGCUUGAACAUCUUGAAGAUCUUGAUCUUGGGCAUCAUUUGGUGAAGGAUCACCAACUUCAACAAUUGCUUAAUCUUGCCCUUGAUCAACUUGUUCAUCCACAUGAGGGACUUGUUCUUGUUCUUGGUUAGCUUGUGGAUCUUGUGAAGAUGAAGGCUCGACUUGAGUAGAGCAUUGUCCUUCUCCUUCUUCCAUACGGGGUUCCUCAACGGGCAUAAUUUGAUCUAUGCCCAUUCUUCGUAUGACUUUGGGGAGAAAUUUCAUCAUCUACAUUCACAACAUCAACUUGCCCCACAUGAGAGCCAUUAUUCUCAUCAAACUCCACAUUACAAGAUUUUUCAACACAUCCGGUGGAUUAGUUGUAGAUUCUAGAAGCGUGGGAGUUAGAUGCAUAGCCAACAAAUAUACCCUCAUAAGUCUUAGGCUCAAAUUUAGACAAACGAACACCUUUCUUAAGCACGAAACACUUACAACUGAAUACCCGGAAGUACUUGAGGUUGGGCUUGCGUCCCGCGAGAAUUUCAUAAGGUGUCUUGUCCAAAAUCUUGCGGAGAUAGAGGCGAUUGGUAGCAUGGCAUGCGGUGUUGAUUGCUUCGGCCCAAAAGUUGUGUGGAGACCUAAACUCCGCCAAUCCUUGCCGCAUCCAUGAGAGUUUUAUUCUUCCUCUCGGCUGCACCAUUUUGUUGAGGGGUAUACGCAGCGAAAUAUUGUCUUUUAAUACCCUCAUCACUCAAAAACUCAAUCAAGGUGUAAUUCUUGAACUUGGAGCCAUUGUCGCUUCUUAUAGCCAUAAUCUUUGCGUUGUAUUGGCGUUGAGCUUCAUUGGCAAAGUCGAUGAUGAUUUGUUGGGUCUCAUCUUGUGCUUGAAGAAAUAUACCCAUGUAUACUUAGAAUAGUUAUCAACAAUCACCAAACAAUAUUUCUUACCACCAAGACUGUCAUAUGUAGGAGGACCAAACAGAUCCCAAUGAAGAAGCUCCAAGGGCCUUGUUGAAGUGAUAAUUGUUUUGUGGGGAUGUGCCUUCUCAUGUAAUUUGCCUUCAAUACAAGCACUACACACACGGUCUUUAUUAAAUGAAAUAUUGGUUAGUCCUAGCACAUGUUCGCCUUUGAGGAGACUUUGCAAAGAUCUCAUAUUGACAUGGUUAGUCGGCGAUGCCACAGCCAACCCACAUAAACUUUAGCCAUUAGACAUGUUUCUUCUCUAGUGUGUUUCUUACCAAAAUCUACCAUAUAGAUACCACCUUCCACAUAUCCAACAAAGGCUACUUUAAGAGUCUUGCUCCACAAAAGGGUCACACUUGUUAUUCCAAAGAAAGAAUAAAAAACCAUAUGUGCAAGUUGAAGUACCGAAAGUAAACUGUAUGAAAGGGACUAAACAAGCAUGACAUUCUCAAUGGACGUAUCCGGAGAAAUGACAACCUUGCCUAAUCCCAAUACCGUUGAUUUCGAAGAAUCUCUGCUUGGACCUUGAUGUGCUCAUUUUGGUGUCCACAAGCAACUCUUUGCUCCCGGUCAUAUGAUUAGUGCAUCCACUAUUCACUAUCCAUGAAGAUCCACCGGAAGCAACCUCCUACAAGUUUAAGCUUUGGUUUUAGGUACCCAUCUUUGAAUGGGUCCUUUAGCGUUAGCAACAAGGGUCUUAGGAACCCAAAUAGACCAAUGAACAUAUUCAUAAGGAGAACCAACAAAUUUGGCAUAAACAUGGCCAUCAUUAGUACGACAAAGAACAUAUGAGGGAUUGAAAUCCCCGACACUAUUAUCAUAAGUGGCCUUGCCACCCUUAUUGUUCUUUGGCUUCUCCUUGGCCGCCUCCCCUUCCUUCACAAAAGAAAUAUUAGUGCAGGGAGGAGCUGUGGCCUUCUUCUUGUUGUUGCUCUUCUCAUUGGGAGUAUACUCAAUUCCUUCCAAUCCAAAAGCUUUUCUAUGAUCAUUUAAAAGAUCAUGGAGGUUCUUCUCCCCUUGGAUAUUAGUGCAGGGAGGAGCUGUGGCCUUCUUCUUGUUGUUGCUCUUCUCAUUGGGAGUAUACUCAAUUCCUUCCAAUCCAAAAGCUUUUCUAUGAUCAUUUAAAAGAUCAUGGAGGUUCUUCUUGAUAUGGACAUGAUCACCAUGGAUACGACCAUUAGAACCCUAAUUGUUGGUGUAUCUAAUAACAAUUAUAAUCAGGUGAAUUCAAUUACAAAAUGUUUUCAAUAUGUUACUUGCAAUGAGACGGAGCUACUAUCUUGUGUAAUCUUAUUAUGUAGGCAUCUUAAUGAACUUUACAAAUCCAAAGUGAAGAUGAAGUGUGAUAGCCUGCAAAGGGAGAUUCAAAGUGAAGCCUAUCAAGUCUACUUUCCAAGAAAUCAAACGGCACAUGAUUCGGAGCUUGCUAGAGAAAGACAUCACGAAUUAAAGUGGAAUCCGAUUCGGGUCCGAGCUGCCAGGAGACCCGAAUUUGUUUUAAUCACCCAGGCCGCAUCCGGAGUCCAAAUCAAGCAAACAAGUACUUGUUGGAAAGGUAAUUACAAGACCUUUCCAACGGAUCUGGCCCCAUCAAGAGAUUCGACUCGUGCUGACCGUGGCGGACAAAACAAGCUGACGGAUCUGUUUUUCUGUUUCCUAAAGAGUUGUAGUUUGUUAGGAAAGUUAGAGAUAGAGUUGGAUUUCGGACUCCUUAUUCAAGGUGGACGAAAAUAUCUCUCCCUCCUCCUUUAUAUACCCCAUGAGCCCCCCUAAGGAGCCUUGGGUUUUUGUUUAGUUAAAAGUUAGCCAUCGCUACUACUUCGUGUAAUCGCGGGUGUCGGUUAGACCACCCGUUUUACCGCCUUUCGGAACCCCCCAACUUAUUGUCUCGUUGAGACAUUGGUUUGGAAAUAGUAUAUUCGCAAUUUUAGAUUGCAUCCGCUAUUAUUCUGGUUCUUGCUUGUUCUUCGAUUGCUUGCAGGAACAAAGACCUUCGUGGUCAGGUUGAUUGUGCCCCCGCGUGAUCAAUAACCCUCUGGAGUUGGUGUAUCGAUUGCUAAGGCGCUGCCUGCUAGGCCGUAGUCGGAUCGUCAACGUCACCUCCUACCCAAAUCGAGAGCUAUCAAUCUCAUCGAAAGAUCGGGCCACCCACACCCGUAUCACGUGGUAUCAGAGCUUAAGGUUGCUCAGUGAGAUUUUUCCAGUUUAUCCCUAGUUUAGAUCUGUUUUUACCUAUCGUCCAGAAAAAGCCAAACAAAAAUUAGAAUUAGUUAUCUUGUCCUAGAACCAAUCUGAGCCUUGCAAUUUUCACUUUAGUAUUUGCAUUGUUGAAUCUUUGCUGCAUUAAUCGUGUCGAGUUGCUGGAUUAGAUUGGAUCGUUUUUCAGAUUUUUUCUACUAGAUCGAACUUGCUUUUGGUUUUCUUGUUCUUCGUGUGACGCAGGUUUCCUUCAUCAAUCUUCCGCCGCCAAAGUUCCUGCCACACCACCGCCAUAAUCUCCCGCCGCCACCAUAUCUUUCACCGAGUCUCUCUUCGAGUCCUACACCGAGUCCCUCUUUGAGUCCUACACCGAGUCCCUCAUCGAGUCCUACACCGAGUCCCUCGUCGAGUCCUACACCGUGUCCUACAUCGAGUUCUACAUUGAGUCGGCAAGUUAUAGUUUUCAGCCGCAAGUUCGAGUCCGAAUCCAUUCAAGAGUGCUUUUGGAAAGUUUUCAUAAUAGAUCGAAUUUUGUUCAGAGAUCAAGUUGUUCGGAAAGUUGUCAAAAUUUGAGAAAGGAAAGAGGAAAGAAAGGAAAGAGGGAAAAAAGAACGAAAAAACGAAGAAAAGUGUUCGAGUCAGUUUCGGAUCCGAGUCCGAGUAGAAUUUUAGUUUCGGGUGGGUUUGACCCGUGUUCAGUAAAACGGGCGUAUCUUUUGCGUACCAUCUCGGAUUUGGACGUUUUUGGACUUUUUGGAAAGCUCACGACGAGGCGCAUCAGGAAAUAUCCAGGGCUUUGCCCUGCACUUUGACCCUCAAAUUCGGUUUGUAAGGUGGACUUUUGAAGCUUCCAAGUUUCUGCAUCCGUUUUCCGGCGUCGCUGCAGCCCGGUGUUUCUCAGUUUUCUCCACCGUCCGACAUCCGUUUUGAGUGAUCUUGCCCUUGCUAGAAAGCUUGUGUCGAUACGCUUCUAACCCAUAUUUUUCCAUAUUUUUCUGAAUUUUUUCUUACUACAGCCUUUGCUGUUCUUCGACAGACCGACGUACAGUUUUCCGGUCCUUCUUUUGCGUGAGUUUCAGGGGUUAAAAAAAAAGAAAAAAAAAAGAAGAAGAAAAGAAUAAGAAGCCAAACAGAAGGCCACAAAAAGAAAAAUGAAGAAAAAAAAUCCCAGGGAUUUACUUGUUGUGCCAUCUUUUGAUCUUUCUAUCCUAUCUUCUUCAGUAUCUAGGCUUAGAUUAUUUCUGUAAUUCGUUCUUAUCGACUCCAGCAGCUAGGACUAGCAUUAUUGAGCAUAUUUUCAACUUUGCAUUGCUGAUUUGAUUAUUUGCUAUUCCUUGCUACUCACAAAAGCCUCCAAGCUCCACAGAUUCUACACCUAGGUUGGUUUGUUACCGAGGCAUCGAUACAUUUAAUCUCCGGAGGUGUUGGUUACGCCGCUGGCCAUCACCUUCCUGUUUUGCAUGGUAAGAACUUGUAAGAACUUGAUUUUUAGCUUGAGAGUUGAGCGACUUGUAGCCACAUCCUAGUAGUUGAUAGGAACAUAUUACUGUGUUUUGUUUCUUGUUUUCUACUAACCAUGACAGGACUUACACGAAGCAUGGCAACUAGACCGAUGCUAUCCCGUGACCGCGAUGAGUGCUUUUCACCACGGCCAUCUUCCACGUCUCUUGUUGAUAAUGCCACGGCAACGGUACAAAACAAUCCUUCUAAUACAAUUAAAUUGUUUGUACCUUUCUUUGAGGGGGAAAAUGAUGCUGAAACUUAUAUAGAUUGGGAGCUAGCUUUAACUGAACAGUUCACAUGCUUCGAUGUACUAGAUAGUCGUAAGGUUCAAAUUGCUAGUAGUAAAUUUACUUUUGCUGCUUUAUCUUGGUGGAAUGAGAUAGUUAGAGAAAAGAAAAUUCCCCACACUUGGGUUGAUAUGAAGAAAAUCAUGAGAGAAAAAUAUGUCCCUUUUAGUUAUGCUUUUAACUUGCGUUCAAAAUUACGACGUUUGGCACAAGAUGAUAAAACUGUUGAUGAUUACUACAAUGAGUUCCAAAUUAUAACCUUGCGAUCUGGUUUAGAUGAAACCGAACAAAGAAAAAUGGAUAGGUUUUAUUGUGGGCUUAACUUUGAUAUUUCUUACAUGAUUGAAUAUGGAAAAUACGACUCUCUUUUGUGUUUGCUUAAUCUUGCUCGUAAAGUUGAGAGGAAAUUACAGCGAGGGUCUACUACAAAUGAGUCGAGCCCACAAGGUAGUGAUACAGAGGAUUGUGUUGCUGAACUAAAAAGGGCAUGUGAUGAAAUAAAUGUGAUACCUGUUGAAUUUUCUGCACCAUGUGAAAUUAUUGUCGUACAUGGUGAUUCAAGUGCACCUACUACUGAAAUUAAUUCUUCUAAUGAUUUGAGUGCACAAAUUGAUUUUGAUAUUGAUGAGAACGAAUCAUGUGAGGAAAUAACUAAUGUUUUGGGAGAAACAAGUGAGAUAGAUAAAUUUGAUUUAGGUUGUGUCGAGUUGAUUAGACAUGGAGUGAUUGAUAAGGAUCCACCUAUUAAUUCUUUGUGUUAUAUUACACUUGAUACACCUAUAUAUUUGUCACAUGCAAUGGAUAAAGUUUCUGAGUUAACAAUUUCAAAAUCUUUUGCUAAUGCCCAUGGAUACACUAUUCAAUUAAUUGGAGAACAUGAUGUCAACAAUAAAGUUUUGGUGCAUCAGAUUUGCAUUGCUUGUGAUAACUUUCUUGAUUUGAGAGACAACAAUAUUUUGUGUAUGCUCAAUCAUUUUGAUAUGACCUCUAAUAUUGGUGAUAGUUGUACGACAAAUAACUUAUGGCAUGAUUGCACAUUGACGCAUAUUGUAGCUCGCCAUUUGGGAAUUCUGAAUUAUUGUUCACCUACAUUAGGAUCGUUUAAUGAUGAGAAUUACAAAUUAAAAUGUGAUACUUGCUGUUGGAAUAUGACUAUUAAUUUUUUGCACUAUUAUGAGUUUUAUUUACGUGAAACAUCGAAUGUGCAGCAUGGGAGUGGAGUUAAAAUUGAUGACAUAUACAUAUACCAUGCACACACUUUGUCUAUUUUGUCAGUCUCUUUUCAGCACAAACGACGCCGAGGACGGCUUUUCUUUCAAGAAAGGGAGGAUGAUAUGGACAUGAUCACCAUGGAUACGACCAUUAGAACCCUAAUUGUUGGUGUAUCUAAUAACAAUUAUAAUCAGGUGAAUUCAAUUACAAAAUGUUUUCAAUAUGUUACUUGCAAUGAGACGGAGCUACUAUCUUGUGUAAUCUUAUUAUGUAGGCAUCUUAAUGAACUUUACAAAUCCAAAGUGAAGAUGAAGUGUGAUAGCCUGCAAAGGGAGAUUCAAAGUGAAGCCUAUCAAGUCUACUUUCCAAGAAAUCAAACGGCACAUGAUUCGGAGCUUGCUAGAGAAAGACAUCACGAAUUAAAGUGGAAUCCGAUUCGGGUCCGAGCUGCCAGGAGACCCGAAUUUGUUUUAAUCACCCAGGCCGCAUCCGGAGUCCAAAUCAAGCAAACAAGUACUUGUUGGAAAGGUAAUUACAAGACCUUUCCAACGGAUCUGGCCCCAUCAAGAGAUUCGACUCGUGCUGACCGUGGCGGACAAAACAAGCUGACGGAUCUGUUUUUCUGUUUCCUAAAGAGUUGUAGUUUGUUAGGAAAGUUAGAGAUAGAGUUGGAUUUCGGACUCCUUAUUCAAGGUGGACGAAAAUAUCUCUCCCUCCUCCUUUAUAUACCCCAUGAGCCCCCCUAAGGAGCCUUGGGUUUUGUUUAGUUAAAAGUUAGCCAUCGCUACUACUUCGUGUAAUCGCGUGUGUCGGUUAGACCACCUGUUUUACCGCUUUCGGAACCCCAACUUAUCGUCUCCUUGAGACAUUGGUUUGAUAUAGUAUAUUCGCAAUUUUAGAUUGCAUCCGCUAUUUAUCUUGUUCUUGCUUGUUCUUCGAUUGCUUGCAGGAACAAAGACCUUCGUGGUCAGGUUGAUCGUGCCCCCGCGUGAUCAAUAACCCUCUGGAGUUGGUGUAUCGAUUGCUAAGGCGCUGCCUCCUAGGCCGUAGUCGGAUCGUCAACGUCACCUCCUACACAAAUCGAGAGUUAUCAAUCUCAUCGAAAGAUCGGGCCACCCGCACCCGUAUCACUUCUCCCCUUGGAUACAAGUGGCUAGGCCCUUCUCAAGUUGGGCCUUUUAACCUAGCAUUCUCCUCAAUCAUGGAUGUAUGAUUGCAACAAGGGUUAGUUGAAGCAUCUUUAUCAUUAGAAAUUAAUUCCUUAACAAGAGAAUAUAGAAGAUGAUCACAAGAAUCUUUGAGAGACUUGUACUCACUUGUCAAGGACUUGUGAUCCUUUCCAAGUUUGUCAAAGUUCUGAAGAAGUCUAGAAUGGCCAUCCUCUAUAUUGCUAAUUUUAGCACAAUAUUCAUUAGCAAGAGAAGUAGCAUGAUCGUAGGAAUGUUUAACUUUAGAAAGCUCUUUGGUAAGAGGUUCCUCAAUUGCUUAUCUAUUGGCUUGUUCUUCCUCAAGAGCUUCAUUAAGCUCCGCAAUCUCAUGAGCGGCCUCGCACUCAAGUCUCACCUUUCCAUCCAUGAGCUCAUCAUGUUCGGCAAUUAUAGCUUGAGCUUCACCUAAUCUUUCCAAGAGGUCCUCAAGCCUCCUCUUGGUCUCACCUUCUAAACUUGCCAUGAAAAUCUCGAACCCAUUCAAGUUUUGCUUAACAACACUACUCUCCUCCACACAAUCAAAUAGAGAUAAACUCUUAGGAAUGGGAGGAGGGAUUACCGAAGUGGUCUUGGCCAUAAGGCACUUGGGUGGGUGGUUCUUGUUUUCAUUGGGGGCGUCGAAGAGAGAUGGAAGUGAAGUAGCAAUGGCAAUGUUUGCCCUCUUCAUAGACUUUUCCUCAUCAUCAUCUUCCUCACCUGAAGUAUAUUCUUCUUGGACAAGAAGCAUUCUUGGUUGCCUCUUCUUCGUUGGCUUCUUGUUGAAGGAGGACCGCCAUUCUCCUCCCUCUUCUCAUAGGGACAAUCUGCAACAAAUGGACAUUGUUGCCACAAUUAUAACAUUUACGAGAUCUUUGACCUUUGGGCUUGGAUCUUGAAGCUCCCUUGUUGUUGUAGGUGUUGGCGUUGUAGGUGUUGGCGUUGUAGUUGUUGGGGUUGAAGGUGUUGGUCUUGACAAACUUCUUGUUCUUCCAAAAAGCUUGAGCUGCAAGAUUCAUGUGAUCACUAAACUCAUAGUUGCAAUUUUCUUCCGUGAUCUCGAAUUCUUCUUGUUGAGGUGCUUCACUUGAAAUAGAAGUGGGAGUCACGUUGGCCUUCAAUGCAAAGAUGGAGUGUUGGGUAAGGUACUUGGCUCGAAUAAGGUUCUCCUCGGAAGUCUUCUUAAGGAUGUCCAUUGCCACAAACUCUCCCAUAACUUGACUUGGUGUCAAGCUAUAAAAAUCUGUUCUUUGCCUAAUCAUUGAGGCGUGGACCUCACGGUGUGGGGAGAUGGCUUCAAUGGAUAGAUGCUUGAUCCAUUCAUCAUUGAUGUCACGACUUCCAUGGUCCUUCAUCUUGGCUCCAAGUUUGAUGACUCUCCUAUAAAGCUCAUCUGGAACUUCUCCAUCUUUCAUAUAGAAAUUCUUGCACUCAUUGAGGACCACCUCAAACUUUGACUUUGUAACACUCUCAUUGCUAUCAAAGUAAUCACCAAUGAUUUUCGAAGCAUCUCUUGCGGAUUCAAUGCCACGGACAUAGGUUCUAUAUUCCAAAGAUAGAGCCUUUUGGAGUAUUCCGAUUGCAAUUUCAUUCAGUUGAUUGUCCACAUACUCUCUUGAUGUCAUGUUUCUCGGAUCAUGGACAUAAAAACCUUCUUCAACAAUUCUCUACAACUCUGUUGAUGUGCUCUUGAAAUGAGGUCUCAUUAAAUGAAACCAAUCAACAUAAUUAGUAGAGGUUAGCAUGGGGGGGGGGUUCCUGGAUUGUAGAUGGGAGGUAAUAGAUGAUGACGAUGGUUAUAAGAAGGUGGAAGAGCCACCUCACUAUACAACCCAUCACCACUCCUACCUUGGGAUUUGUUUGCACUCUCCUCAAUAGCCUUAGCCUUUUUAAGGGCUUCGGCAUCUGAAUCACCUUAUCCAAAUCCACCUCAUUUAGUGGCUUGGCAUGGGGGGACUCGGUAGUAGAAGUAGAGGCUUUGGUAGACAGGUGCUCACUAAUCUUUUUAUCAACCUUAUCAAGUAACACCUCUUGUAAACUAUCCAAAAGCAUUCGGAUAGAAGUGAGUGGAGCACUAUCAUCUAUACCCUCUUGUUCUAUGAGUUUGUCAAUGGGGUCCCCAUCAUUGCCGCCCAUACUCUUAAGAGCGGUAAAGCCCUAAUUGAGAGAUGAGGCCCUGAUACCAAUUGAAAGAUCGGUAUGGUCGGCUAGAGGUGGGGGGGGGGGGGCGUGAAUAGGCGACUAACAAAUUUUACUUUUCCUUUUUCUUUUCUUGAAAGAUACAAACACUUAAUCUUAAGGUUUACUAGAUUCUCUAAAGGGCAACCCUAGUAUGAAGUGCAAUAGCCGAAUGUCGCACCAGUGGCCCAUGGGGCCCCACCGAUGCUUGACGCGUGGGUUGCAAUGAGAGUUCCCGGCAAGGUGAGGUACCCGAGCAGGCGUGCCCCAGGAAGCUUCACCCGGCAAGGGGGGGAUUGGCCCUCCCCGCAAGCAGAGCCAGCCCCGGCAACCAAGGGGCGAUCCAGCAAACACCCGCCUGGUUGGGCAGGUGGGAAGGUGAAGGCAUUGAAAACAGGAGCAUUCAAUGCUCCGACAAGCCUAGGCCGAUGCCUAUGGUUUCUUCAGCAAGCCUACUUUGUAGGUUCCGACACGUCUCACUGCUUGUAAUAGUGCUCCGCGCGCUGCAUGUAGCGCGCGUGGCUCAGGCAGGCGACCCCUGUCUUGUCCGUCCCGACGCGUGCCAAGACACGUGUCCCGUUGUAAACCUUAGCUAAUGCUAGCGUCUGUGGUAUCCCCUUGACUAUAAAAGGAGGACCGAAGCCAACGUAAAAAAGGUUCGAGUUCACUGGUAUUCAGGCUCCGCUUAGGUUAAGUGUUUAGCAGGCUGUGUGGAGAAGGAACUGAGUGAGAGCAGCCUCGAGAGAGGCUAGGUAGCUAACCGGGGACCACACCCGGCAACUUGUAAACACUCUCAUUUCAUUGGAAUACACACACAAAAAGCAGGACGUAGGGUUUUACACCUCCGGGUGGCCCGAACCUGGGUAAACCUCACUGUAUAUGCUACGUUCCUCAGUCACGUCGGCGAUCGCCGGAGGCGAUCCCCACCGCCCUCCACCGAAUAACUAAAAGGGGGUGCUCGGCAUCCUCGGUGCCGGAGUUCCGGGCUCUGACAUCUGGCGCGCCAGGUAGGGGGGCGUGCGGAAAGUUUCUGGUGACCGCCUGUAACAUCCCUAAAUUUUCCCAUUUUGGAAUGUUAAAUAAAAUAAUUAUUUUAAUUAAAAUAUUGGCUUUGGAAAUAUUUUGGUUGUGAAAUUCUGAAGGAUUUUGAAUUUUUAGGACUUAUUUAAAUUUUUCCACACCAUGUUUGAAUAUUCAACAAACAAGUGGAUUAAUAUGACUAUCAAAAUUAUACAACGUGGUUGGAAGAUUUAUGUAAGUUCAAAGUACUUUAUUUGGAACCAUUUGCAUAUUAUGAUUUAUAUGGAUUAUUCUUUUAUCUUAAUAAAUCCUAUUUUAUUUUUGAAGGAUUUAUUAACAUCCCAGUUUGGAUGCCAUCACCAUUUGAGAGUGUCAUUGGAAUAUUUGAAUCAAAUAGAAAUGCUUACCAACAUUUAUUUAAAUCUUAAAGAGAGGGAAUAAUAUGACGUUCCUGAUUAUAAGGUUGGAAACAUAUUCAAUGAUUCACCUAUGCUUUCUCGAUUUUUAUUUUGGCAUGUUCAUUUUAUUUUCGAGCACAAGGUAUCGAAUAUUCGAGAAGAGAAUAACGUUACAUUCUCAUGUGAAAAUGUUAUACCAACAUUUAUUCCAUCGUUGAGAGUGGGAUAACGUGACUUCCCAAAUAUAUAUAGUUGGAGAAUUUGCAAUGGUCUACGAAAUGUGUGAUUUGGUGUUAUAAAUCUAUUUGGGAAUCUAUUGAACCGUAUAAAUAUUAUAAGAUUUUAUUUAGAGUCCCAAUGGAGUAUUUAGCUAAGGAAGGGUUUUAGUGCAAAGUAUGCCAACCCAAUAUUUUAUUGGAGUUUAAACUAAUUUAUGAAACAAAGGUUUCAUAAUAGAUUUCAAAAUCUAAUUUAUAUAUUACUUAUAAAGCCCUAAUGACAUUUAUAUAAGCAAAAGUAUUUUUACUUAUUUUAUUUUGAAAGGAUUCAAGUCCCAAAAGCUCACACUUUGGAGGAUUUGAAUUUACAAAUUUGCUGAAGUUUAUUUGGACUUAUUUGGAGUUAGGAAUCAAAAGAUAUAGAUGAAAACAGAAAAUAGAAAAGAGGAAAAAAAAGAUUGGACCGACCCAACUGGGCCGGCCCACUUACCAGCCGAGCGCCCAGCCCACCUUCCCCCUUCUUCCCUUCUUUCUUUUUCUCUUUUCCUGAGCCUUCUCUCCUUGGCCCAACUCCACGCAAGCGUUCAGCCCAGCCCCGAGGAUCGUCUUCCUCCUCGUGCCCACGAACGGAAACAUGGUAGCCACACUGUCUCCGCCGCAAUCCCCGCCCCCGACGGCACCUCCUCGCCCCAAACUCCGUCCAGAUGCACUAAACCGAACCCCUAGGCUGCCCUCUCCCUAAUCCCCCUCCUCAAUCUUGCCAAAUCGUGCCCGGACCGCAUUCACCGCCUUUAAUGCCGGUCGACGACAUUCACGCCCCGAUCUCUCUCCUCAGCACAUACAAGAAGAUUCUGAGCGCAUCACAUCGAGCCUUUGACCCUCCUCCCUCGUUUUCCUAUGGAGAGUUUUUCCUACGGAGCUUUGUAGAUCGCAUGCCGUGUCCGUCUUCCUCCACCGUUCGUCGCUUUCGUUCUCGAAGGUGAGGUCGCUCCAAAGCGCUAUUCGUCGAUUCCUUUCACUGGUGCAUUCCCAUAACCAUCUUCUACCUUUGAACCAUGUCAAACGUUGGCCGCGCUGUCCCCGACGUCAUGCCGAUGCCACGCCCAGAGCUCCGCCCGUCGCCGUCCAGAAGCCUCUCCGACCGUUUCGACCACGUCACGAUGUUCGCCUCGAUGUCGUGCACGUCCCUAGCCUCUUCCAUGACCACAUCGACUCCGCCGAUGACUCCCUUGCUGCUUUCCUUCACUCUGGCGAACUCUUUCGGUGAGAAAAUUCAGCAUGAUCUGUUUUGAUUAGCCAUGUUUAGAAGCCCAUAUCAUUAGGUAUGUGUAUCAUUUUUGGCCGAAUCUUUCUGUUGUUGUUAGAUCACGUCCUCCUCUAUGGAUCGGAUCAGAUUGUAUACCCUGUCUCGAUGAUCUUCUGUAGGACAUCUUCGUUGGAAAUUGCUGUUCACAGCACAUUGUUUCUGGAUUAGCAACUUUUCGAAAUUCCUAUAGAUUGUUCCAUCGACCCGUUUGGUUCCAAACCUCCUGUAGAUCAUUAAAUAGAUCCUGUUCUACACAUUAGUUCACUUGAUGCACAAAUUCCAUUUCAUCUUCACUAGUGAAGCGUCAUUGCAAAACUGAACCUUCAGCAGCCUCCCAUCCUUGGCCGUUUCUCUGCCAUGAAUUCAGAAACUUUCUUACAGAUUAGCCUUGUGGAUCUGUCAUUAAGUUUUGCCUCACAUCUCCUAAUAGGAUGAAACCAGUGGAAAAUCGAAGAGUACAAUAUGUCCUUUGUUUCAUCUUAUUAGUUUUCUGUCAUUAGAACCCUCUAGCACCAGUAACCUUUCAGUUGAAGUUAGUAUCUUUGAUCUGUCUGAAUCUGACUAGUCGUCUUUGCAAGCUCAUAUCCUUUUAUCUUUUGCCAUGAAUCCUCCACCAAUAGCCACCGUGAGUAGUUGUUGCUUAGCCAUGCUAUGUCUAGUAUGCGUGGGAGGGAAUCUCAAUGACUAUGAAACUGAUAAUGUGGAGCUUUUUGGAAACUUGGCAAAACAACCUUAACGAAUCAUCCUGGGUGGACGGCUUUGAGUAUUCGAGAUGUUAUGCGACGUCAGGUCCAUUUCUAUGGGUUCCUCUGAGUUGUCUCCCCGUGGAUUCAGGGAGGGAUCGUCCAUGGACGUCUCCCCAUGGAUUCGGGGAGCGCUUGCGUCGCAAAUGUGGAAUGCCACCCGGGGUAAUCAGAGACUGGACUAGUUUCCUGUUUAGAAGAUUCCAGUACAACCACAUGGUAAUAUGGGCUCUACCAGGAUGGAGUAAGAAAUAUGAACCCGGAUCCGAGGAUGACAUCGGUAUGUAGCACGUCCCUCAGGUGGUCUGGGGGAUUAUGUUCUGAAAAUUCUUGUAAUCGAUGCCGUUGCUACUCUACCCUGAGGACAGCAAGGGAUUAACACGUCGGUUUCUUGUGGGUAAAGUGUACCACCUCUCGAGAGUGUCAAACUAAGUACUUAGCCGUGUCCCCGGUUACGAACAAUUUUGAGCAACUAGAUUUGGGGGCUGUAAGGAAGGUCUCAUUCAUUCCAAUUUCUUAAUAAAAUGAAUGGUUUAAACUUGGGAUAAGAGCAUUGAUAUGUCUACUCAAUGUCCAUAGUUUAAUAGGAGCAUCGGUGUGUCUACCCGGUGUCCAUUAGUUAACAUUAAAUUAACAUUCAAUUGUAGUAGGAUAAAUUAUGUUAUGCUUCCACGCAAAAAUGCUAGAACUCCACCUAGCCAAAUACUGCAUGUACUUGAUAGGAUCUGUUAUAACCCUUUGGUGAACUUGCCAAUACAUUCAAUGUAUUGACCCCCUUAGUGGCUGCAAUGUCUAAUGUUGAAGGUGAACCAGGUGAAGAGUGAGGUACGAAUUGUUAGGGUUGCGAGUUUACAUUCCAACAUGUUUCGACUGUAGAGUUGUUAUGGGACUCAUGUAUCUUCUGCCUUCCGUUGCAAGAGUUUAUUUUCUGCUGAGCUAACCCAUGAGGUUAUGCAAUAUGUAAGGUACUAUUAAAUUCUGGAUCAAUGCGAUUUAAUAUACUUUUGACCUUUGUAUCUUGAUAUUACAUCUUGAAACUGUGUGUGCUAGCGAGUCGAUUCAGGGACUAGCACUGUAAGCACAGAGAUCGAACCCUGUACUGGGGCGGUCGCUUCACCGCCAAAGUCGUCGGCAUCGUCUUCAUCGGCACUCGCAUUCACCGUCAUGCCUCCGAAGAAGGUUGAACACCCCAAGGUGGACAUGUGCGGCGCGCCCGCGAUGCGCACAAGAUCACACGAUGCCCCACGAGCAUCACAGGGACAGGGGGACCCUGGGUCCCCUCAGGCGCGGCGACAACAACAGUAGCCGCCGCCACAGCAGCAGCAGGUGCUGCUCCCACCGCCUCCUCCCCGGCCGCAAGGAGACAACCGGCAGGGGAGAGCUCAAAUCCCGAACACGGGAACUGGGGCCAGCCACAUGCAUGACUCCCCCGUCGGGCGUGUCGAGCAUCAAGACCAUCCCCGUGCGAGCGAUCACCAACACCGCUCGCAUCGGAGUCGCACUGUUUCGACUUCGCAAAACCACGGAUCAUUCGGCCCCCACCCGAACCCCGGGAACGGACAGGUGAGUGGUAGCAACCCGCCUCCACCGCCGCCUGUUCGGACCCGGGCAGAAGCCCUCGCGGCAGCUCGUGCCAUGGUGCGGUAUGAGCCGCUGCAGGGGACGCCAGCCCAUGAGGCAUGGUGUGCUGAGCUCUAUGCCUUCAUGGAGUUCGCUAGCCGCCGCGUGGAGGGACCGCGCGACACGUCUGGGUCACGCUCCGGUGUGAGCCGGGGUCCUGACCCGGAGCAGAAUCCAGAGCCGGGGCCCGAGGAACAACCCCGCGCCCCACCUCAGUGGAAUCCUCCAGUCGGGGGGCACCGUCUUGCCGGGGGGGCUGGCGACUCCGUCGGCUCCUCGGUGAUAGCCCUAGCGGAGGAUAUGUGUGGCGUCCUCAACGAGCGGCACCAGGAGGAUUUACGAGAGCGAGCUCCAGCUCCAGCAGGAGCAAGAGUGCAACCCGUUUGAGGGACAAGGCGAUGCUCCCCUCGGAAUUGACGACAGCUGCUCCGCGUUCACUCACGAGUUCCGUCGGGUGACAUGGCCCCCCAAGUUCCGAGCGUCCACACUCGAUACGUAUGACGGGUCCAUGAAUACCAAGGAUUUCCUCCCGACUCACUCGUUGGGUAUGCACGCCAUCGGCGUCAAUGACAAGGUUACGUCGAACAGGUUCUCGAUGGUCCUGAAAGGAUCAGCGAGAACCUGGUGGCCGAACCUGCCCGCCGGGUCCAUCGCCUCAUGGGCGGACCUGCACGAGCAGUUCACAAACGCAUUCCAAGGUGGCUAUAAGCGCCCGGGAACCAUGGCGGAACUGCACAUCGUAGUGCAGAAGCCGAGGGAGAUGUUGCGGGAGUUCACCAACCGCUUCUCCAACCUCUCCUACUCCAUUCCUAGGGCGGAAGCGGCCGCCAUCAUCAACACCUAUGCCAUCAACGUCCGCGAUCCCAAGAUGCGUGAGAAGCUGAACACGCAUCGGAUUCGGACCACCGGGGAGCUGUACGCUCUCACGCGCAAGUGCGCCAUGGCCGAGGAAGGGUGCCUAGCGCCUGAACUCGUGGCCCGAGCAGCGGCGAACCCUCCUGAGAGCUCUCAGAAGAAGGGCUCCCGGAAGCGCACCGGCAAGUAGGUACUUGCCGCAGAGCCAGGGUCUCCACCAAGGCCCACGAAGAAGGCCUCAACCGCUGAUGCAUCGGGCAGAAAGCUGGGAACGGCUCCUCACUGCCCCACCCACAGCAACACCGCGCACGAUGCGGAAAGCUGCCAGACUCUGCAAAUGAUCCGGUAGAAACGCGAAGCGCGUCAUGAAGAGCGCCAUGCUGUCGGCGCCUGCUUCAACUGUGGGGACAUCGGGCACCUCUCCCGGGAGUGCCCGAAUAACCCUCGUGCGGGAGCUGGGCGCGGCGGCGGCAAGGGAGGCGACCAGGCGGCGGCCUUGGGAGGUACCGUUCAGGACCGUGGCGGCAAAGACCAUCCUCCCCGGGGGCGUGACAAGGCUCCUGCCGACAAACGGCACGAGGAGGAGUACAGUGACGAUGUCGAUGAACCCAACUUCCAGGAGCCGCACGACGUCGCUUGCAUCCAUGAGGGAACUUACGCUCUCACGUCACACAGCGCGGUGAAGAAAUUCACCCGCGGAGUGUGCGCUCUUCAUCCUAGCGUGAAGGCGCAACAACCGUUGAGGUGGCCGCAUGUGCCGAUCACUUUCAACAUCGACGACCACCCCGAUCAGAAUCUGGGGUCAGGGGUCCUGCCCCUCGUGGUGUCACCGGUCAUCAACAAUGUGACCAUGACAAAGAUGCUAGGGGACAAUGGAGCGAGCUUGAUCCUCCUGUCCGCUACUCUGGUGGAGAAACUUCAGCUGCCCCUGGAGCAGAUGAAACCCACCGACCCGUUCCGUGGGAUUAACCCCGAAGUGGUGCAGCCCAUGGGGCGAAUCACGCUCCCCGUGACCUUCGGUUCCCAGGAGGCGUUCAGGAUCGAGCACAUCGUCUUCGACGUAGCUCACACCCCGUUGUCGUACAACGGGAUCAUUGUUUGGCCUGCGCCGAUCAAGUUUAUGGCGGCGACUCACUGCGCCUACGAUGUAAUGAAGAUGCCGUCGACCUACGGUGUGCUCUAUGUCAAGUGUGACCUGAAGGACGUGGCUUGGUGCGUGGGUGAGGUCGUCAAGACCGCCGCCACGGCUGAUCCUGGCAAUAGAGACGUUGCCGGGAGCGAGGACUCGCUUGAAGGGGUUCGGCCCGCAGCGCAGAAGGCGCGUGCUCCCCAAGCCAAGUUGCCGAGGGCAGCACCAGCUCGGGUUCACACCUGGGCAAGGGCAAGAAGAUUCAGGAGGAUGGCGCCAAGAUGGAGAAGGUGCCCCUCCAAGCCGGCAAUGAGGGACGCACUGUUUCCAUCGGUGCAAACCUCAAUGCCAAAUAGGAACGCGCGCUCAUCACCUUCCUCCAGGAGAACUCUAAUGUGUUCGCUUGGGAGUCGUCAGAUCUUUCCGGGGUUCCCAGGAAGGUGAUCGAGCAUUGGUUGGUGGUGCGUCCGGACGCCCGCCAGGUCAAAGGUGCGUCGACAAGCAAAAGAGCGGAAGUAUUUCAUCAACCAAGAGGUCGACAAGCAAAAAGAUGCCGGGGCAAUCAGGGAAGUGUUGUACCCUAGUUGGCUAGCUAAUCCUGUAGUAGUUCCUAAGGCUGGCAAUAAGCUGCGCAUGUGUGUAGAUUUUACCGAUCUUAAUCGCGCAUGGCCAAAAGAUCCUUUUCCUGUACCCCGUAUUGACCAAAUAGUAGAUUCCAUAGCGGGUUGCGACUUUUUGUGUUUCUUGGAUGCAUUCUCUGGCUACCAUCUGUAAUGUAACAUCCCAAUUUUCAAAAUUCUUCAUAUGCAUUGCAUAUCAUAAGCAUCAUGUCACCCUUGCAUUUGAUCACUUUCAAAACCCUAAAGUUUGCCUAGAAAACCUUUUUGCAAAAAUGUUUUUAUUUGAUUUUGGGCUUUGAUCUUGCUCUUGACUAUUAGCAUUUUUUUUAACCCAUGAGGGUAUUGUGGUAAAAAGGGAUUUAAUGCAUAUAUAAAGCUAUCCCAUAAUUGGCUUUUGAAAGUAUUUUGAAAAAAAAAAUUGAUUCGAUAGCCUAAGGGCCCUAAAAGCCAUUUUAUAGGCAAAUGUAUUUUUAAAUAUUUUAUUUUGAGAAAAAUCUUGCUCCAAAAGUUAGAUCAUCUGAAAAUAUGAUUUUACAAAUUUUGUUGCAUUUUAUUUGGAGUGAUUUGGAGCUCCGAAUCUAUUUUGAGGUUCAAAAACAGAAAAUAGAUAAAAGAAAAGGAAAAACCGGAUCGAACCGGUCAAACCGCACAAUUUUUUGUUUUAAACCCUAUCCAUGUUUCAUGCAUAUUUGUUAACUCCUUAUUGGUGUUUAAUCUGUCCAAAUCAUUUGAAAAACUUUUCAAAACGGAAAACGAAACUUUUUACUUUAGAAGUAACCUUCGUUGUGCAUCAUCAUAGCAUAUGCAUCAUGUCAUGAUUUUGUAUUGAAUGUUGUGUUUAUUGUGUGUGUUCCUUUUAUUUUAGAUUGUGUGGAGUGUAAUCAUUGUUGUUGCAAAGAGUGCGAGAACUACCACAACCUUGGACAAGGCAAGUUCACUUUGAUCAUUCUCCUAAAUAUUUUACUAUGCACUAGAUGUUUUAUUAGUUGCAUCAGGAAUAUUACUCGUACUUCUAUGCUAGCUAUAAAUCCCAGGUAGUCUAGUUUACCCUCGCCAUUACCUUGCUACCAAAAUUGCCAUCGAUUGUAGUUGAUUGCUAGGCUAUGGUAGUAUCGUGGGGGAAAUAACUACAUUAUGAUAUUGUUAUGCCUUUGGCGAUAUGAAAUGUUUUAUUAGAUGUAAGGCAAAACAAUUAAUUAAAUGAACCGUCCUGGGUGGGCAGCUUUGAAGAUUUUGAGGAUUAGCGGCGUCAGGUCCAUUUCUGUGGGUCCCUCUGAGUCGAGUUCCUGUGGAUUCAGGAAUGGAUCGUCCAUGGACGUCUCUCCCGUGGAUUCGGGGAGCGCCUACGUUGCAAAUGUGGAAUGCCACCUGGGGUAACCGAGACUGGACUAGUUUCCUAUUUAGAAGCUUCUAGUACAACCGCAAUGCUAUAUGGGCUCUGGCGAGACAAGAGUAAGUUGUAUGAACCUAGACCCGAGGAAUUGUACUGAGGUAGCCGUGUAGGGGGAGCGUGAUUCUCUCGUGGUUUAGGGAAUUACCUCUGAAAAUCUCGUAAUCGAUGCCGUUGCUACUCUACCCUGAGGACAGCAAGGGAUUAACACGUCGGUUUCUUGUGGGGAAUGUGUACAAACUCUCGAGAGCGUCAAAACUAAGUACUUAGCCGUGUCCCCGGCAACGGACAAUUUGAGCGACUAGAUGUGGAGCUGUAAGGAAAGUCUCACUCAUUCUAACUUCUUAAAUAAAAUGGAUGGUUGAACAGGGUAGGGGCACUUGAUGAAUCCACAUCAAUGUGCUCUAGGAUAAUAGGAGCAUGGGUGUGUCUACCCCGUGUCCAAUAGUGAUAAAAUUUCUAUUUGAUUAAAAGAUAGGAUUCAAUAACUAGGCGUUUAUGCAAAUAGCUUGAACCCCACUUUACCACAUUAUGCAUAUAUUUGGUAGGCUCUGGUAUAACUCCUAGUGAAUCUUGCCAAUACAUUCAAUGUAUUGACCCUAGUGGCUGCAUCGUUUAAUGAUGCAGGAAGCUCCGAUGACGAGUAAGAUGUACGUUCUGCAUGUUUGGUUACGGGCUUACAUUCCAACACGCUCUCACCGUGGUGUUGAUGUGCCCUUGUAUCUUCCUUUUUCCGCUGCUAAACAGUUGUUUUACUUCCAGCUAACCCGUGAGGUUAUGCGAGUUGUAAGUACCUUUAGAUUCUGGAUGGUCCGUUGUAAUAUUGAGACCUUUGUUCUAUGAUAUUACAUCUUGAAACUGUGUGUGCUAGUGAGUCGAUCCAGGGACUAGCACUAAAGCACAGAGAUCGAACCCGUGUACGGGGGCGGUCGCUUCAUGUAGCAUCCCAAUUUUUCCAAACUUUGCAUCACGCAUUUGCACUCAUGAGCAUCAUGCCAUUUAUGCACUUUGAGCACCUUUAGACCAAAGAUUUAAAAUUUAAAAUCUUUUAUUAAGCCUUUUACCUGCAUCUAUUUGGAAUUUUGCAAACCCAUGAGGUUUUGACAAUAGAAAGGGGUUUAUUGCAAUAAGAUAAGCUACCCCAUAAAUUUUGGUAUUUAAUUUAGUGUUGAAAAAAAAUAUUUUGUUUUUAAAUAAUAUGGCACUAGAAGCAAUUAUAUAAGCAAAAAUAUUUUGAACAAUUUACUUUUGGAGGAAAUCAAGUCCCAGGUGCUAUAACAUUUGAGGAUAUGAUUUUACAAAUUUUCGGAAAUUUAUUUGGGUUGAUUUGGAGCUCAAAAUCAGAAGUUAUAAAGGAAAAACAGAAAAGAAAAGGAGAAAAGAAAAAGAACAAAAAAAAAGGGAAACGGACUGGCCGGCCAACUUGGGCCGAACUGGCCCAGUCCACGCGCUCGCCCCCGCGCGCGCGCAUGAGGCGGCUUGGCCACGCAGCGAACCGGCCCAGCCAGCCGCUGCCCGCAGCCAAUGACCCCUGGUAGGUGGGGCCCACCUGUCAGCCUUCUCCUACCUCCGGCCUCGAAUCUAGCACCCGCCCGCCAUUACACCCCGCCUUCAAGACGCAAUUUAGGGCGCCGUCUUAAAGCCCUCUCGCGUCCCUAUAUAAAGGGCACUCUCUCCUUCAUUUUCCUCCGCACCCCCCUCACUCCACCUUGCGUCCACGUCGAGCAAUUUCUCGCCGGAGUUUGCCCCGGCCGCCGGCUUUACUCGCUCGCCGCUGGAUUAAUCUAGUUUAAAAUGGAUUAAACUGGCUUUGUUUAAUGUUUUCCUUUUUCUACACCAUGAACAUGAUCCUAAUUUUCCAUCACAUAGAUUAAAUCACUAAACAAGUUAAUUG